rnacentral:lncRNA from 1 species
UCAAGUCACCUGUCCAGCUCCCUCUGCCACACAGACUACAGCUGAUCCCUUUGUUUCUAUAAGGAACUUGAGAUAACUCAAAACUCCACGAGGUCCAUGUAAGUUAAAAGGAACCUUUGAAUGGCAGCAAGAAUUUGCAUCAGUAUAUCAAUAAAACAAGAAAGUGUUCUGAACUGACCAGUUUUUAUCAUACAUACCUCAGGAAUCAGACAUAUGUCAAUCUGUCCACUAGCUAAGGAAGCAUGCAUUGCUAUGAAUCCACUGUCACGACCCAUUAAUUUCACAAUACCAAUUCCAUGAUAUGCACUAUGUGCCUAAUAAAACGAAUGAAAUGUAAAUAUCCUAAUCUUCAACUUGAAAACUUUACCGGGUUUAGUCAAAUUGACUCAAAUCUGAUUAUAUUCACCUCAAUGUAUGCUGAAUUUAUUGCUCUUUGUGCUUCUUCAACCGCAGUGUCGAAGCCAAAAGUUUUGUCCAUCAAUAGAAUAUCGUUGUCUAUAGUUUUAGGCACCCCAAUUAUAGACACCUUAAGCCUUCUUUUGCGGCACUGAAAAAAAUUCACUAGACACUCAGGGCAAGCUUAGAUAUUCUAAUAGUAUGCAAAAUAUAAGUGAAUCCUUCAAUAUAAAACAUAAUGUAUAUCUCAAACAAUGGUCUAAUAUACAGUUUAAUGUUAACAUUCAGUAAUCAGAAAAGAAAAGGCAGUGAGUAGAACCAAAUAGGAAGCCAACUUCGUAAUGAUUUCUCAAAAGAAAUCACAUAGAUCACAAAAUGAUCCAACUGAAUGUGAUCAAUUAAUAUACAGAUAAAGGAUUACAAACCUCAUUGUGAAUUGCAUUUGCACCAGCAUGUGUGCCAUUUCCACCCAACACAAAUAGCAUGUUUAUCCCUUUUUCCUGAAAUUAAUAACAUUCACAUCAAACAAUAGUCAGUAUAAUAAUAGAUCAAUCUUAUCAAAAAAACUCUGAAAUCAUCAAUCUUAUUAAUAUAAUAAUAGAUCACCUCCAAACUGUCCACAAUUUCACUGACUCCCGGUCCUCCACGUGAAACACCUAGUAGGCUUCCACCUGAAAGAUGAAUAUUCUGAACCACCCUUCUUGACAGCUAACAAAUGAAAUCCCAAUACGUAAACAGUCAUUAGUCAUUAGCAAGAAGGAAAGUUCAAUAGAAUUACAAAAGAUAUUUAGUCGAAUCAAAAGAUAUAUAUACCAAAAGUCAGCAAGAAAGGAAGCAUGAGAUUACUUACGGGAACUUCUGUCAGCUCUUGGUCAGAAAAUCCACGAUAACCAAAAGGAAUACCCACAAUCUUUGUUACACCAUAUAUUUCGAGUGUGAUUACAAUCUGCAGGACAUCCAUUAUUGAAUCAAACAUUGGGAAACAAAUUAAUGACUAUAAUUUUCGUUUUAAAACUAAAUGCAAAGGAAAUGGGGUUGUAUAAAGCAUACUUAAGACAGUAACAAGAAACCAAAGAAUAUAUAUAAGGUUUGCCAAUAACUGUGACACAGAAGUAUUUCACUGCCCACAUAAUUUAGUGGCAACGUAUUGAUGAGAUGGUACAGUAAAAUCAAUGCAUUAAAAUGUUACAUUUUUCUAUUAAUUUGUUGCCUUAACUUUACGAGAACUUGCAAAGAUUUGAUAUUUUAUAUAAAAUUCGUCAAGAGAUUUACGAGAGUCAAUUUGAUAUUAAACUCACCUGUCUGAUGACAUCAUUAAGACCAGGGCAGAGCCCUCCACAAGUAACAAUUGCGGCCUUUACUUCUUCUGGUUUAAAGUAUAUCUUUCCCCGAGGUCCAGCUCGAUGAACCCUACAAAGGAUUUCAAAACAUGCUACCAAAUAUGAUAAUCGUAGAAAAAAAGUUAUAUACAUUAAGAAGACUAGAAAGAAAGACAUAACUAUUUAAUAGCUCUAUAAAUAUUAAUAGUAACUAUUAUCACAAGUUUCAGGAACUUCUCUCUCAAUCUCACUUUCUCACACUGUCAAGUAAAAACAAAGCAAUGAGGUAAUUGUGAUGUUCCCAUCCUAUUGUCCAAUAAGGAUAAAAUAUAACGAGUAAAUUCAAUGGUGAUUGGGAACUACAUAGACAAGGAUUUAAUCAUUGAAAUUAUAGGUAGAAAGGGAAACUGAAUUCUUGAAGUUCCAAACUUCCUCGUACAUUCCAUAACAAGAAAAAGAUUAGUCAAGAAACACUUUUGUUUAAGCAGUAAGUGCUCCUUACGACAAAAAAAAUACAUUCUCUGUCCAUACAAAUAUCAAACCUCCCAAGUCCGAAUAAAAUAGCACACUACUGUUCUUAACAUACCAAUAUUACUAUCUCCUUCACAGGCAUAAGCAUAAUAACUCACUACAUUCCAGAUUUGAAUUAUGAAAUCAAAUGCGUACCAUUGUUCAACCCAAUUACAACCAGGAUCAAUGCACUCCGCGCCAGCAGAUGUCGGUGAUGAAUAGUAUAUUGUCUGAGAGAUCAAAACAAACGGAAAUUAACAUUCAGAACUGCCAACACUUGUAUCAUAAACUUUAUAGAAUAAGAUCAUCAAUUAAUAUCUAACACAACCAUUUCCCUGUCCUUCAAUUAUAUUUACAAAGACAUACCAAUGCAAGAAUUAGUGAAAAAUGCAAAAAACUGUUCUCUCUAAAACGACGAAUGUAAUGUUUUAACGACAGAGAGACAGCUUUUCAACCAACUAACCAAGCACCACAUUCCAACUUAAGGUGUCAAUUCAUAUUAGUCGUUUGGUAUUAACAAUUUCUCACCAAGAGAACUAGUUUGAUUCAAAAUCAGUGAAGGCAACAAUAAAAGUCCAAAUAUCAUGACUAAAGAAAAAUAAUACAACAAUGACAACAAAGGUAACCAGAAUUUGAUGAUACAUGUGUGGUUUCAAAUUGCGGAUUGCAUCCCCUGAUGCAGCUGCAACCAUAACCACAUUUGCGGCUACAACCGUAAUUUGAAACAUGAAUGCAAUAAAUAUCCACGGAAAACAGGAAACUGAAUUACUAUGAACAGUAAUAACAUCUAUCAGCACCUCUCAGUAAUCAAUUUAAAUUCAAACAACAUGAAGUACGAAUGAGACAUACCUUAAGAAGCACUCUGUCAUUUUCACUUAUAUAGCCAUGCCAAUCCUCAUCCAAAGGAUAAUUACCAGGAAAGUCGCUAGUCCUGGGAGUUCUGCCACAGUCAUAGACAUCACCAAUAAACAAGAAAAAAAUUGCAGUUAAAACACGUCAAAACAAACAAACAAAACUAAAAACGUAACCUUCGUUAGGUGCUUUUAUUAUUCUUGUCCAAUUAGAAUUCGAGUUUUCCCUCAAUAAUCUUUACUGACUUUAAAUGUAACAUUACCUUUAUUACAAGAAUGAUCAAAUAUCAAUGCAAAAUUUCAGUUCUUAGAGAAUAGGAUUUGUAUUAGGUGAAUUAUAAAUGUCAAACUCCAAUUCUAAUUAAAAAAAAAAACAAGACUUUUACCCCAAUAAACCUAUAUUGACCUUUAACGUAGCAUUACCUUUAUUACAUGAAUGAUCAGUACCAAAAUUCUGAUAAGAGAAUAGGAGUUUUUACGUCAAUAACCUACAUUGAAAUUCAAUGUAGCUUAUUUUAAUUACGUGAAACUCUGACUCUGAUAAGAGAAUGGUACUGAAAACCAUAUCUAGUUUGGAAAAAAAAGGUUAAUGGAGUCGCAUCACAGGCUAAAUUGCGCAGGAAGCAAAGAGAAACCAACCUCACGUUGUGACAGAACGUAGAGGGCAUAGAAGCAGCAUCGGGGAAGAUAUCAGUGACAUGGGGGAGUCUGAAACGCUCCUCAAAUUCGUCGUUGAACUUCGUUUUCCAAUCAGGGUCGUUGAAAUCAAUUGCGGCGGUGGACUUCGAAUUUGAGCUUUGACUCUUAACCUUGGGAAAUACGCCAGCGACUCUGGUAGGUACCGCCAUUGUCAUGAAACGAGGAUUGGAGUGAGAAAAAGCAUGGCAAUUACGGUUAGAAGGUGGUAGGCCAUGAAGAGUGAUGACGUGCGACAUGGAACCCAUCAUGAACAAGAGUCUGUGGAGAGUGACGAAUCGAAUUUCAAUACUUGUUGUUGUGGAAUGUGCUGUUACUUGAAUGAGAUCACGUGAAAGAAACAAGAGAGACAACCUUUGCAGUGGUUACAAUAGCAAUUGGGUAUGUAUUUUUGUUCUACGGUGCCGGCUCCUUCUGUUGCGUUGUGUAUCGCAGAAUGUUGAACCUCGGAAGGAAGCGGAAAGUUUCUUAGUUCCUUUCUAUUGUUCUUUAAUUUCCAACCUCUAGUGCCUUUAUAUUUUUGGCAGUCAACUAUGUCUUCAUAAAAUAUCACGAUUCAAAUGAAAAAGAUAGAUAAAUAAAAUAAAGUAUCUGUUAAAAGAUAAUAACAAUUAAGAUAGAUGAAAAAAAGGUAAUAUUAAAAUAUAUCCACAGUUAAAGAACUAAUAAAAAUAUACCAGCAAUUAAAAAAAUAAAUUAUAAAGUUAGGAUUUGUUAGUGUCAAUCGAGGAAUGGUCGAGUAUUUUUCUUCUAAAAAGUAAAAAAUAUUAAAGUUUCAAUUCAAAGUUUUAUUAUAUUUUUAUUAGUCUUAAAAAAUAUUAUAUAUUAUAUUAUUUUUAUUAAUUUAUUUCGUAGAUUUUUCUAAUAAUUAAAAACUAAUAUUUAAAUAAUUUUAAAUUAAAUUAUUGAUAGAUUUUACAUUUUUUAACUAAAUUUGUGUAGUGAAAUUAGUUUUAUAAGAUUAGUAAUUACUUUAAGAGGAGAAAUAAUUUACCUUGUUGGAUUAUAUCUUAGAUAAUAAAUAAUAGUAAAAGAUACAUAAAAAAUUCCUUUAAAAUUUGUUGUUGUAUAAAGAAGUAGUUGCAUCGUACCUUUAAUUAUACAUAAGAUAUUUAUUUAUACUUUUGGCUAAUUUUGGUGUACCUUUAACAAUUUAUUUAAAGGUAUAUUAUUUAAUUUAUUUAUACCUUUAACAAUUUUUGGUUUGGUCAUUUUGUGGGAAAGCAAGCAGCCUUUGGUUUUGAGUCUGACCUACCAGAAGCUCAACUUUAUGUGGUAAGCUGGUCAACAAGCUCCUAAAGAAAAUCAAAUUGUCAACUACUUUGAUUACGUCUAUUUAGAAAAUAAAAAUCUACAAGGACUUUGAAGGUAGAAAAAUAUAAAAUUAAUUUCUUUAUUUAUAAGUUAAAAAUAAAAAUUCUGUAUAAAUUGAAAGUUGAAAUAUAAAAGUAACCUAAAAUUGUAUUUUUCUCAUAAAUGAUGUCAAAAAUUUAAUUUAUUUUCAAAAAAAUAAUAUUGGCAAGACUAAUUUUUAUAUUGGGUAUGGUUUACUUUAAAACUAGAUAUUUUUAUCAUGAAUUUUUUAAAGAUAUUUUAUUAAGACUAAAGAAUAUAAUACAUGUUUAGCUUUACUUUUAAAUUGUAGGAAAAUUUAUAUGACAAUGUCGAUAAAAAUAAAAAGAAUAAAGUCUCUUCCAUUAAUGUAUUAUAAUAUCGUAGUAGACAUAUUUAAGGAAUUCGAGGGUGAAGCACGGAGUUUUACGUUAAGUGUAUGCUGAACAAAAUAAAUUAUGUAUAACGACGACUCAUAAAUUUAUUGUCAUAAAAUUUUGAAUUAUGUCAAUUUUUUUAUUUAAUUUAACUCAUGACUUGUCAAAUUUAAAUUUCUUCAAUUAUAUGAAUUAUAUGUUAUGUUUAUUCAAAGAAUGGAACAAUUUAUUAUUUAUUGAUGAGAAAGAGUGAUGUAACUUCUCAUAGAUUAUUAAAAAAAAUUAAGAAUUUUUUAAUUCAAAUAUAUAUUCAUGAAUUAUGAGAUUAAUGAUAUCAUUUAAUCUUAAUUUUGUACAAAUUUCAAGUAAUUAAGGAUGGAGGAAAGGAAAUAUUAAAAAAUACAUGAAGAAACCACGAAAAUAAAUAAAUAAUAGGAGCUUUUGUCGAAUUCACAAUCAAGUUAGAGUAGAACUUGUUCAAGUUAGAACAUAUUAGCUGGAACAAGAAUUAUAUAAUUAUCAUAUCAGUUAAGUGAUAGUUGUCUAGAGAAUAAGUGAUUUUCAAUGUUGUUUUCGCUUAAGUGAUAAUUAACUCGUUUGAGCAAGAAUCAGAUGGCUCAAAAGAGAAUUUAUUAAUCCAAAUAAAUAACAAAUUCAAACAUAGAAAAAACAAGAUAGAUACACUUUUUUUUAUUGAAGCUCUAGAUUAGGAAGAGAGAAAUAAGCUCAUUUCACAUUUUCUAUCACAUCUUGAUGAUUGUAAUGGCAGUCAUGAGUAAUUAACUUUCUUCUUGGGAUUGAAUGUAAUUUAUUCAAACUCAAGUGUAUUAGGGUGAUAUUUAUAUAUAGUACUUUGUUUAUAUUUGAUAUCAGUAUUUUUGUUUUGUGCUUAUUAUUAAAUUCUAUCUUAUCAAUAUAUUAAUUCUUGAGUUUGAUUUUUAGAUUUAAUUAAAAAAUAUUUUUAAAAAUCUGACUCAAACAAUAAUACUUUAUAUAUUGCAAUAUUAAUAAUAGGUUUCAAUGUAUAAUGCUGAAUAAUUCUAAAUAGUUGGAGAAUGAAUGUUUAUUCACCAUAUUCAAUGUAUUUAGCUAACUCAUAGAGUACUCUAUAUAUAUAAAAACUAAGAAAACAGAAUAAAAAGACAACCAUUAGGAUAUUGUGUUUUUUUUUUUUUUUUAUCAGCAAAGAAUUAAUAAAUAUAAACAUGGGACACUUCAGGGGUGUCCCAACCCGUAUACAUCCAAAGGUGUUGUAAACAGUACGAAAAAGGGAAAAAGCAUCGUAUGUUCACCUAACCUAUUUAGAUCACCCUGAACCUGCUAAGCAUGUAGCGUAUAAUAACAAGAAUGAGCAACAUAACAGAAUCAAGAUAGCACUUUUUCAACACAACACCAGUGUAAAUGCCCCAAAACCAUGCCCAACAGCUUACCAGUUGCGCCUCUCCAUGGUUUAACCGUGACUAUCACCAGCCUGAAAUUCCAACAAACAAGCAAACCAACAGCGUGGUGUAUUGAUGACAAUCACCAACCUGAACUUCCAACAAACACAAAAAAACCAGCAGUUAUAACAGAACCACUUCCUACAUCUCCCCUGCUAUGCCCGACUACUAGGACUCCAUGAUCCGGUCUGCACGUGCUUCCAUACCACAUGUAUCUGCUGAGCUCAUGCCAACUCCUCCACAUCCAACGAGGCACUCACACAGCCUUUGUCAACAGAUAGCUUAAAGACUAUGGAGCUAAACCUGAUGUGCAUCUUUGAAAAGGCAGGAGCAGCAACAAGGGCCUCAUAUUCUUACCACAAUACUCAACCCUUUCAAAAUUCAAAGGUUUCUUCCACAGAUGGUUCAGGCACAACCACCAGUUGGAAAGAAAACUCUGCAACGCUGAUUUUCCAGUGGAGCUCUUCUCCAAAUCAAACUUCAUAGGAGAUGCACCUCCGUAUGAAGCACAUCAUAGCAUCCCAGCUGUAAAAAAGCUCUGCCUCACAACUUUCCCAGCGCUCCACCAUCAUCAACUCUAGGCUCCUCCACAUCUUUAGAUCCCUUAACAAGACCUCUUCAUACCCCAACAGCCCCAAUCAGCAGGAUCAGAACCAACAUCUCUUUCUUUGAAGUCCUACACUGCUAGCCUUUUCCUCUCUGUGGUCAAAAACCAACUUCAACAUGCAGCCUGGAACCUCGGUGCAACUCUUUACUGCAUGUCCUGCAAUUGCUCAGAAAAGAAGACAUGGACAGAAGAAGCUGACAAUGCAGGCAUUAUGUCAGAAACCUUUGACUAUAAAAGUGGUAAAGGAUAUUCCGAGUUCAGCUAACUCCAACGUCAUGCAGGCAGCUGGACCAAAUGUGUCACAAGUUGUUGAAGAAAACUGUUGGGUUUCUCUUAGUUUAUAAGACAACAGUGCAGCGGUUCCACCACCUAGGAAGUGCCCAACGAUCUAGCCUCUGUUGUUACAAGUCUGCAUAAACUACCCCCAACACAGCUUCUACCCUCAUAUCAGAAAUCCUNNNNNNNNNNNNNNNNNNNNNNNNNNNNNNNNNNNNNNNNNNNNNNNNNNNNNNNNNNNNNNNNNNNNNNNNNNNNNNNNNNNNNNNNNNNNNNNNNNNNNNNNNNNNNNNNNNNNNNNNNNNNNNNNNNNNNNNNNNNNNNNNNNNNNNNNNNNNNNNNNNNNNNNNNNNNNNNNNNNNNNNNNNNNNNNNNNNNNNNNNNNNNNNNNNNNNNNNNNNNNNNNNNNNNNNNNNNNNNNNNNNNNNNNNNNNNNNNNNNNNNNNNNNNNNNNNNNNNNNNNNNNNNNNNNNNNNNNNNNNNNNNNNNNNNNNNNNNNNNNNNNNNNNNNNNNNNNNNNNNNNNNNNNNNNNNNNNNNNNNNNNNNNNNNNNNNNNNNNNNNNNNNNNNNNNNNNNNNNNNNNNNNNNNNNNNNNNNNNNNNNNNNNNNNNNNNNNNNNNNNNNNNNNNNNNNNNNNNNNNNNNNNNNNNNNNNNNNNNNNNNNNNNNNNNNNNNNNNNNNNNNNNNNNNNNNNNNNNNNNNNNNNNNNNNNNNNNNNNNNNNNNNNNNNNNNNNNNNNNNNNNNNNNNNNNNNNNNNNNNNNNNNCCCCCCCAUUCAAUAAAGUCCUCAGAAUCCCUGUUCAAAGUUGUUCUUGUAAUAAGGUUCAUCAUUUCUUCCUCUACACUAGUUUCCCACUCAAAUCUAGUCCUUCUCCAACCUAACCUCCAUGACCAACCUAACUCCCCCCACGUGCCUACCUCACCCACCAAUUUUCCUUGGUCUAGGGAUAUGGUAUAUAGUCUAGGAAACAGAAAUUUGAGCUUAUUAUUGCCCAACCAAGUAUCUUCCCAAAACCUGAUUUUGUCCCCGUUUCCCACUUUCCAUGAAACAUGGUUACGGAACCAACCCUCACCUUCUCCUUCUUCACAUACCUUUCCGAGAUCAUUCCACCACCAAGAAUAAUUUUUACCACACCCUUGAAAAUUAACCAAACCAUUAUAGUACUUAGAUACCAAGAUCUCCUUCCAUUUCCCUUCUUCUUCACUCAUCAUUCUCCACUUCCAUUUUGCAAGCAAAGCCCGAUUAAACUUCUUAAUAUCCUUGACCCCCAAUCCCCCUUCCUCCUUUGAUUUGCACACAUUUUCCCACCGAACCCAGGCAAUGUAUUUGCUAUCUUUGCCCCACCCCCAAAGAAACCUCCUCUGAAUACUGGAAAUCUUAUCACAAACUGCAGUUGGUGCUUUAUAGAACGACAAAUAGGAUAUUGUGUAAACAUUGUUUGAUACAUGUGGUAGACCUUUUAUGCUCUUUACUAAGUCAAUCAUCAUAAUAUAAAUUAAUAAUUAAAGUAUUUUAAACAAAUAUUAAGAGCUUCAUGUGGAGUUUUAAAUAAUGACUUUAUCGAUCUUCAUAUCUACACGAUUCUGGUAUAAAAUAAAAUGUUAACUUUAUGAAAAAAAAAUAUGUUGUUUGAGUAAGAAAUUUUAAAGAAAUUGAAAUUUUAUAAUUUUAUGAGAGUAAUUGGAUAAGUUAAAAUUAGAAAAAUUUAAAUUCUAUCCACAAUUUAAGAAUUUAAAGUUUUUCAUAUUUAUCAUAGUAAUGUAUAUUCUUUUUGUAUUCUCUUCUCAACUUUUUUUGGACUGUCACAAACACUAUUAAUACUAAGACAUUGUUAGGAUGACCAAUUUUCGUUUGAUAUUAGUUAGAUUUCUUUCAUUGAUUUUGAUAACAUUUACUUUUUAAUUAAAUUGUUAGAAUUAAUUUUGUUGUUUUAGAUAAUUUCGUGCUCAAUAAUAAUAAUAAUAAUAAUAAUAAUAAUAAUAAUAAUAAUAAUAAUAAUAAUAGGAGGAACUUCCUAGCUUCAGGACCAAAAUUUGUGCAGAAACAAUUUUAUUUGGUCAAGUUCUUCUUAAGAAGGAGAAUUCAGCUUUAAAAUUCUGGUAAUUGCUGCAAUUCUGAUUAUAAUUAUGCAGAGCAAUGCCUAUUUGUUCUGAGAGUAUUGAAGGGUUUAUUUUAUUUUUUAGCUUUAGCUUUAACUUUUAGCUCUAGCCAAAUAGUGUAGGCAUUUUUUGGUCUGCUUUGAAAAAGAGUAGGUUGACAAUAAAUCCUUAUUGUAAGGGUUGAAAUACUCUUAAAAAGUCUUAUUCUAGUUUAAUUUAUUCACUGUUAAUAAAAAAUGUAAGAGUUUUGUUAAUCAAUAUUAAAGAGAUUUCUAUUUUAUAGAUAUUUUUUUCAAAUGACGUUUAUCUUAGUUAUUUUUGUAAUUAGAUUUGAAUUCUCAUAAACAUAGUCAAAUAUUGAAUCCAAACAUAAAAUUAUGUUAUUUUCUUUUUCAUUUAUAAAAUAGAGGUAUUUUUAUUUUGACAAAUUACUCUGCCUAUAAUGUAAAAUGUUUGGAAAGUAACAUGAAAGAUAUUUAUGAACAAAGUUUUAGGCAGUAGCAUGAAAAAACUGAUCUUAAUAUUUCAAAAAAAUAUCAGCUAGUCAUUUGACUUAUUAAAGAAAAAAGAAAAAAAGGAGGGAAUACAAAUAUUUGUCUUGUGAUGAGAAAUUAUAGGUGAAUUCUUCUUAUUUAUAUAUAAUUUGAACAAAAAAUUGAAGGCAUGAGAAUUUAUUUGCUGAUAAGUGGUAAGGAAUGACUUAGUUACUUAUCUUUUUAUUAUUAGAAUACAUUUCCAUUGAGUCUAAUCCCCAACAAUUGGAUAAAUUACUUAUGAGUCUAAUAAAAAUAUUAAAAAGUUUACUAUCAAUGUCAUCUAACGAUUCGUAAUUGAUGAAAUAUUUAUUUUAAUUAUUUUGUGAAAAUCAAAUUUAGGGUUAUUCGUAUUUUUUGUGAAUGGAAUACUUGUGUGAUAAAUUGGUUAAUUUAAGAUUUAUUCAUAAAGAAUCUUUUUAUUGGUAUAACAUACUAUCAUCUAGGUUGUUCUUAGAAUUCUUUAUAAAUAUGUAUAAUUUAUCUAUGUAUCAUUUUUGUUAACAUAUGCGUUUUAGUCUAAUCUUUUCAUAUUUUUUUUUCUUUUUUAAUAAUACUUUUUGUUUUCAUGCAAUGAUAAAUAAUUAAUGUUACUUGAUGUGUAAAUAUAGCUCUAAAAUGUCAAAUUGCAUAAUGAUGUUUAACAUAAAAGUUUUUAUUUAAAAAUUAAUAAAAAUAUUAAACACAUCAUUUUGUAAUGUUUUUCACUUACAUAAUAUUUUUUAUUGAAAUAAAAAAUAAAAUAAAUAAGAUUAUAUGCCAAUAUGCAAUACCUUAUAGGCGUUUACAUGUUACACUUUGUCUUUAUUUCCCUGCACACAUCACAUCCCAACUGAGUUUCCAAUGUCAUUUAACGACACAUGCAUAAUUCACAAUAUAACCAACAACAAACUGUUUUCAAACCAUAAAUUUUGUAUUUACCAUCCUAUUCGCACCAUUUAAUGAUUAUCUUAUUUAUUUAUUCCUUAUUUAUGAUACAUUUGUCCAAAAUACUUUUUUUCCCAAAUUUUUAUUAUGAAUUUAUAAUGCUGGAUUAUAUGGGUGAUCAAAAGUGUCUGUUUAUCCGCACUUUUUUUUAUUUUUAUAAUUUAUAUAUAAUUAUUUUUAAUAUUAAAAUUGAAUAAAUGAUAUUAUUAUUUACACACUUAUAUUAUCAGUAUAAAUUUAUAGUUAAUUGUUAUCAAAAAAUAAAAAUAGAACCAGUAAUAACAAAUAUGAAAUUAUAAGUAACUAUUCAGUAAAAAGUGAAAAAAUAAUAAUAUAUUUUAUUCAAAUUGUUUCGUAAAUAAAUUAACAGUUCUGCUGAUUGAAAUGAUUCGUAAAUAAAAUGAGAAACCGUUAUGCUGAUUCAAAAAAAAAAGCAACAAAUAGAAAAUUAAAUUCAAAACUGUCUACAAAAUAACGUUAUUUUGGAUAAUUCUCUUUAUAUUUAACUGUUCUUUUAAAAAAAAUUAUAUAUAAAAAAACCAGUUACAAAAUAAUAAAAAUAAUAAUAAAAUAGAAAUAAAAUAAAAUAUUAAUAAAAUGUAACUGAUUUUGAAAAUAAAUCAAACCUCUCUUUCAAUUCAUAAUUGUCCCUCCACAUCUCUUUUAAUUCAACACCACUCUUCCACCUCUCUUUCAAUUCAAAACCGUCUCCACUACGUAUACCAAAUAUUGUAGAAAAAAUAAGAAAUGACACAAUGACCAUAAUACAAUAAUAAAAAUAAAUAUUAAUAUAAGGAUAAAAUGGGAAAAAAAUGAAGAGCAGUUAAGAGGGGAAUCCCCUUUAUAUAUAGUUAUAGAUUAUAUAUAUAUAUAUAUAUAUAUAUAUAUAUAUAUAUCGUUAAAAAAAAUAUUAAGAUAAAGAUACNNNNNNNNNNNNNNNNNNNNNNNNNNNNNNNNNNNNNNNNNNNNNNNNNNNNNNNNNNNNNNNNNNNNNNNNNNNNNNNNNNNNNNNNNNNNNNNNNNNNNNNNNNNNNNNNNNNNNNNNNNNNNNNNNNNNNNNNNNNNNNNNNNNNNNNNNNNNNNNNNNNNNNNNNNNNNNNNNNNNNNNNNNNNNNNNNNNNNNNNNNNNNNNNNNNNNNNNNNNNNNNNNNNNNNNNNNNNNNNNNNNNNNNNNNNNNNNNNNNNNNNNNNNNNNNNNNNNNNNNNNNNNNNNNNNNNNNNNNNNNNNNNNNNNNNNNNNNNNNNNNNNNNNNNNNNNNNNNNNNNNNNNNNNNNNNNNNNNNNNNNNNNNNNNNNNNNNNNNNNNNNNNNNNNNNNNNNNNNNNNNNNNNNNNNNNNNNNNNNNNNNNNNNNNNNNNNNNNNNNNNNNNNNNAUUAUAUUUAUUAAAUUAUAUAUUAUUUUAAAAAUUAGUAAAAUUAUUUGUAUUUAAAAUGAUUUUUAUUAUUAAUAAAAUUUACAAACUAGUUUUUAAAUUGGUAUCUAGUUAGCUAUUAAAGUUUUAGUUAAUAACUAUUUUAAAUUCUAAAGUUGGUAGCUAAAACUUUGAUAGUUAAUUAGAUACCAAGUUAAAAAUUAUUUAUUAAUAAUAAAAAUUAUUUUAAAUAUUAAUAUUUUUUUAGUCAAUAUAGUAAUUAAUUAUAUUUUAUUUUAAAAAUUGAUUUUCAUUUAAUGAUUUAUUUUAGGGUAUAUAUUAAUGACAAUGAAGAAAGUUGAAUUCUAAAAAGUUAUUUUUCUUGAAUAUUUUCAGAACAAUAGUACAAUUAUUUUUAUUUAUAAGGGAUAAUUACAUUAUAUUUAUUAUUUAAUUAUAAUCUCAAUUUUUCUUCUAAAAUAUAAAAACCUUGGAGUAAGUACAUUUAUAUGUAUAUAUACAUACAUACACGAAUACUUUUGUGAAUUAUUUCAGCUAUCAACGAUAUUUUUUCUUUUAUAUAGAAAGGGACAUCCAACCAAAUUCCAUAACCAUGAGCAUUAAAGAAUGUAUUAAAUAUUUACAUUCACAGCAAAGUUUCUGGAUUUUUAUAUGUAUAUGAAAAUAAAAAUAAGAGUAGUGUUCUCCUCACUUUUUUUUAUCAAAUAUUUUAAUUUAGUUUGCCAAGAAUGGUAAAAAUGGAAACAUGGAUAUUAUUGCUGUGUUACAGAGUGAAUAGCAUGACUUGAAGACUAACCUUAAAAACCCGAAGGAAAGGUGCACAUCGAAGGGAGACACAUCAAACAUUACUAUUAUUGAUUGUGCUUUAAGGGCAACCAAACUGGGGCCUUAUUCCUUCCACGUAAAGCACAAUUUGUCUCUUCUUAUGGUUCAUGCACACCCAAAUCACAUACUAAUUCAGUUAGAGCUAUUUGGCGCCUAAAUUUGCAUGAACCAAUUGAAACACCGUCUCUUACUGUCACAUUUUCUCUAAGCACCCCAAUCUCUGUCCUAUUCCUUACAAUUUGUCACAGGCCCCAUGCACAACAUUGCUGCCAUAUAUAUAAAUUCCACAUGUUCGAUGCUGCUACUGCAACCACCAACCAUAUAAUGGGUCAUCAAGGAGAGUACACCGAGCCAGAUAUCCUAGGUUCUGUCAUUGUUGCACUCAAAGUGUUUAUUUUCAUAUUCCUCAAACUUUUCAACACAAAUUAUUUCUGGGUUUUACUUUUGCAGAUUUAUCAUCAGAGAAUUGCCAAGGUUUUGAGUUUAACAGCAGUACUUGGCUUAGUUCAACGUUGGACUCACAAAAGGUUUAUCUUCUCUCUAGUUUCAACAGUUACACGGUUGAAUUUAACUCCGACUAAGAUUUUAAAUUGCAGUUGUGAUAUCAAUGUGGUUGCAUUCGUUGUUUUCUGAUUAUUCCAUCGUUGAUUUGAACAACAGGAAAAAACUGAAAACCGCAAAAGGGAGUGGCAUGACAAGUGUAACAUCGUUCCUAUUUCGGCAGAGGAGUUGAAGAUACGAAGUGAGCUUGGAAUGGAGAUUGAAAAUGACUUGGAAAAAGAGAUCAAGGAGGGUAUAUACCAGCUUGCUCUUCGGUUGCACCGGAUUUACCAGGAGAGGAAGGAAAGAAGUGCAAAAGAAACGUUUGAAGUUGACAAUAACCGAGGUAUAGCAGUUUCUGAAGUUAACAUAAGCAUAAGAAUGGAAGGGAGAAGUAAAGUUGAAAUAAGAGAGGUGAAGAAUGAAGAAAAGGAUGGUCCUUUUCUACGGAAUUUUAGGCCACAAAAUGUGAAGCAAGUGAAGAAGGUUGAUUGGGUAAAGACUCUGAGAGGAGGUUCAAGCCCUGUUUGUGGCAGCAGAUUAUCAAGUGUGAGCUCAAAGCACAAGGGGAAAAAGCUAAGCACAGACCCUAAUGGUUUAUCCAAUUGGAAAAUUCACGGUGGGAGGGGAAAGAAAGUUGGUUCCUUUGGGCUAGUAAAACAGAAUGCAAGUGUGGACAAGAAGAUACUUCAAUUGGGGUGGAAGGUCUGAAGGGCUUGUUUUUUUAUUCCUGAAUUUUAUUUUGUUUUGUUUGCAAAAAAUAAUUUUACACUUUUGAAUAAUUUGUAAGCUCAAUAAAUUUUUAUGGAAUAAAUUAUAAAUGAUUCUGAUAUUAUAUUAAAAAAUAAAUUUUGCUUUCAUUAAUUUUAUGAAAGUAACUUAUAAAGUAAGGUAUGAAACUACUAAUAUAUUGUUAAUUUUAUCUCUAAUUUUUGCUAAACUUCACUUUUAAAGAAGACUGGGCUAAUUACCGCAUUUUGUUGCAUGACACUAUAACCUUGUCACAAUUAGUGGCAUGAGAAGACAAAAGGUCUCCAUGUUUGAGACUUGUAUAUUGAACUCUUUACCACAAACACCAUUGUAGAGACACAUUUUAUAAUUCACCUCCUUCAGUUUCCUCUAAAAUAUAUGUUGCAUCACAUACAAUAGUUAAUGCCAUCUUAAUGAAUUGUAGGCUUUUUUUUAAAAUUAACCUUUACAUUUUAUCACCUACUACCUAAUGGGUGAUAAACAACAUUUAAAUAAUCACUAGUACAAAAUGUAUAAACAACGAUUAUUUAUUUAAUACGAUUUUAGGGUUAGUUGUAAACUCGAUAAAUUUUUUUAAAUUAAUUUCAUUUACUAAUGUGCCUAUUUGUAAUAGCUGCAUUCUUAAAUCAAAACACAUGAUUUAUGAAUGCGACUAUUUAAAUAGUCGCAUUCUUAAUAGCCGCAUUCUUAAAUCAUUUUUUACCCUAAUUUUGAAGCGCGUCACUUACGCUUUUUCUUUGUUUAUGUUCUGGUGUUCCUCUCUUCAUGCGAGUUUCAUUGUGUUCUCGUACCAUUGUAAGUUCGUUUCAAUUCGCUCUCUUUCUUCUUCACCAAUGGUUUAUAAAUUUUUUUCAUUUCACUUAUUUGUUUGUUUUCUUGCAUUGGCGAAGGGUUCUUUGACGCUUCAUUUUCUCUUUUGUUUUUGCUCUCUCGUGCUUUCUCUCGUUUUCUACGAGCCUUCAUUGUCUUCUUUGUGCAAUUGUAAAUUCGUUUCGAGUUCUUUUUCUUCUUCACCAUUGGUUUAUAUAUAUUUUUUCGUUUCUCUUAUGUAUUUGUUUUCUUGUAUUGACACUGCUUCAUUGCCUGUUGUUUGGGUUAUUGUUAUGUCGUAUUUGCUCGGUUGUUGUUGCUGCCACCGCUAUUGCUGCCCUUAGGGUUUAGGGUUUUUAUUUUUAUUUUUUUAAAAUAAUUAAAUAAAAAUGCGGCUAUUUACCAUAGCCGCAUUUAUAAAUCGCAUUUACGAAUGUGGCUAAAUAGGCGCACUUGUAAAUCUCUUAUUUAAGAAUGCAUGCUGAUCAAGUGCGGCUAUAUAGCCGCGCUUAUAAAUGUAAAAUAGCCGCAUUCAUUUUGCCUUUCUGCACCAGUGAAGAUUAACUUAUACAAAAAAAAAAAAAAACCGUUAGUAUUCAAAAGUAUAGAUUUCAUGAACAUAUUAUUUUUAAGAAGAAUUUCCAUAAAAAAUUAUGUUAAUUUUUAGUAUCACUACAAGAAAAUCAUGAAAUAGAAAUCAAUUUUAUAGAUACAAAAUAAUUAAUUGUUAUAGUAACUAAAUUAGAGAUCAUUUUAGAGAUUAAAAAAUAUUUUGGUUUAUAAAUUAGUUUCUAUGCUAAAUAGUUUCUAAAUUGGUAUCUAAUUAACUAUCAAGAUUUUAACUACCAAUUUGGUAGCAAAAACUUUGGUAGCUAAUUAAAUACUAAUUUAGAAACCAUUUAACCAUAAUAGAAACUAAUUUAGAAAUCAAAAAAUUUUCUAGUCUCUAAAAUGGUUUAUAAUUUAAUUACUAUAACAAUUAAUUAUUUUUUGUCUCUAAAAUUUGAUUUUUAUUUUAUGAUUUUCUGUAUGGUGUAUAAAUAUCACCUAUGAAACAUUUCUACUUAAACCCUUGAGAUUUAUUUAUGUUUGUCAUGUAUUCUACAAUUACAUAUAUAUUUUACCUGUCAGCAAUAAUUUUUAAUUCAAUAAAUGAACGAUCUUCUAAUAUUAUUAAAUAAUGAAGAUCACAAUUUUAAAUUUAUUUUCCAAACCCAAUAAUAAAAAAAAUUAACUUGUGGAAAGUUAGCAAAAUUAAAAAUAAAUAAUUAUUAAAAAAAUUUAGUUACUAACUAUAUUAUAAAGUUAGAUAAUUUAUUACAUAUUAAUUUAUAAACUAUUUAUUAAUAAUAAAAACUAUUUUAAAUAUUAUUAAUGUGUGUAUUGUCUAAAAUAAUAUAUAAUUCGAUUAAUAUAAUUAGUUAGUUUAUAUUUAAUUAUUUUUUUUUGUAUAAUUAGUUAUUACAAAAAUUCAGUAUACUUAUUUUAAAUCGAUUUUCAUUGCUGAUACUUUGAUUACAUUUAUAUCCAUAGUAUUAAUUUCCUGUGGCAUUUUAUCAUAUUUUCAUAUCUUUACAGUUUAUGUUUUAUGAAAAAAAAUAUUAAAUAUAUUGUUAGUUUCUAACAAAAAUUGCUUUAGUUAGUCUUCUCUUCUAAAAAUAUAUACUGAUAGAGAAUAAUAAUAAUAAAUUAUCUGCAUAAUAUAAAGGGAAAAUUGAAAAAUAAUAAUUAAAAUAAGUAAAAUAAAAUAAAAAUAUAUUUAAGCUGAAAAUAUAAUAUAUUGUUAUUAUUUAUAGGACAAAAACAGCAUAAGGGGUCGUAUGAUGAUUUGAAUACGGACUAAAAUGUGGAGCAACCAACGGAGUCCUGGUCCACACAUUCAACGUCUUGUCUGUCAGAAGGGUCUUGCAUUCUAUAGCUCUAUCCUUGUGACAAGACUAUUCGUUAAAAUUGCACUAUCAUUAUACAUUAGGCUAUAUAUUUUUGUUUUUCAAAAAUUGAAAUUUGAAUUUAUAUAAGGGUGCAUUUAAACAUAUUGGGGGUGCAGAAUGCAGAGCCCCUGUGAAAAAUGAUGGGUCUUGGAAGGCCCGUGAUAUUAGAAAAGAAAGGCCAAGUGGGAUGGGAAAAAGUGAGAAAGGCGUGUUUGGUAAGUUGGGUUGUAAUUAAAGAAAUGCAUGUGGUGAAUUGGUAUUUAUUUGAAUGAUAAGGAAAAGAUAGAGUGAGAAUGUGGGGGCAUAAAGAUUGGUGUUGGAAUGAUUGUGAAAGGAAAAUAAGAUUGUUUGGAUAUUGGGAAGCAGUAGGGACGGAAGGUUUGAAGGUGAUGGGUGUAAUUGGUAAGGGACACAAGGUAAGCUCACAAACCCAACUUCCUUCCAAACUUUCUCCUUUUUCCUUUCGAAUCAUCAAUUUUUCCUUUGCCAAAACUUUCUAAUCCCGAACCACCUUUCACUUCACACUUUUCAAAUUAUUCUUUUCCCUUAACUACAUCCUUCUUCUACUUAAUUAUGCUCAAUUCCUAAACCCUAACUUCACAUCUUCUUUCAACAAUAACAAUCACUCAACAUGCUCAAUUAUUUCAUUCCAACUCUAUAACUGCACUGCUGAAUAUAUCAGUACUGGGAAAGAAAUUAUCAACUCUUGUUAAUUAUACCACUUCAGUUUGGUUUACAUUAUAUAUUCGCAAACACAUAGAAAUUAAAGGAGAAAUUUGUGUCAAGAUGGCAUCCUUCACUAACAUGUGUUUCCAAGAGUUAUGCUAAUUAACAGGUGUUUUCAAACAUACUUUUUAAGGAAUUCUAAAAAAAAUUGUCUUUUUAUUGAAUUUCACACUGGAGUUCAAUUCAAUGUAACAAUAAAAGUAUAUUCCAAUAACAGACCUUCAAAAAUUUUAAUCUUUAAUUUCUUGACUAGAGUAUAUUGACAUUCUCCUUUACUCGAAUUGAAAAUUCUUCUCUAUAAAGUUUUGAAUAUAUUAUUUUAUUUUAUAUAUGUUAUUGAUUAUCGAACUUUCAUGUUGCUUUUGGUCUGCUCUACCUAGCUGUACAAAGCAAUGAUACUUUCGUAUGUAAAUAUUCACAUCAUAUAUAUAAUUUAUCCUUAAGAACAGUUAUUAUUUAAUAAUAAUAUAAUAACGUAAAAUUAAUAAAAUUUCUCUAAUGGAGAAAAAUUAAUAACCCUCACAACGACGGAGCUUAAGAUGAUGUUAUUUUCACACAUAAUUUUUGUAUAUUUUUGUUCAUGUCAUUUGACUUAUUGCUAUGAUUAUUGGCUGCAGAAUUAGAACUUUAUAACUGACGUUUUUCCCGGAAGUAUAGUAAACCAUUUCUCUUUGAUUGUGUUAGCUAUGCGUGUUCAUUUCUCUUGAAAAGUGGUUAUAAUUAGCGAAGAUGAUGAGUGUGUGUUGCAUAGAAAGAAAGCAUGAGAUGUGGGAUGAAAUUAAUGAGGAUAUUAGAUGAAGUGAUGGUACGUAGUUGGUGAAGUGAAAAAAAGGCAUGGGUGGUUGUGGUGUGAGUUGGAGGAAGAAUAGGGUGAUUUGACGGGCAUGGAGGUUUUGGGAAGAGAUGGGAAAUGAAUGAUGGAAGGGAUAAUAUAGACAGUAUCCGUUAAGGUAGGAGAGAUACGGGUAUCUUAUCUCAUCUCAUCUCAUCUCAUGCAAUGCAAUGCAAUAACCAAAACUUGCACCAAAGGAUUACAUUACAUUACAUUGUGUGGACCACAGUGGAAGCACGCAGCUUUAACUGAUGCUCAAGACCCCCAAAACAAGCAAAGCAUCUUAAACGUGUAAUAGGUAAUGCCCAGGCUUUGGACUACUUAAGAAGCAAGCUGUCCAUAAAAGCAUAAUAUCCUGCUACUAUUAUUCAAACAUCUACACUUUCAUUCUUUCAAUUACCAACCUUACAAACUACCACACUUCUCCAUCUUUCCCCAACUAAUCAACCAGGUCCCCCUUUUACCAUGCACAUUAAACCUCAUCCAUAAACCUACAAACAACCCUCACUUUACAUUCAUCAACCACCUUCUAUAUCUACACUUCUACUCUUACUUCACCUUUUUAAGUACCAAACACAUUCUUAAAUGCAACACCUUCAACCAUCAUUCUUACACGUCACUCAGAUUCUACUCAUACUAAUAGAUUCUCUCCCCCAUCUCUCUCUAAACCUCACUCAUGCUUCACUACAACUCUCAUACCUGCUAGCUGCACCAAUAAAUAAAUAAAUCAACCUCCUGUCCCUAUUUAACUAUUUAUUCUCUGUGUUUAUUUAUAGUUUCUUCAUACAAAGCAAAAAUAUCCUUUUCCAACUCGAAAAACAGAGAUAAUACGGAAGGAAAUUAAAGUCACAGAAAAACUGUCAUGCAUUUCUGAAUUUACAUUUACCCCACUUCAGAAUUUGAGUUUUACAGCAUUUCUUCCCAGCAUAAAAGAGAACAUAACAAAAUAAUUCCUCUCAAACUUCAGAUAACUCACAUGCAAUAAAAUAAAAAAAUUAAUUACAACAGUCCCUUUCCACGCUCAGACCCAGGUCAUGAUGAAGAAAGACCCAACCACCAAUAGAAACAAAACUGGUUCCCACUCAACCUCUUCCCCCUCCACAGUGAAUUGAUCAUAUAACAUCUUAAGAAAGUGUUACUGAUUUCUAGCUCGUUUGAGAAAACAACGUCCAAAGAAAUUCAACACAGUGCCGUACAAACAGUCCAAGGGUUACAAACUACUCACAACUAUUCAUCUUACUUCCGAACUAAUGUAUAUUAUCCUUGCAGAGAUUAAGCAAGUCGAACACUGUUAAGAAAGUCAAGAAAUUAAGCUAAAGAAAAUUGAAAAUGCACGAGGGGGAAGCUGAAAUGAGGCACAAACUAGGACGAAGAUUUUUGUCGCUUUUUUCAGUGCGCGGUGUUAGCGAAAGACAUGAAAAACGGAAAAUGCAGGUGGGUGAGAACGCGUACAUUGAUACUACCGAGGAAGUUCCUGCUUCCUAGUUCCAACAACUGUCUUAGGAUAGAGUUAUCAUAACAUUAUAGACAAACAAAACAGAUGUCAUCUUAAUCAAUUAACCCUUCUCGUCACCUAUAUAUAUAUCUGAUAUCAUCAUCACCAUCCACCAGAAAAAAAAGGUUCCAAACGCGUCACCACCACCACCAUUGUAACAAACUGCAAAAGAAUUCUAACACUAGAACGACAUCAUAAAAAGACUGAUUUUUUGAACUGAACAGAAAAUUAAAUUAGUCCAUGGGCAUCAGCAAUAAUAACUUGAUCUAAUUAACUUACCUACCUCCUCAAACACUAACACAAUAAGAAGAGAAAGAAACCCUAACAAUUUGGGUGGGUGGGUGAGUGAGCUUAAGGGUUGAAGAAGUUUGAACAUCGGAAUUUGCGCACUUUACUAGGGCUUCUUACCGAGAGUGUGCUUGUUGUUAUGCAUCCAAACCUUGAGAACGUGACGCUUCACCCCGGUUUCGUUGCAGAAAGCUUGGACCACACCCUCGUCGUGUUUCUGAAUCCUCCACCCUAGUUUUUCAGCAAGUUCAAGCAUUUUGUCCUUUUGCUCCUGCGUGAACUUUGUUCUGAACCGUUUCUUGGACCCCGUUCCUCCUGCACUCGGGUUCGAAACGUCCUCCUGGUCCUCCCGAGUGCUCUGCGUCCCGCCGCCGCCGGACGUCGACGGCAGCGCUAGCGUCCCAGUCACGCGUGCCUGCCCCCCCACCUGAAGGUACCCAGUCGGGGUCCGGUAGUACGCCGCGAACUGCGGCGGCGGAGGGUGGUGCAGGUGGUGGUGCGAAACCAAGAACGGGUCGACACCGCCGACGGAGGCGCCGGCCCCGUCGCUCUCCUUGCGGUGAAAGUUGCGGUGGCAGCUGCAGGCGGCACAUUUGAGGGCGUCGAGGGAACCCUCCGUCCCCGCCGCCAUGAACUCGCCGCAGCCGUCGAGCGCGUGGCCCCCGAUGCCGACAGCGUGGUCUUGAGACACUCUCUGUAGCGCGCCCUCCCGGAGCCACCGUUGGUGCUGGUUCUGACUGGCUGCGCCGCCAUGACGGCCUCCGGGCCGAGCGGAAGCUUCAUCCGGGUGGGGUCGAAAGCUGCGGCACUCAUACACUGCUCCUCCUCUUGGUCCUCUUGAUCCUCGAAUUCCAUUUUGCAAAAUUGGCGAAAAUCUUAAACUUAUGAGUCCUAUUAAUGACAAGUGAUGGGAAAAUCUAAAAGGGGGUCUCAGUACUCUUCUCGCAGUGUUUCUCUCUCUUUGUUCUCUGCUCUCGUCGUGCUUUCUUUGUCCAAAGGUGUAUUCCUUCAUAUACUUUUGCGGUUCUCUGUUUUGGGAGGACACGACAAUUACAGCAUAAUAUACAAAACUCUCUCUCUCGAUUUGUCUUAAGAUCAUCACCUUCCACCGGCUGUUCCGGUCACUCCGUAAUUUGUUCCGUUUUCGUUUUUCACCGCGAUAUUUUUUCACUUUGCCUCACUCUAGUACUACUCUCAUCACUCCAGGACAACUGACAAAAGGGAUCAAUUUUACUUCAAUAAUAUAUCUCAGUUUUUAAUGCAAAUCUUUAUGAUACAGAACCACCACUCUCCAAGCAUAUGUGAACCUCUUUUCCAGUUUUCUUUUUCUCUAUGCACCAUUUUAUAUUACUCAUUUCAUACAAAAUUCAAAUCCACUCCAUAUCUUUUUCAUUUUCCUAGUAUUCAUAACAAGCUGGUCGUAAAAUUAUUAAUAUAACACACUUCUGUGUUUCUUUGCAUAUGGAAGCGAAAAUCAAUUGUGUGAAUAAGUGGGUUUGUUUUGGUAUAAGGUUAUUAACACAACACAUUUCUAUGUGUUUCUUCGCAUAUGAAGUGGAAAUUCAAUUAUAUGGGAUCCACUAUUUUUUAUAUUUUCUUCUUUAUUUCAUUGGUACUAAAUAACAUAGGCUUCAGUCACUUUUCGCAUUUUCAUUUCCUCCUUUUCGUUUCUUCACCAUAAGAAGUGGAAGACAACAAUAAUCUCAAAGAGUGGGUGUAUUGGUGUAUUAUGUUACAAGUGAAUAAUUAAAACAUUUCUACAUAUUCCUUUACAUAUGAGAGUGGAAAUUCAAUUGUGUGGGGACUACUAUUUUUGUUAUGUCUUUCUUCUUUAUAUCACUGCUAUUAAACAACAUAAGCUUACUUUUUCCAUCUCUUGUUUUUUUUUCCUUCUCUUUUUUUCACAAGAGGAAAACAACAACAAACUUAUAUUUUUUACAUCCACCAUAUUUAUUUAAAUGAUGCCAAACAACAUAAAGUUUUUUUCGCUAUAAAAAGAUUCUGAUAGUGACAAUUUUAAGGAUAAUGUUAGCUUCUUUGAUGAGGUUAAUAAAUUUAAACAUUUUUAUGUAGUCCUUUCCUAUAUAAGGUGGAAAAUCAAUUAGGUGAGAAUUAGGUGAGAUCUAUUUGUUAGAUAUUUUACAUCUAUUAUACAUAAUAACAAUUUGGAAACAAUAUUUUUUAUAUUUUUUUCUCUUUAUUUUCUAGUUAGAGAUGAUGUUUUUGUAGAUGGAUAAGGGUACGUAGAUGUUGUGCUUGCAUGUCUCAUGAUGUUUGAUUUACAACUCAUAAUGCGAGUGCUAGGUUAAAGAAUGAUGUUGUUUUUAUAAGGGUUGAGGUGUAUCUGAAAUACCUUCAUUUUUAUUUAUUCUUUUUUUAAGAUAAAAAAUUAUUUUUUGCUCUUUAUUUUCUUAUUACUAAACAACGCAAGCACAUAGUCACUUCUUUGCAUUAUAAUCCACUUUUUUCAUUUCCUUUUUAUGUAGUUACUUCUUUGUAUUUUCAUCCACUUUUUUUCAUUUCCAUUUCAUAAGUGGAUGAUGGUACUAACAAGUUGAAGGAGGAGCUUACUUUGAUAUAAGGUUAAUAAAUUAAUGCAUUCUUUUAUGUUUUUUUCACUUUGCAUAAGAGAGUAAUAUUCAAUGCAAAAUCCACAAUUUUGUUAUAUCUUUCUUUUGUUUCAUUGUUACUAAACAACAUAUGUUUUGUUACUUGUUCACAUUUCAUUCCCUUCUUUUGGCUUACAUCAUGAGAAUAAAAAGACCACGAGAAAUUGAAAGAAUAAGGCUCGUUUGAAAAACGAGCAAUUCACAUUUCUACACAUUUUGCAUAUCAAAGUGAAAAUUCAGUAUUCUUUCAUAUCUUGCCUUUUAGUUUCACUUUUAAUAAACGGCACAAGUUUCAAUUUUUUUUUAUUUUUGGCAUAUUCAUCCCUUCUCAUUUUCUUUUCAUAAAAAGAGGAAGGCGAUGACAAACAUAAUAGACAUUGUUAUUCUGAUACAAAAUAACAAAUAAACACAUUUUUUUUUUACAUUUUUAUCUCUCUUUCUCAAUCUUUAAGAACGAUAAAGAGAUUCAUCCGUUUAAAAUUUAUGGACUACUAUUUCUAACUCGUUUUGCAUAAUUGUGACAUGGGAAAUAGACCUGUGCUUCUUAAAACAAUUAUGGUAAUAAAUAAAAAAUAAAAAAUAAGUCAAAAAUAAUUAAUUGAAUGAAAAAUAGAAAAAAAAUAGUAUUGUACAGAUAAUAAUAAUAAUAAUAGAAGUAAAAAGUAAUCGAAAUAAGAAAAGUUGGAGACAGACGAAAAUCAUGCGACGCGCUUGAGCAGAUGGCAUGAGAAGCACUGAAACUGAGUGCACGCAUUCCGGUGGGUGAAACGAGUGACGUGGUAUGGAAGUGGUGGAAGGGGGCGCGUGGGCGGCGCGUGUAGUUAGGGGAGCUGAAGAAAAUUGGUUUGUUGUUCCCACAUAGGAGGGAUAAGUGAGGGCGGGGCCAGGAGGAGUGGAGUGGGUGUAGGGUUAUAGGUAGGAGGAAGCACCAUUGUACCUUUGCACACACUUAGAUUGGAUAAUAUUUUACUUUUUAUUUUAAUUUUUUGUUCCUACUUUUUCUAAUCCCUACCUUUCUUUUAUUUCUUAGACUUAAAAUUAAAGUCUACAUCUAUGAUUUUUGCAAAGAACAAACAGAAUUUGAGUGAUAGGUACUAGGGUAGUAGUGGUAGAAUGAGUGAUCACCAUUAUUAUUAUUAUUAAUAUUUUUAUUAUUAUUAUUACAUAAGAAAAUAAAAAUGUAUGUUGUCAGCAUCAAAGGCAGCUGUUGCUACGUGCGGUCUUCUCCGACAUGGGUCACGAGCGUUUGGCGUCAUCAUGCACUUACUUCGCUAAACUAAUUCAAAACAAGUCAAUACUCAAGAACUACGUUGCUUAAAAUAACCUCCUUUCACGUAUCAAUUCAUUUUAAUACAUGUACUCUUCUUUUAGCAAUUACUUUAUAACAAGCUUUUAUGGAAAAUUUGUUUGUAAGACAUAAUUAAAUCAUUUUUUAUAAAUAAAAUAAUAAUUUAUACAUGAAUUUAAAAAAAUAACAAAUUCAAAAUAUAAUACAAGUUAAGUUCUACACAUUAGUUUAUGAUUAAACUAAUUUUGAAGAACUUUAUUUUACUUUUUAUUCUUGUUUUAAUCUUUUUUUUUAAGUUAUGAGUCUGCGCAUUGUUCAUUUUCUGAUUGGUAUAUAGAUCCGUUGAUUUAUAUGAUGAUAAUCUCAUGAUAUAUUCCUUUAAGUUGUAUGAUUGUUUGUCUUAAGUGACUUUCUUUAAGUUAAGCUAGCAGAAUUCUAUAUAAACAUACGUGAGAGUUCGUGUAUAAGGGUUGAACCACUAUAAAGUAGUUCAUAUUUAUUCAUUUGUUAUUAUCGAUAAAAAAAAUAAAAGAUAAUUUAAUAUUAAAUAUAAUUGUAAUAUGCUUACAUUUCCCAUAUUUUAAAAUUAAAUUUAGCAGUACUUUAUAAACCUUCUUUAAUUUUAAUUCAUUGAAUUAAUUCUUGUAUUUUAAUUUAUAGAAAUUAUAAUAGUCACAAAAUACCAAAAUUGUAAUAUAGUUCUUCUUUUAAGUGAGAAACUUUAAAAACAUAAUAAUUACAAAAAUAUAUAUUCUAGAUCGGUUAGAUUAAAACUUACCUUUUUACAUUAAUUAUUAGUAGACAUUGAAACUUUGAUUUUUUACCAAAAUAACGCAUAUAUUAAUUUAUCAAUCAUUAUAAAAUAUCAAAAUAAAUAAUGUAAAAAAAUUAUAUUAUAAUAAAAUGCUAUUAUUUAUUUAAGUGACUUAAAUAUCGUUGACAUAGUGUGAUUAAUAAAAUUAAGAUAUAGUGGAUUGUGAUAUCCUGAAUACUUUUAAUUCUAUCAAAUCACGAAUGCAUUUUACCUUUCCCAGCUUCCAACUUCUUACUUUUGAAUAUUUAACUUGCUUGAUACGAUAUUGUUUUGUUCAAGACACAAGAAAAGAAGAAAAUUGAAGAGAAAUGAGUUUGGGAUUUUGAUAGUAUCAUUUUGAGAUGCAGGAAGCAAACAAUGAGUGAGCAUGUCUUGACCUUGUGAAAAAUAACCAGCCAUUGUCUUCCCCAAUCUCUAGGAAAGCACAACCAACCUUACUCAAACAUAACCAAACACGCAUCAUUGUUUUUCCUACACAAUCAUGUUUUUUUUUUUCAGAAUAAUUUUUUUUAAUUUUUUGGAAGCUAGGGAAGAAGAUUAUAUGGUUGAUUUGUGAUUGUCCAAAAAUAUCACUAUUAUUCAAAUCAAAAUACAAAAGAAAAAAAAAAGAGAUAAAAGAUGAAAUUAUGUUUGUUUGCUGAUAUUUAAUAAUAUUUUUUUUAUCAAUAAUAAAUAAAUAAAUAGAAGAUUUUCACUAUAAUUAAUAAUUAAGAUUCUAGAAUCACGUAAAGAAGUUUGAGAUUAUUUGAAAGAAGAAUACGAUGGGAAAAAAAUAAGAAUUGAGAUAUGAGAGCAUUAUAAGAAAUUUUGAAUUGAAUGCGAUGAAAGAGUUAAAGAAAAAUAAAAAAUACUCAAAUAAAUUGUUAGGUAUUAUUAACCGGAUAAAAUUUUGGUAAUGGGGUUGGAGAAUUAUGAAACAUUUAUUACUUCGUUAGAAAACACAAAUAAUUUGUCAACAAUUACUUUGAUAGAAUUGAUACAUUUGUUGCAAGCACAAAAGCAACAAAGAUUAAUAAGAGGAGUCUCUACCAUUACCAUUGAGGGUAAGAUAAAAGUUUUUUCGCAAUCAAGAACUACAAAAGGAGUAAAUACAACAAAAACAAAAGACAUAAAUUUUUCAUCUUGUUCCUACUCCAAAAAAAAUCACCAACAUAACAAAUGUUAAUGAACGCCAAUUGUAAAAUGCUAAGUUGGGAUAUGUGGAAAAUAUAUGCAAAUCCCAAUAUUCAUAAGAAAAUGUUAAGAUUGUAAAGGAAUAGUGAAUUAGAAGACGAACUACUUCUUGCAUUGCAACUGCAUUUGUUACAACCAACAAAUCUAGAAAACAUUGGCUUAUAGAUAGUGGUCUUUACAAAACACAUGACCUAUAAUGAAUAACUUUUGAAAGAGCUUAAUAAAUCAUAUAUUUCUAAAGUAAGAUUUGUGAAUGGAAAAUAACUUAUUGUCGAAGGUAUAUAGAAUUGCAAUUAAAAAUCAUUUAAUUGUCAACUUAAUUUUUGAUAUCUUAUAAAUAAUCGAGAUUAAUCAAAAUUUGUUAAGUGUUGCUAAACAAGGUUAUAAGGAGUACUUUGAAAACAAAAUUUUUGCUUUGAAUUUGAUGAAAAAUGAGUUUGUUACAAAUAAAGAAAAUAUAAAAAAAAGGUCAAAAUAAAAAGAAGAUGAAUAUUUUUUGAAAAAAAUUCAUGUCCAAUAGAAAGUAUACGAAGAACCACAUUCUAACGUCCAUCAAAAGUACAACAUGAAAUUAGUAAUAGACAAAGAAGAUGAGAUUGAUGAAAGAAGAAUUACAAUUUCAAAAUGAAUAAAAAAAAUAUAUAAGAACUAUGAAUAAAAAAGAGAAUAUAUGUCAAACAUUAAAAAAAAUGAUAAUAAAAUUUAAAAUUCAAAUAAAUAAAUAUUAAGAAAAUAAUAAAUAUUGAAAACAUUUACUUAAUAUAUUUCAUUGUUUUUCACAAAAAAGAUAUUAAUUUUUUAAGAUAAAAAUAUACUUGAUAAUAUUUUAAUAUUUAAUAUUCCGUUAAAUAAAAUAAAUCACAAAUUUCUCCAUCUAACAUUUCUCUAUUUUCAAAAUGUCAACAAUUUUUCCUCUUUCAUAGAAUUUAGUUUUUAUUUUAUUAUUCUUUAAUUUUAAUUAAAAGAUUUAGUGUUUUUAUUAGAUUUAUUUAAAAAAAAAGCGACUAAAUAGUCAUUAUUGUCCCGGUAGGACUACUUAUAAGAUGGGUUUUCAACCAAAUUCUUCCUCUCUAUCUUUUAUAUACACCUGCUUUUUAAUUGCACGCCCAUUUAACUUAAAUAACAGAUAAGCUUCUUUUCUCAUAACUUAAUACAUUCUUUUCGUUUUUUCCUCUGUCCUUAUGAGCUUACUUUUCUUUACAUUUUUACUGGUUUCAGUAUAUUACGCGAAGCAUUCAACUAACAGUUAAAUUAGGUAAAUCCGUUAGUAAUAAUCGAUCAUGCUUAAGAAAUAAAUUCAACAGCGUCUAUUACAUCGUACAAAAAAGUUGAUUAAUGGAUUAAUUAAACAAUAAAAAUAAUAAUUAGAAUUAAAAUCGUUAAUAUUUACCCGUGUAUAAUGUUUUGACCUGGGGGGCUGUAACCGAAACUGUCAUGCUUGAAGCUGCUGCUGCUGCUUAUGUCUCGACACAUGAACCUUUUUCAAAUUUAACUACAACGAACAGUACAAAAUUAUUAGAAACUUUUUCGAGUGAAGGAUUUUUUAAAAGUUAUAUAUAAAUAAUUUCCUCAUUAAUUUUAGUACUGUAGAAGUAAGAGUAAUAAAUUAAAAAAUAAAAUGUCUUCUUUCAAUCUUACUUUUGUUUGAUUGGGAUGACAUGACAGGGAAGUGAGUUUGAUGAAAAUUUUGAGGGCCAAUUAUCAAAUUCAAGUAUUAUCUAUUUUAUAGGUCUGUAUUUUGUUAUAAUUUUAUUUUAAAAAAAUAUUUUAGUGAGUUAGAGGAGAGAUGAGUAUAUACAUUAUAGAAAAUAUUGAUGAUAGUCUUUAAAAAAACUCACUAAAUAAUAAUUAGAGUGAAUUUAAUUUUUCUUAAGAUUAACAUUAAUAUUUUUAUAGUGAUAAAUAAUGUACUGCCGGAGAAAAAAAAAUGUGAAGGCAGUUAAUAUUAAAAGGAAUAUGAUGAAUAAAAAAAAAGUAGGAUUGAGAGGAAAGUUACGUCAACAUCAGAUAGAUUUGAUGAAAGAUGAGGAAAUAUAAGCCAUAAUGCAUGUGUUAACUAAAAAUAAGUUGAAGAUGCAUAAUAACAUAUAUAACAUAACAUAGCAAAACAAAGAAGAGAAGAUACGGAUCCCACCCAAAAUUAUUGUGUGUACUCUAGACAGAUCUCUGACUUGUCUAUUUUGGUUGAAAUUUAUUUUGAUGUUUUUGUAUAGAUUGAGAGGAGAUAAAAAGAUAAUAUUUGAUUGAUUUGGUAUUAUCCAUUUUUGUAAUUUUGUUGAUAAGAAAAGGUGAAGUGGGCAGUCUAAUCACAUAAAAAUGUGGGAACGGCCCCCAAUAAUUGAUGCAGAAAGGUCCUUGAUCACCACUCUUUAUUACUUUCAUUCUCCUCUCAACUCACAACUCACGCUAAUUGCAUCCCUUGUCGUUUCGUAUAAUCGCAAACUAGUUAAAAUAGCCAAGCAUUUCAACUUUCAAUUCAUUGAGUCAGACACACUUUAGCCAAAACAAGAUAAACGAAUAAAGCAUCCAACCAUCCUUCAUAUUUUACAACAUCCCAAACUACUUUCUUCUAAUCCUCUUACAACACCCUAAUCACUAACCCCUUCAAAACCCAACCUCCUUUGCUCCAUUUCCUUAUAAGGAAAACCCAUCCUUAACAACAUUUUUUUUCAUCAAUUUCAAAUUAAGACGAAAAAGGGUUUGGGUGGGAAGUUAGAGGCAUUGGUGAAGUGGUAGAUGGACUUCAUCAUGUGAUGCUCCAAAAACAGCCAAAACGGACGGAUAGACGUCUGAUGGGACCUUCUGACACACGCACACAGAGAGUACUCAAUCUCUUUGUCGUGUCGUGUAUGGGUGUUUCACAUUUUUUUUUAUUUUCAUUUUAAUUAAAUAUGUCAACAUAUUAUUGUUUUUCACUUCAUUUAACAUGUAUUACGCUGCAGAUUUGCAUUUUUAUUUUUCAAACGAAUCAUCAUUGCAUGAUAAUAACCAUUAGAGUGUAUAUAUUGUUUAUUUCUUAAAUAAAAAUGAUGGUUUGAUUGGUAUGCUCAGCGUUGCUGUUGUUUACUGAUAUAAUAUAUAUAUAUAUAUAUUUUUUGUUGUGUCAGCUGGCGGGAAACCGCAGAUAGAACAAGACAGAAUGAGAAACAAUAAACUUUUUAUGUGUACUGUGUUGUGUCACCUACCACAACCAUGAACCAAACCAAACCAACAACACAUGCACCACUCUCUCUCUCCGUUGAGUGAUGGCACAAGCCCUUUCUCCCCGUUGAGGUAGAAUGAUGAAGAAAAUAAGAACGGGACGGAAAAGUUGUGCUGUGCCCGUUGAGGUAGCUCCAGGGUGAGAGUGAGAGAGAGAGAAAGAGGGAAUUGCGGGGAAAAGGGAAGUGGAUAGUGACAAGACAAGAAAAAGAAUGGGACGACCGUGAUUUGCAUUUCUAUAUUCUCUUGCAGCUUUUCUCUCUCUCUCUCUCUCUCUUACACAGUACGUACUAAUAACACAAACACACACACUCACACACAUUCAUACACACACAUACGUAUACACUGAAAACUGUGGCCCCCAUACUUGAACAGAACCCCCAGCUUGCUUGUCGCACCACCAUCACCUCCAUCCAUUCAUUCACCAACAAUUCACCUUUUUCUUCGCUUUUUCUCUGCCGUUUCUACUGUUUCUUUCUAUGCUUGCAUAUCAAGUGUAAUCACCUUGCAUUUUUUAAUUCCUAAUAUAUAUAAAUGAGUGUUUGAAAGUCAGAUAUGAUUCUUCUUCCAGUGAGCUUGGCUCACUACGCAAACACACAGUCCUGAACACACAUGUUCUUUCCUUUUCCCCUCUGCAUCUUUUUCACGAAUUUGGGUUUUCUAUCCUAUACAUAUGUCCGCAAGCAAACCAGAAAAAACACUCCUCAGAAGUUAAGAAUCAUCAUGCACAUCACUCCCAUCUCAUCUCGUCUCGUCAUUGCACACCCAUCAUUAGGACCACUUCUUUUAUUUUAUGUCUCUAAUUCACAGAAACAAAGACUAAUCUAAUCAUCUUAAUCUUUUGCUUUCACCCACCAUCUACUCUUAAUCUCGCAUCACCUCAGGCUAACAAAAAAUAUACACUUGAUUCUUCCAUUAACUCCAACAAGGCUAAGCAUCGUCAUUCUAUUUUAUAAGGAUUUCAGUUCAGAUUGCCAAUGUAAAGACUUUGUUAAUAGUGAUUUCAAAACCACUUUUAUAUCAAGUAUGUUUUAACCCUAAUUAAUAAACACUAAAACAACAUUGCUUUAUAAUUCUAUCUUUUAACUAAGUAAUCUAUUAUCUAAAUUUCAACAAUGUUAUUUUAAGUAUGGAAAAAAUCCUGAAAAUAUAAUAUAUAAGUUUGUGCACUGAUGGCCCUUAAUUGCAUUAAAAAACUGCAAACAUCAUUAAAUGAACCACUAAAUUCUAAUACUAUCAGGCUAAAUUUUUCUAGUAAAAAGAGUUGGUUCUAUUAACUAUUCUCUCCUAAGUUCAAAUUCUAAUGUAUGCAAUUUAUCAUAAUUUUUAGAAUUUAUUACAUAAAUAUCCCUUCAGAUUUACCUUAAUUACACAUGCAUCCUUUUAUUUUCAGAAACAUACCAAUGACACUCCUCCCCUGACGAAGUUAAUGGUAUAACGAUCUUAAAAUUAAAAUUAAAUAUAUUUUGAGUUCAUUAUUGUGAAAGUCCUAAAUUGUUCUUCAAUUAAGUUAGAUAGAAAGUUGUGGAUCCCUCAUUUUGUAAAGUCUCUAGUUUGGAUUUUGAUUUUUCUCUCUCAACUUCAUUUACCUUUGAAUGUUUCUCAUGGAUUUAAGUCUGCAAUUUUACACAGAUUUGGGUUUGAACACCUAGUGUUCAUUAUAUACAAAAAAAAAUUAAAAUGUUGAUAAAAAGAAAACACCGAUUAAUAAGGGAAUUGAUGUUUGUGUUUUUCGUUUUCUAUUCUUUUGUAUAUAAGAGUUGAAACAUAACUAAAAUGUUUAAUUUAAUUUAAUUUAUUCUUGUUUGAUAAAAAAAAUAACUGAUUUAUUAGUUUAUUUAAGAAUUGAUGUAGUAGGACAAAUUAUAUUGGUUUCUUAGGUGUAGUAUAUGUGUUUUUAGGUUAGUUUACAACUAUAUGUUCUCUUCAGUUUCCUUCUUUGUGUUGUAUUUUUUUGUCAUCCUUUAUAAAUUCUUUUUUUUUUACACUUCAAGUCUUUAUAAAAAAAUGUACAUUAAUAUAUUUAGGUAUUACAUAUGUUUAUAAAACUGUGAUUUUUUAUGUUAGAAAUAUAUAUUACAUAGAAAUGUAUAUAUUGUAAAAUAGACUAUACAAAUAUAUAUUUAUUUGUUGAUACAAACUAUUUGUUUCUGUAUCUAGAUAAUAAUAAAUAUAUUUUUUCAGUUGACUUAGAGAUUUGCUUAUUGUAAUUGAAAGAUACUCUUUUUUUCUGAUUUUUUGGGAUUAUGCAAAAAAAAAUUAUAAUCUGAAUAAAGAUUGUAACUAGUACCUGUGCAACACACAAACUUUUACAAAAGUCUUAAUUUUAAAUUAUAAUAUUAUAAAAAUAUAAUUUUUUGGAUAUUAUAUUAAAUCUGGUAUUACAAAAUACAAAUAUAAGUCCUUCAAUUAUUAAGAAUAUAAGAUAGUUAGAAGAAAUAAAAAUUUUAUGUAAAAAGGAUAAUUGAAAUUAAUAAAUAUGAAAUUGACAAAAUUUUAAAAAAUGAGAUGAGACAUGGUAAAUAUUAAUAUUUUUGGGUUAAUUAUCUUAUUUUUAAUGUCAAUCACGUGAAAAUACGAAGUCAACACAAUCUUAAUAAGACAUCAAGUUACAACAGACAAAAUAUAAACUUAUAUGAGAGAAUGAAAAUGAGAUAACGUAUGUUUGUUUGAGUUAGGAGUGAUAAUACGGGUUAGUCGCAUUGGUCUAUCUCGCAUUUAACCCACAAAAUAUGGAUCGGGUUGAUCCAUUUCACAAAAGUGACACAAACUGAAUUUGUUGGUCUAUACUGUAUAAGAAUUUUAUUUAUUUCAAUUUUUUAUUACAUAGUACAUUAAACAAUUUAAUAUUUAUACUUAUUUAAGAUUUUGAAUAAUUUAGAAAUUUUAUGUAUUUUAACUUUUUAUUGAAAUAGUUCAUUAAAUAAUUUAGAAUUUUUCUUUAGAGUUGAUGGUUGAAGUAUUUUGAAAUGUUUAAUAUUUAUUUAUUAAUUACUAAUAAAAAAAAUAUUUAUUUGUUGCCUUCUUUUAAAGUGGUACAAUAUUAGAAUAAAGUGUUCAUUUUCUUAAAUGGCUUGAUUUUUUAAAGAAAAGUGGACAUACAAGAACAAAUUUCUUAAAGCCUUACUAGAGUAAAUUGCUCUAAGAUUUUCCAAAAGAAACUUAUUUGACAAUACCGUAAUACAAAAAGGAGAGGUAGCAACAAUUAAUGCGCAGAUAACGACCAUAUUCUGCAAGAGAUUUUAAUAAACUAAAGACAAUAAAAAUUAUGAAAUAUGACAAAAUCAGCCUCGUGUCCUUCUUUCAUAAUUCGAUCUACAUGUUUUGUACCAUUCACUAUUAUGGUAGGCAUUAUAGAUAUAAACAUGAGACAUAUGUUGGAAAUCCUAAAUAUACUAUGAAUAAAACCAAGCCAAAUUGUAAUAUAUUUAAAAACAUAUUUAAAAACUACAGGUCUUAAUAUUAAAAAAAAUAAACAAGAGUUUAAUAUAUGAUUAUUCAUUUGUAAUAAAGAUAUAUAUUUUUUUUUUAAGAAGUGAAGUUUAAAUAUAACUCAAUCUUAUAAAAAUUAGUUUGUAAGUUGAAAUUUGUAGUUAUUUAUAUUUUAUAAAUUAAUUUUAUCUUAUCUCUAUUUAAUAUGAGAUUUUCACAUCAUUCUCACAUUGAAACUGUUAACUCAUUCAUGAGACUAGAUAUUUAUGAGUAGUCCAGUAUUUAGUAGUGAAUAAUACCAUAUAUUUAAUAAACUCUCGUUAUAAUAAACUUUAAAUAAAUCUAAUAUAAAUUUAGAAGUGAAUUUUAAACAUAAUUUAACUUAUGUUGAAUUGUGUAAAAUAAAAUUUACACUAAUUUAUAUAGUAUAAAUUGUUCUUAUCUCUCCAACAACUUUAUUUUAUUUCUUUUUCUUUUUUAGAGAUACUUUUAUUAGGUAUUAUUAUUUGAUUCCAUCUCACAUGUCUAUUUUUGUGUGAUAUUAUUGUAAAAAAUGUAUAAAAUUGAUUUCAUGUGUUGUUUUAUUUUGAAGAAAUUGUAAAGAAAAGAAUGGUGCUAUAUUUGGGGUGACAGGGUGAAAUGGUUGCUCCACUUGCAUCCAGCUUGCACCAAAAUGGAAGAUACCCAGUGACUCUUCACCUGUUCUUGCGUGUCCUCACCCAUCCCUCAAUGCAUCAUGACCACCAUGUGUCAAUUUAUGACAAUCGCAUCAUCAUGUCCCUAAAUUCUUAAAUAUAUGCUUAUCUAGAUUCCAUUUCCUUUUAUUUUUUCCCCACAUUUUCUUAUAUUUCUACCAAUAUACCAUGCUGACAUCCUUUUGAUUUUCCAUAAAUAACGAAUUACAAAAAAUAGGAACACUAAAACUAUAAUUAAAUCUUAUAUUUAUGACUCAAUUUUGGUUUAGGUUUUGAAUUAAGUGAAAAAAAAUGUACCAAAUAGAUUAGUUUUUAGACUGUGUUGGCCGAAUUCAAACCCAAUCAACAAACAUUCGGUUGAUUGAAUUUAAUUUAAUUCAUUGAGCUUAAAAACACUAUUGUUUCUGACAUUUUUUUAAUUUCUAUUGGUAUGCUAUUUUUCAUUCUAGUCCUUUUUUCUAUUGGUAUUCCAAUUUAAUUCAAUUUAAUAUUCUUUGUUAAAGUGGAGUAGAAAAGCAAUAAGAAAAAAAAGGUUAAAAGGUCAAAACAAAAAGCAAAUAUCGUGUCCCUUAAGACAUCAGUAUAUAUAUAUAUAUAUAUAUAUAUAUAUAUAUAUAUAUAUAUAUAUAUUAACUCAGUGAGAUUGCAGUCCACUAUUUCACCAUGUUAUUCUUAAUUAAAUCUAUUUACUUAAAUUUUACUCAAUUAUUUUAAUCUUAGUCUUUAGUUCAAAUUUAGGAGAAACUGAAGUUUGUUUAGUAGUAUUAGUAUUUUCUAAACUAGUUAUUACUUUAUGAUUAAAUUACACUUCUAAUCUUGUAAUUUUGGACCACUCUCUUUUUAAUACAAUUUUUAAAACUUAUAACCGGGAAUGGCUUAAAACCUAAAAUUUAAUUUGUUUAAGAUUUGGCCUAUAACAUUUCUAAGGUUCUUUAAGUAAUCAGUUUAUGGUUGGGUAUCUCUCAAAUGCCAUCAGUUUAUGUUUGUAUUUUUUAUUUGUAAACUAAAUCACUAUCUUCACCACCAUUGCAAUAAAAUCAUUACAACAAUUAAUUUAAAAAGAUAAUAAUAAUUAAGUUUAAUACUUUCUAUAAAUUAAAAAAGUUAAUGUUAUUUAAAAUAAUUUUUAUUAUAAAUACAAAUUAAUAAAAUAAUUUAUAAAUUUAUAUAUGAAAUUAUUUAUAAAUAUUUUAAUUAUUAAUUACUUUAGAUUCUAAAUUAGUCUUGUGAUUAAUUUAAAAAUUAAAAUACUUAGUAACUAAAAUCUUGUUAAUUAAUAUUAGAUAACAAUUUAAAAAUUAUUUUAUAAAAUUUUAUUAAUGAUAUAAACUAUUUUAGAUACUAAUAAUUUUUUAAUUUUAAAAAAUAAUAUUUAAUUUAAUAAAUAAUAUUUAAUUAAGAAAUAUUAAUUAUUUUUUGUUUUUAAAAUGUAGUGAAAUUAGAUCUGUGUUUUUUCAUUAGAAGUCUAACUUUUUUAUAUGGUAAAAAACUAAUAAAUUCUAUCAUUAUUAAUGGUGAAAAAUCUAUUUUGUCGGAUAAUAAAAAUGAAGGGAUAUACUUUUUAAUAAAAAAAUAACGGAAACAAAUUAUUUAAAUCAAAACUCUAUUUUAUAUUUAUAAAACUAAUGUGAUCAUUAAAAAUUAAAAUGAAAUAGAAAACAGUUUUUUUAGUUUAACAUAGUAUGUCACAAAUUUAAUUUUAAUUUAAAUAUCAAUGGGAAUUAAUCAAAUUUAAGAUAUAAUAUUUGAAAUGUAUGAAAAAUAUAAUUAAAAAUUAAAUGAAAUACUCUAACUCACUUAAUCUGCCUACUUAAUCCAUUAAUAUUGUCAUACAUGUUCAAAUCAAUUUAUAGUUUUAUAAAUUUAGAAAAGAUAAAUUUAUAUACAUAAUACAAAAAAUAAGUAAUAGAAAAUUAUUAGAUAGAAAUCAAUUUUGGAGACUAAAAAUAAUUAUUUAUUAUAUUGACUAAAUUAUAUACUAUUUUAGAGAAAAAAAAUUAUUUGUUUCUAAAUUACUUUCUAUUAUUGAUAAAUAGUUUCUAAAUCGGUAUCAAAUUAGCUACCAAUAUUUUAACUACCACAAGUUUUAAUUACCAAUUAUUUAAAUUCUAAACUUUGUAGCAAAAAAAUUUGUGACUAAUUAGAUAUCAAUUUAAAAACUAUUUAUUAAUAAUAGAAACUAAUUUAGAAAUUAAUAACUUUUUAGUCUCUAAAAUAAUAUCUAAUUUAGACAAUAUAUCAAUUAAUUAUUUUUUAUCUAUAAAAUUAGUUUUUAUUUAAAAGAUUUACUAGUAGUGAUGGAAAUGAGUUGAAAAUUUUAAUAUGUGUAUAUAUAAUUUUAGGUGAUCUUUAACAAUUUAACUUGUGAAUCCAUUUAAAAAAAAAAAAAAACUUGUGAAUCCAUUUCUAAAAGUGAUGAGUUACAUUUUUCAUCCUAUAUUUACAUGCUGUUAACCUAAUCCUGCUUGACACGAAUUUAGAGCAUGUUAACUCUAAUCGAUUUUCUUUGUAUUUGAUAAUUUAUUUAUAUAUUUGACUAAAAUAUAUUCCAAUCAAAAUUUCGAGAAUGAAUAAAAAAUUAUUCUUUUAAUUAAUUUCUUAAUGUGAUUAUUUUAAAUUGAUUCCUUUAAAAUUUUUGAAAAAAAGCUAACAAUAUUAGGACUUAGUUGAAUGUAUUUUAUUUUUUAGACUAUUUUGUCAAACAAUUUUACACUACAUCUUUGAAAAGAAAAGAAAAAUUGCUUGACUAAAAAUAGACUUUUAUUUUUGUUCAACUAACUCGUACCACUACCCCACUUCAUAAAAUAAUUGCAUAUAAUUAUUUUAAAACCAUGUGAUUAUUUACCCAACUCAUCCCCAGACACGAAGAGAAAUAACCGGGAAAAAGUGUAAAAGGGAUUUAUUUGUGGUAACUGCCACUUUCAAAUGUUAUUAGAUUCUGAAAACGAUUUCAGAAAAUCAAAUAAAAUAAAUAAAUAAAAGCUAACACCACCAAAUGCAAUAAACCAAGAGAUUUUUUUUUUUAAGUAUUAUUAAUAUAGUCCCACAUCAAUUAAGAAUUGAAGUAAAAAACAAUUUAUAUAUACUUUUUACUCAUGUCAAAUACCUUUUAAAAACAUGAACAAAAUUUUCAUAGGUCUUAUUAGAAAAAAAAGAGACACACGUAUAUAUUUUGAAUGGUGUAAUGUUUGAUGUAUUAUAUAGGAAUAUUGAAGUAAUGGGCCCUGAAAUGAUAGCAAGUUUAGACAUAGAAUAGGGAGGCUAAAACUGGAGACAUAUAUAAUAUAAUGGCCUACAAAGUUAAGGUUGAUAGAGCACACCGACAUCACUCACCACGAACUUGUUACAAAUUUCGUAGGGAAGCAAAGUACCGAAUCAUUUGGAGGAAGAAGUUUGAGAAGAAAAGCAAUGAUUUAAUGGAACAGUGGAAUUGCAUACUUUUGGGUAUCACAAUGCCAAAAUAAACUGGUUUAAAUGGUUGUGCCCACUGUUCUGUACGAUAAAACACUAUCACACUGUUCCACUUCAAAUCAGAUACUAUCCCAUACAUGCUACAGAGCUACACUUAUAUUUCCUUCGUUACUUGGGAAUUUAAUUUACAGUCAACGGAGGAUGAUUUUGAGUUGAAGUUAUGAAGAGCAUGCAAAAAGGAAUAGUACUAUUCUGGACAACAAGUAGUAGGGGUGCUAAAAUAAUUUUUACACCAUUAACUUAAACCCAUUCCAAAGCAACGUCAGAGGUAAUGAUUCAUAGACCCAUUUCAUGAAUUGAGUUUGUUUUUAUCCACUAAUAUUGUUGAAUAGUAAGUAGGAGGUGAAGCUAAAUUUUGUUUGAAUUAUGUUUUUGGGCAGUUGAGAAUGAGCUUAAAUGGUUACUUUGCAUGCUUUUCCUAAAAUAAUUGCUUUGCUUUGGUUCCACUUUUUGCUUGCAGCUUUAAUUUCACCUAAAGAUGGAACUGUAAUAAAGCGUAAUCUUACGAAAUGACAUUCCCGCGUGCAAAUCAAAUAUAUAAGUGGGUCAUCUACACUUGCUUUAUGCACAGUUAACUUGAUUCCUAGAUUAAGACAUUCACUGUUUAUACUUAUAUCACAUUUCAUAACUCCCAUUCAAAAAGUAAACAACAUCAUUUACACAGCACUUCAUUCACUUAAACCAUAAAUUCUUUUAAGACAUUACUCACUAUCAACUUUCCUUUCAUGCUUUACAUCUGUUAUAAACUACAUGUUAGAAAUUUCAUGUUUCUCAUCUCUUAAUCUUUUAUAUAGAUUUUAUAGCAUCAUGAGUUCGAUAAUACAUAUAAUUAGGUCAUCUACCUAUAUUCAUAUCAGACAAUAAUGUAUUAGCACAAAUCAAAAGAUCUUGAGUAAAUGGUAAUAUCAAAACCCAAAACAAAAGAAAUAUGAUGAAUGUAUAUAUAUAACAGAGAAUACACUAAAGAAAAAACACAUCACUUACUAAUCGAGAUUGAGAGUCCAUUCACUCUUAACAACACUAAAUAUUUUAGGUUUGAGAUCGCCGAUACUCUUAUCUGAAACAGUUUUAUUUAUAAUUUUUAAAUAGCCUUCGAGAAGUAUGAUUUAACUUAAUUAUUGACUUUAACGAAGGUGUCUCCAUUGUGGUGAAUCCUAUACACUUUUCUUCUUUCAUUUCUGCCUUUAGUAUGAUAAGAAAAUGAGUUUGGGGUUGAAUUAAAAAUGGAAGAAAGCAUGGAUUACGGGCCUGUGAAUUAAUCUAAGGCCAUAGUAGAUUGUGGUCCACCUGAGGUAUAGGCCAGGACCCAAUUUCUUGAGAUAAUAAAUUUGUAUUAAGCUUGAAAGACACAUCACCACCAAGCCCUAAACACCGGCCUAUAGAUACAUGUGUUUUUUCCACUGAGAGAGAGAAGCACUUCAAUUUUCAAACACCACCAACAUUUAUUUAGGUAAGAAAAUUGAUUAGAGGAUUAAACCGGGCGUGUAGGAGGGGAAACAAAGGAAAAAGAAACAAGUAAUGAUUAGUGAGUGCCCCACUAGGGAAAUUUUGAAGGAUUCACUCUUAAUUAAACGUCUUUUUCACAUUGAGAACUAAUUAUAUUUAUACAUAGUUGUAGAAAAUUAAGAAAAAUAUUGUUUUACUUUCAACUUUGCCUCUCUGUUCUCCAUUAUUUACAUGUGAGAAGAAGAUAGCUGUAUACCAUUGGAAUUUGGACGAGGAAAGACUUGAAUGAAUGUAUAAAUUCUUGUACUAAUUGGAAUCGAACAAAUUAUGGUUAGUAUUUGAUGAGUCAUGUUAAUUGAUUUUAGUAAUCGAUCGACUGAAUGAAUCUUCAUUCAAAGUAGUUACGAUAAACAGUUUAAGACAGUUGUAAGAAUUUUUUAAGAAUUUAGAAUACAUUCUACCAAAUUCAGAUAACACUCCUGUAAAUCAAGAACUUUUCUAAAAAAUGAGCUAAUGCUAAAAUAUGAUAAAUUUGACUCAUUACAACAAACUACAAAUGUGUAAGGUACGAUUUUAAUACCUUCUUAAUUUAUAUUUCGUAUACUAAGUACUUACUUGAUUGUUUGAAUAUUUUUUUCAGAUCAAUAUACAAGACUUAGAAUAAAAAAUAAGAAAACAACCUAACAACCAACUCGUUAACAAUUCAACAACCAAUUUCAGAUAUUAUUUAAAUUUAUUUUAUCUAUACAAUUCUUAAUAGCUAUAUCUAACUUUUUUUUUUUUUUGGAUCUCUUGACCUUGAUCAACAAGUUUUACAACCUUUGGAAUCAUCGAGACCUAGAUUGAAAACAAAAACAAUGAAUAGGACGAUGAAGAUUAUGUCAUCUCCUUCGAAAUACCAAAAACAUUUUCUGAGACUAUAGCGUUCGAGUGAGUGUAGUUUAUUUGGAAUAAUUUUUCUUAAAAUUGGGUUAGACAAGUCAAUUUGAAAUUGAACUAUAACUUUUCUAGCUCAAUUUAUCCCUUACCAGAUUAAGGGUCAAAAAAACCCUGCAUAUGGAUCAAUAAUAUUUUUACAGCCUACACAGAAUGGAUCCAUCAUUUCUUACACUAUAAAAAAUAAAUAUUAUUAAUAUAAAUUACCUUUUAUAUGAUAAGAUAAUAAAAUAAUUUCACUUAAUUAAGUUUUAAGUUAUUAUAAAUUUAGACAUCUUUAAUUAAUUUUUAAUUACAAAUUUUCGUUCUAUUGAAUAUUAAAAGUAUUUUUUUGUUUUUAUUUAAAUAUUUUUUCAUUUAAUUAUGUUGCCAACUAGAUAAUAUAACGGUUACUUCCGUCUUCUCGUUUCUAAAAAUAAAUAAGUGAUUGCGUGACGACAAAAAUUAAGAAAUAAGAUACUUAGACAAAAAAUGAAAAAAAUAUUUUAAACACUUAAUUAAUAUAUAUAUAUAUAUAUUAAAUUAAAAUACUUAAAUUUAUAAGAUACUGAAAAUUUAAUUAAAUAUAUAUUUUUAAUGUUGUGCAGAGGUGUCUAUUCUUUUAUUUUUUUUUCAAUAAUAAUAUAAAUAAUCGCCAAAAUAUUUAUCAGACAUUAAAUAAUGAUUAAUGUAUUAAUGGUGGUACUUGUAUAUAGUAAAAGAUCUAUUUUAUUAGUGAGAACUUAAAUCAUCUUUAAAAUUAUUUUUUCAAUUCUGCUUUAAUCUUUCAAUAACUUUUACCUAUUAUCGCUAAAAAAAUUUAAAAAAUGAAAAGAUUUAACAAAAGAUUAAAUAUUAUCUUAUGAAAUAAAUUUUAUAAAAUUUAGUUAAAUUUAAUUUUUUUAAUAUGAUAUAAAGUUAUUAUAUAGUAGUGUUUGCUGGAAGUUGAAACUUGUGUCAUCCAUUACUAAAUUCUCCUAAUUUAAUGUGAGAUGUCCAAUACUAAAUGUAAAAGUGUAUUGAUCUAUUAUAUUUAUUUUAUAGAAUAACUCCAAUAAAUUGAUUGAACCUCAAAAUAUUAUGUACAACUAUUUAUUUAUUUCUCAUAAUAUUUAAUAUUAAUGAAUAACUCAAUACCCAUUGUGACACCAUCCUAUGAAUCGUGUGAAUGAAACCCAGCAGAGUUUCAAGAUUAUUGCCAUCUGCAACAAAGAAGAAACAAAUCAAAUCUCAAAAUUCAAUGAAAUUGUACGCUUAACCAAUACUAAUUAAAUGGUAACAAUGAACAAAAUUACUAAUUAAAGUAUGAGAUACCACUAAUCAAGUUUUGAAUUCGUAUGAACUUCACGGUGGUAAAUCACUACAUGAUCCUGAAAUGCUUCCAACAAUGAAACUUUGAUGAAGAUCGAGUGAUGAUUUAUUUAUAUGAGAUUUUCUAAAUCUCAAAUAAGAGUUUAAAGAGAUAUGAGAGGGAUUAAAUGAGUACAAAUGUAUUGAGUUGAAUUGAGUAAUUUCUGAAAUUAUAUUUAUAAGUUUUUGGUGUUGUUAAAAUAUAAAAUAUUUAAUUAAUUUAUAUAUGUUGUCGAAUAUCAAGUCAAUUUCAACAUAGAAGUUAGUUUUUAAAGGUGUCCUAUUUAUUCAGACAUGGAGGUACUUAAUGUCUAUUAUUGCAAGUGAAUAUUAUAUUCUUAGUAUUUUUUUAUACUGGAUAUCUCUAAUAUGGAUAUUAUAUUCUUAUUAUUUUUUAAUUUUGGAUAGUACACAUAUUUUACUUUAAUAAAAAAUAUCAUAACAUCUAAGUUAAAAUAACUCCACAAAAUUUAACAAAAUCAUAUAUCGAUAAAUGAAAAAAUGUAUAAAAAAAAUAAAAAAAUAUGAGAGAAACCAAACUCAUAUAAAAGAAACAAACAAUAAUCCAAAAUAAAAGACUAUACAAAUUUAAAGUCUAAGCUCGUGUUUGGAUUGGGGGGUGGCACUGUAGUCACAGACGAAAGUGGGGUGUCACCCCGUUUGGAUCUGUUGAUGGUGGAGGGUGUGGGUGAGGGUGAGGGGAAAGUUGGGCCGAAUGAGAGAGCAUUCAGAAGUGAAGAGAAAGGAGAGGGAGAGGGAGUGAGUGUCAAGUAGGAUGAGUGCAAUGUCAUUUGUGCCUUCACUAGAUUUUUUGACGUAUUUGGACAUUGGACAUGAAGCAUGCAUGCGCAUAACACUGUGAAGAGAAGCUUUUCAGCAAGCACAGGAGAUUCCUGACCAUUGUUCAGGAUUCUCUUUGACCAACUUCAAAGCUCAAUGAAUGCAUAGCCAAGUUGGUGAGAGAGUGGAUGAGCGUAAUAAAGAGGUGCAGCAGUAUAUAUGUGGUUCCCAACCUCACAAACCUCACACAGUUGAGGCAAUUCAGUUCUUCACAAAGCACAUACCUAGAGAGCUUGGAGAUGGUCAUGAGUAAGCAUAGUGAUAGGAGAUUGCACUUGGUUCUUUGUUUGUGACCUCAGGUGAGCUGUGUGUGAGUUUAUUUUCAUUAUUAACUGAUUAUCACUGAAAAUGAACGUAUGCCAUAAUCGAUUAUGUGAAAAAAAAAGAGUUGAUAAUUGAUGAAUAUAUAUUUAUUCACACACAAUAGCCUUAAUCAUAGAUUAUUGGACUAUAAUAAUAAAUAAAUUCAUUGUUUUAAUUAAUAUUCAUAUAAUUGGUAAUUAAUAUUAUCUUUGGUAAUUUUGUGUUUUUAGGGUAAAUUAUCUGAAGCAUCUACCUUUGUGAAUGAGCCAAACAUGCAAAAGUCCAAGUUGCUUAUUUGAAUAAAAACAAAAAAACAAAUUCUGAGGAGAAGAAAGAGAAAAUAAAAGCUACAAGAUUCCAGAAACAGAAUUGGAAGCAAAUCUUCUGUAAAAUAAAAAGAAUUAUGGAAAGUGGAAACUGUUUAGAAAAUCUUAAGUGCAAUAUUUUCCCAAGAUCCUUGGAGCAGAAAAGUCUAUAAAAGGACACAAGCAUGAAGGAGAAAGGGAGAGAGCUUCAUAGGGUUUUCUUAGUUUCUUUUCUUCUUUGUAAUUCUUUUGUUUUGCCUCCGCAUGGAAGGUUAAACCUUUUUGGUUGAUUCUUUUGUAAUUCCCCAUUAAGUUCUGAGGUUUUUAUUCAAUAAAAGUUUCAUUUUUCAAUUUUUUAUAACAAUUGUUUUUAUUGUCUAAUCUUCUGGAAAACUAGUUUUUGUGAGAGGUUGUACUUGAACGCAUGAUUGAGAGUCUUCCUUAUCUUAAACUUUGGUUUCUUAGUUAGUUCUCAUUGUUCUAAUUAAUUUCUUGGCGCAUGAUUCAAGAGAGAGGAUAUAAGCAUUCCUAUGGAGUAUACGCAUGGAACAAAAUGUCUAUUGAUUAAACCAGUAGACGCAUGCUUUACUGGUGAGUUUCAGUUGAAUCAGAUCGGCGCAUGUUCAAUCUGGUUUAGCUCUGUUGGAGGAUUGAAAAAAUAUUAAUCUUUAGAGAACCUGUGAAGAAUUCAAUGGUGGAAGAACUUGGGAUCAACCACUUUUUUAUUUUCUAUUUCAAUCUUUUUUAUAUUUUUCUUGUAGAUAGAUUUUGAAUUCGGUUAACUGAAUCACUAUUGGAUUCGUUGGGAGACAACUUAGGGUCAUCUCUCUGGUGUUAGACAACUCUACGCUAGAUUCAUAUUAAUUUGACAGCAAAACGACAACUAUAAAUAAUCGAGCAUAAACAUUUGGAUAAUCGAUUAUGAUUUUAAUUUCCCAGAUUUUUUAUUUUCUGUUUUUUGAAGUAAUUUUUGCAUGAUUUUUUUGGAUUGUGUUUUUUUUUUAAAUUGUGUUUGGAUGUUUAGUUUUAUUUUGAAUUUAAUUUGUUUAAAUUAUUUUAAAGUACUUGUUAAUUAGUUUUUGUUAAUUAGUUUUUAAUUUUAGAUGUGAAUGUUUAGGAAAAUUGAUUAUCUAAGAUUUAUAUUGUUAAUGUAAAAAUUUCAUGAAAUUUAAAUAUAGAAUUUUUGUAACAUGAAUUGAAUUGAAUUUAUAGAUUGAAAUUAGAGAUCUAAAUCUGUUAUUUUAAAAUAUUGUUAUUAAAAAAAUUAUAAAAAUUGUUACAGUAAUUUAAAACAGAAAAAUCAAAUAUACAGAAGAUUUUUUUAACAUUGUUAAAUAAAUUUAUGAAUGUAUACAUAGUAAUUUUUUUUUUAACUUUGAAGCUGUUAAUAAAAUAAUUUUUUUGAUUUAAACUUACAGAAUAGACUAUUUUUUAGAAAUUAUUAUUUUUACAGAAUGUAAAUAUAAUUUUUAAAACAAAUAUUGUAUUAAUUAAAAAAACAGAAAAAGAUUACAUAAUAAAUUAGAAUUUUUAAUAAUAUGUGUACAUAGUUACUAUUUUUUGAACAUUUAAUUCUUUAUAAAAAAAUAUAUUUAUUUAUUUGAAAUGAUUAUUUUUACUUAAUGGAAAUAAAAAUUUUGAAUGCUAUAUUUUAUAAUUUUGGACAUUUUACAUACACAUAUCAUAAAAUACAUAUAAUUUAUUUGUCAUAGUUUACAUAAAUUGUUAAUGUUAUUAUAAAAAAAUUAAAAUAAAUAUUGUAGUAAUUAAAAAGAACAGAAAAAGAUUACAUAAUAAAUUCAAUUUUUUAAUAAUAUAUGCAGAUAUUUAAUAUUUUUUAACAUUUAAUACUUUAUAAAAAAACAUUUAUUUAUUUGAAAUUAUUAUUUUUACAGAAUGUAAAUAUAAAUUUUUAAUGUUAUUUUUUAAAACAAAUAUUGUAUUAAUUAAAAAACAGAAAAAGAUUACAUAAUAAAUUAGAAUUUUUAAUAAUAUGUGUACAUAGUUAUUAUUUUUUGAACAUUUAAUUCUUUAUAAAGAAAUAUAUUUAUUUAUUUGAAAUGAUUAUUUUUACAUAAUGUAAAUAGAAAUUUUGAAUGCUAUAUUUUAUAUUUUUUUUGAUAUUUUACAUACAUUGUCAUAGUUUACAUAAAUGGUUAAUGUUAUUAUGAAAAAAUUAAAACAAAUAUUGUAGUAAUUAAAAAGAACAGAAAAAGAUUACAGAUUUUUUAAUAAAUUCGAUUUUUUAAUAAUAUGCGUAGAUAGUUAAUAUUUUUUUAACAUUUAAUGCUUCAUAAAAAAACAUUUAUUUUAUAAUUCAUUUUAAUUUUAUAUUAAUUUUUAAGUUAUAAUUGAAACUUACAAUUAUUUUAAUUAUCAAAAUUAUGUACAAAAUUAAUAAUUUUUUUUAUACAUAUGGAUAAAAGUAUACUUUAUUAUAUAUAACAUAAAGUAAUUGAAAUUAAAUAAUAUAAUAUUAAUUAUUUUAAUUAAUUUAAAUAUUCUUUAAACUAAUUAAUAUUUCAUUUUUCCCAUUUAUAUAUAUAGAAGAAUAAAUUUAUAAUCUUACCAUUUACACUAUUCAAAAUAUAUUAAAAUACUUUCACAACUAUCACAUCAUUCACACUUUUCAAUAAACUUUCUUUACACAUCCACUCUAACAUCCCUCAAUCCAAACAUCCUCAACUUUCAACUUUCUCCACACUUUUUUCAUAUUUUCACUCCCACACCCUCAACUUUCCACUCACGAGUUGAUAAGUGUUACAACAAAAUAUAAACUAAUGUAAAACACUAAACCAAAUAAAUAUAUUUUCAAUCCUAAUAUUCACAAUGUUAUGACCUUCACUUUUAUAUAUAUAUAUACUACAAGAAAAUCAUCAAAUAGAAACUAAUUUUUAGAGAUCAAAAUAAUUAGUUGAAAUAGUAACUAAAUUGGAGACCAUUUUAAAAACUAAAAAAAAUUGAUUUCUAAAUUAGUAACUAAUUAUUUUUUGUCUCUAAAAUUGGUUUUUAUUUCAUAAUUUUUUUAUAGUAAUAUAUAUAUAUAUAUAUAUAUAUAUAUAUAUAAUCACAAAUUUAUUUGAGUCAUCUAUCUUAAAGAACUUAAUAAAAAGUUUGAGGACUCAAAAAAUUUAACAAAUAAAAAGUAGAAUCACACUUCUACCCAAUACAAGAAAAUUAUUAAUUAAAAACUAGUUUAAGAUAAAAAAAUAAUUAGUGAUUAUAUUACUAAAAUAAAUAUUAUUUUAUAGACUAAAAAAUUAUUGAUAUCUAAAGUAGUUUUUAUUAUUAUAAAAAAUUAUAAAUUAAUUUUUAAAUUGGUAUCUAAUUAUUUAAUUAAUUUAAUUAGCUAACAUUUUUAGAACCUAAAAUAGUUGAUAACUAAUUAGAUACCAAUUUUAGAAUUUAAAGUAAUUGAUAGCUAAUUAGAUACUAAUUUAAAAUCUAGUUUAUAAAUUUUUAUUAAUAAUAAAAACUACUUUAAAUAUUAAUAAUAUUUUAAUCUAUAAAAUAAUAUUUAAUUUAAUCAAUAUAUAAUUAAUUAUUUUUAAUUAUAAAAUUAUUUUAUUUAAUAAUUAUACUGUAUUGACCAUAUACAUGUAAAUCUAAAGUGAAUAAAUAGAAUAGUAACUACAAACUCUGCAUAUGAAGAUUUAUUAAUAUUAAAAUAAAAAGUGGAACUUUUAAUAUAUUCUUCAUUGUUUCCUCUAAAAGUCACUAUAAUAUAAUCAAGACAAUCUCUAACAUUACCAUCACUAUUGACAAAUAAAUUAACUUAUUAGUAAUUAGUUCGUCAAUUUAAUAACUAUAUAUAGAAGAGAGAAAAGUAAAAUUUCAUUUAAGAGUGGAGUUGAUUGUAGAAAUUAAAUUACGUAUAAAGUUAAGGGAGGGAUAUCUAUUAUUUUUUAAUAUGAAUUGUAAUUUUAACUUGAGAUCUUCCUGUCUAGUUAAGUAAUUAAUAAGUAGAAAGCUUUAUUAAAAAAUAUAUUGAAGUUGUAUUAGAAAUUUUAGAAAAGUGGAUCCAAGUAAAUAACUUUCACUUUUAAAUUUUUUUACUAGGUAUUUUUCUGUAAUUUAUAUAUUUAAUCUCUUGCAAACGUAACAACUAUGAUUGAAUUGAAGUUUGAAAAACAUUUUUCUGAAUUUUAUGAUUAUAUGGUAAUGUCACAUUCGAGGAUUACAUAAAAUAACGUAACGUGCAACAUGAAACACGAUUGUUCUAACACAACUUUCAUCCAUUCAAUUUAUUUCUUAUAUAAAUAAUUUUAAAAUUAAAAUUAAUAAAAUUUCAUGGUUACCUAACAUUUGUCUAGUUUGUCUGAAAAAAAAUGUCCAACAAUAAAUUAAACUGGGCAAAAUAUAAUCUGUCCAUUGAAAUUCUUAAAAUAUUAAAUACAGAUUUUUGUAUUAUUUUGUCACUCUAAACUUUUGAACUUUAAAGAUAUAUAUUUUAGGUGUUUCAAAAAUUUAUACAUAUUGAUCUUUAAUGGUAAUAACACUAGAUGGAAAAAAAUUGUACAGAUGAUGGUCUUAAUAGUGUUGAUUAUUAUAUUUAAUAAAAAAAGUGUGAUAAAGUUGUCAUGUAUAUAAGUUUAUUUUUGUCGUUAGUACUAAUGAAAUCUAAAAGGUAUGUUUAAAUUUCAAAGGAAUCAAAAUAAUAUAAUUUUUUAUAAAAGUAUUUAGUGUAAUUAAAUUUUAAUAUCUCGAUUAGAGAUUAAGAUAUUUCAUUUUAUAGUAUAUAAGCGGGUGUAACUUCAUAAGCUGAUUUGGUUUAAACUUAAAGUUCACUUUUUAAUAUGAUAUAAGAUCCAUUUAAAGUCGAACUUAACUAGAGAUUUUGUUAGUCUUACCAAACCAUCUACUAUCGGAUCGUUAUUGGAUCAUAUAUAAAUAUAUAGUCUCAUACACAAACAGUCACUCUCCGCGUGAGAAAAUGUGUUAGAAAAUUCACAUAGAUUAAGUGCAAACAUUACCUUAUAAGUCGAUUUAAGUGCAAAAAUUACCUUGUAAGUCGAUUUUAUGAGUUAGAUUUGAAAUUAUUUUUCAAUAUUCAUAUAAAUUAUUUUUUUAAGAAUUAAUAUUAAACAAGCAGUAAAAAAAUAAUUAUUAUAAAAAUAUUAAAAAUAACCAUUUAUCUAAAAAUAUAUAAACUAAAAACACUCUUUUCGCAAGAAUAAAUAUGACAGACAAUGCCAUUAUUAGAAUUUAGAACACACAUGAAGGGGUUGGAGAAUAAUUUAUUAACGUCUGGAGCAGCAGCACCUAGAAGCAUUAAAUAUUCAUAAUUAUUUGUAGUAACAACUAUUUUUAAUUUUAUUGUUCUUUGAUUAUUAUUCCACUACAACAGAAUUGAUAACCGAUAACAGUUUUAAAACUUACUUAGCAACUGUUAAAACUAUGGUCAUAAAACUACAUAGUGAAUUUGUAGGCUAUGAUGAGUUUAUAUGUCUAUUUGUUGGUUGCGGCUCAACCCAACAUGUAAAUUCGUUUUUGAGCUAAACUCGAUUUGGUGAACUUGAUAUUAAGCACGUAAAAUAAAAUAAAAUAAAAAGCACCAUACUAUUAAAAUCACAAAUGAUAAUAGAAUGUUAAAAAAAAAUGUUAACUCUUAGUAAUUAACAAAUAGGUUGAGAAUCAUGUUGCCCCAACAGGAAGAAAAUGUUCUGUAGGAAGUGUAAGAGAAAAAAAAAAAUAAUGUAACAUGAAUACUUUUUUUGUGUUGUUAAAUUUAAAUGAAAAUCACAGGAACUUAUAUGUAAUCGAGAACUAUGUUUAAUCAAUUAUCUUUUUUAAACCUAUUAUUUGAUUACUUAUUUUUAAAAUUUAUCUCAAUUUAUUACAAGAAAAAUAUUAUAAUAAGUUAUUUAUAAAUAUUUUCAUCCAUAUAAUUUUGCACUUUAUAUGCAUAUAAAUGAUUUCAAGUUAACUAUUAAUAAUAAAUUAGUUGUAUUAUAAAUAAAAAACAUUAUAGUAUAUUUAUUUUCAAUUUAAUUUUUAUAAAUAAUUUAAUUCUUAUGUUUUUAAAAUAAAAUAGCUUUUUUUUUCAAAAAAAAAGGUUCUUAUACUGAUAAUCAUUUAAAUUAAAAUCUGUUUCUUGUUUGAUUCUUUUGAAAAUAUCAGUCAUGCCAAUGUGAUAAUAUCCAAAUUUUAUAUAAUUUUUCAGUUAUAUGUUUUUUUCUAGUUAUAAUUGUUUUGUAAGUUUUUUUUAUUUAUUUCAGAAACUAAUAAAAUUUAUUUUAAAUAAUAAAGAUUCUCACAUGAUAAAUAAAAACUUCAAAUAAAAUCUAAGGUCAUUGUUUAACAAAAUUUACAACCAGAGCAAAUCACAUUUCUUAUAUAAGGAAUGAAGUUAGUGUAAACAUUUCCAAAAAUGCUUAUGACCAGUUAAACAAAUUUUAAUUAUUUUUAAGAAAAUGAUUCCGAUAUUCAUGUUUUCCAAGAGUCUACAUAUGAGGUAGUGACAGAAUUGUCAUUCUACUACAUAUAAGCUCAUAAUGGACCUACUCUUUACAAAGCAGAAUUGAACAACUGCACAACAAAAAUAAAUCUUUUCCACUGCAUAGCAACUGCAAAACAUAUCAAUUGCAGAAUAAAUCAUAAUCAACUGCAUAACAAAAUAAAUCUUUCCAUAAUAUUGAAAUUUACUGUAUUUUUCACCUACUACUUCAAAUCUAAAAUCAUCAUCUACUGAAAUAUUUCAAAACAAGCUCCUGGAUUGUAAAACAACACCCACUAGUAAUCCACUGCCAAGAGUAGAGCUUAAAAUAUUUCAACCAUUUUCCACUUCCCUCCGAAUGUUGAAAACAUUUGAGAAUUUUGGGCCAACCCUAUUGACCACCAAACAAUAGAAAACUAUAUAACAUGCCACCUGAUUCUAUUAUCUGAAUCACAAUUAAGAAAUCCCAAACUUCUAUUGCUCCAUCAACUCAAGCACUAAACUCACCUGGAGAAGAAUUCACAUUCAAAAUACAAGUGAACUAGAGUUUUGACUUCCUUAUAAGGUACCUCUAGACAUGACUUCAAUGGUUGGAGUAAUACCUCUAUAUGCUUGUUCUUAAGGGAGAAAUCAAUCUUGAGCUAGCUUCCAAAUACAAGAUUGAACCUUGAGUAAGUGUCAUAGAACCUUAUCCAGCCUAAAUUUCGAUAAUAGAACCUUAUAUGCGAUUUAACCAAGUAAGUGUGUCUAUGUAAUAAAUAAAUCAUUUUCAUGAAAGUUGAAACUUUAUAAAAUGAACUCAAAUUUAAACCAUUCAUUGACGCUGGCUUCAUAUAUUGGAGCUUAUUGCGGAAAAUCCUUAUUACUAUAUGACUUUAGAGGAGUUUUACAGUGUAAUUACAAGAUAGAAUACUGACAUAAAGUCUCCAUAAGAUUCAAGUUUUGAUAUGACCAUCCUAAAUCAUCCUCUGAAUGUUGUCAGUAAAAUUAACCAUAGUUUCAAGACUGUUAUCAUCUGCAACAAUGAAGCACCAAAUUAAAAUCACAGAUUUUCAGAGUUGAGACACAUUAUAUGCACAAAACUAAUAUUCAAAUGCGUCCUGGCACCAGUCAUAGUUAGUUACAAUGAAAGAUCUACAAUUUAAAGUAGGAGACACCACUAACCAAGUUUGGGGACUGUAUGCCCUCUGGGGUGAUGAAUCACAACAGGAUUCUGGAAUGCUCCCAACAAAGCAACGCUCUCUUCCUUCAUGAAAUCUUUCUCCCCUUCACCACAUAAUAAGAAUAGAAGAUACAAUACAACUUUCAAAGUUAAAUGUAAAGGAAAAUUUGCUUAAGCAGAAUCACAUAUGAGGGACUUGAAAUUACCAAUAAUGUGAAGAGAUAAGCAAUCAAUUGGUUUUGAAAAUGCAUUAGAAGCCAAUUUAGGCAUUCCAAACUUGUUUCCACCAAACUUGGCACCAGAUAUCACAAUCAAAAACUUGAUCUUGUCUACCUUCCCAAGUGCUACACCCUAUAAAAGUCAUCAUUCCCUUUAGUGAAAUCAAAUGCAGUUUUAACUAAUUUAGCCUACUUAGAGCAUCUCUAAUGCCGCUGUUUACAAAAGUUGCUUAAAAUGAAUAGCAUUGCUCAACAAAAAUUGACAUAUAAGAAACAUAAACUAUUUUUAUUUUAAAAAAAUGUACAUUUUCAAGUUAACAAUCAUCGUCAAGACAAAGAAACAAAGCUAUACACCCAUUUAAAAACUUUAGCAUUAGAGUUAAAACUCAAGUAUUCAUUCUUUGACAAUUUAAGAAAUAAAACCGUAUAAGCAAACCAUGCUUCAUGCUUCGUAGAUACUCAUUGAAAACUCAAAUAUUCAUUCAUUCUUUCACCAAAAGGGCAUCAUCAAGGAAGGAAAGAUGAACUUAAUAUAUAAAAGAGAAAGUGUAAACAGUAAUAAGAUGAGUUUCUUGUUCAGUACCUGCGCUUGCAUUCCUGGCAAUGCAGCCGCUAAAAUUGCUCCCUGAGAGACAACAUUCCUUAUGUGUCAAAAUUGUAUAAACAAAAGAUUACAAAAAGUUCACAAAUAACAUUGUAGCAGCAAAGUCCGCACCUGAGAGAAACCCAAUACACCAUCGAAAGGACCAUUUUUGAGCAUGUAAUCUUCUAUGUAUGCUAAACAGGCUUCGAAGUUUCUAUACUCAGAGAAGUCCUGUACAUGAAAAGAUAAACGUUAGCAGCAUACUAGGAUAAUGUCGGUGGUGGGGAUUACUAAGAUGGACAGUCUUGUCUCUACAACAACCUCAUUGGCUUGGAACCAUUCAUAGUAAGGAGGAUCGAAAAUGCCUUCAACGUCAGAUCUUCCCUGCGCGGGAAAUUGGCCAUCGAGGAACACGAGGUCCAAUUUUUGUAUCACUGGUUCUGGCCAUCUUAAGACUAGCUGCUUGAGGAUUUCGCCACUGGUUCUGAAUCCGUGGAGACACAGGAUUCUGGGUUUUCUCUGGGUUUGGUCUUCUUCCAUAAUGCUCAAACUUUGACAGCAGAUUAUUGCUCAGGGUGCUUUCAUGAAAUCAAAAUGAAAAUUAGUACCAAUUUCUUUAGAUUUGGGCAAAAUGUAAGGGCCGGCGCCGCCGAACCCAUCAUUUAAUAAAAUUGUAAAACAUUGUAAUUUUUAGAUUUCAUCUUAUAAAAUCAACUCAAUCUAAAUAAAUAAAUAUAUUUCAAAUUUAAAUUAUAUUAUUAUAAUUAAUUUUAAUUUGAAAUAUAAUAAUUUAAUAUAGAAAUUAUAAUGCAUAUAUAUGUUUAAAUAAAAUAACAUUAUUUUUAUAUUUUAAAUAAUUAUUAUUAUUUUAUAAAAAGAUUAUGUAUAAGGCUAUUUAUAGGCCGAACCUGUUUAAAUAUAUUACAAAAAUAAUUCAGUUUAAUUUAUAUUAUAAUUUUUUGUAAUUGAACCGUUUGAUUAUGUAGUUUUUUCAUGUGUUAGCUACAAGACACUAGUCUAUUUCAGCACAAAUAAAAAUAAUUUAUAUAUCACUCAAAGGAUAGUUCUCGUAAUUUAUUCUCAUGAAAGGUGUUUCCGUCUGUUGACUCGAACAAUAGUCUUUGUCCCUCCUAACUCCGUCUGAGAAUUGAACUUUCUUGAUCGAAGAAUCUCUCACCUGCAAAGACAAAGGGCGUCUUGACGGUCGUUUGCACUCCAACGCUCAAGUCAGUAUAAGGGCAAAGAAAGACCAAGUGUAUAAAGUAGUUUCAGUCUUAGAAAUUGUGUACCUUGCUAGGAUUCUUAGCACCCUUUAUAUAGGUUGAAACUAGGGUUUACCUUCGCUCAUUUACCCAUAUCUAGGGUUCCUUCGAGAAUGUCCCUACGCCGCUAUUACAUAAUCUUAGCGUAAUCUGAUACAUUGAACUUCCCUUAACUGGAGUGCAACGACUAACAGAAUGGUCAUCUGGGUACCAACUUGUGCACCUAAUCUCUGGGGCCAUCUAUUACGCGGGUGUCUUAAGUAUUCACGUGUCAUGCAUGCAGCUCCCUUCGGAAACCCUAACCCUAAUGGGCCUUAGCGCCUCCAAGGACUGUUUACUCGUGUCGCGCCUGAAUGCACUAUACACACCACCUGCAUGGAUCCCUCGUGACUUAGGUUUUCCUUAUAUCUGUCGUUUUAACUGAUAACUUAGUAUAAUUCUAGGGUCCACCUUACGUGGUCAUAUAUAACUGUUCUGACCGUCAACAUCCGAUCUCUUCCUAUUCUGGCAAGGUCUGAUAUCGAUCUCCAACUUCGAGGUCUAUGGUACUAGUGUCCGAACGCUGACCCACACCCUGAUAUGCGUAUCUGGGACCCACCUUGUGUGGCCCAUCUUUGCUAUCAGGCACCGAUGCGCGACGUCUGAGAUCAGUCUCUGAAGUCGAUGACCGAUGACUGGUCGAUACAAAAAGAAAAAUAAAUUAUUAACAUGUAGCAUGAUUAAUCCGGUUAUAAAAAAAAAUCCCAUAAAUUGUUACAUGCUAAUAUUUUUUUUAAAAAUUAUGAAAUUGUCAUGAAUGUUAUAUCCUCAUUUAUUUUUUAAAAAAAAUUCCUUACAUAGAAGUAGGCCAUUCAAUUCUAUAUAUAUAUUUGAAAUUUGUAGUAUAUGUUGGUUAUUAAUUCAGAUUUUAUUAUUAUUAAUUCUGAUUUUAUUACCCUUAAACUAUUUUACCGUUAUAUUGCAUUAAUGGUCAGUUUACAGGCCUGUUAGUAUUCUUAUUUUAUAGCUUCCAGUAAUUGUAAUUUUAUUAUAUAUAUAUAUAUAUAUAUAUAUAUAUUAUAUAUAGUNNNNNNNNNNNNNNNNNNNNNNNNNNNNNNNNNNNNNNNNNNNNNNNNNNNNNNNNNNNNNNNNNNNNNNNNNNNNNNNNNNNNNNNNNNNNNNNNNNNNUUACGUUCAAUAGUUGCUACAACCUUUUGCCUUCUCUUAUUUCCUUCAAUUAAUUCCUACAACUGGUAUCAGAGUCAGUCUGUUAUCAUAAACUCUACCCAAUUAUCAGUCCCUAUCCUUGAUGGAAAAAAUUACAAUCGGUGGUGUGUGCAGAUGAAAGUUUUGUUUGAUUAUCAUGAGUUAUGGGAUGUCGUUGAGAGUGGAGUGUUUGCAUUAGCUGCUAAUGCAACUGAGGCACAACGAGUAGCGCAUCGUGAUCAGAAGAAGAAGAAGGACAAUAAGACUUUGUAUCUCAUCCAUCAAGGGAUGAAUGACGAGACGUUUGAGCAGAUAGAAUGAGCAACAACUGCCAAUGAGGCUUGGACAAUUUUGUCAACCAAUUAUAAAGGUGAUGAUAAGAUCAAAAGGCUGCGUCUUCAAACCCUAAGACGCCAAUAUGAAUUGUUGCAGAUGGAAAUCACAGAGACUAUUUAUGUCUAUAUAAAUAAAGUUCUUGCCUUCACAAAUCAGAUGAAGACCAAUGGUGAAACACAUUCGGAGCAGGCAAAGGUGGAAAAGAUUUUGAGAUCUUUAACUCCCAGAUUUGAACAUGUUGUUGCCGCAAUUGAAGAGGCCAAUGACAUUUCAAAAAUGACAGUAAGGUUAUUGUUUGGUUCUCUACGAGCGCAUGAGCAGCGGAUGAAUGACAAUAAGAUUGAAAAACCAAUUGAACAGGCUUUAGAAGCACAAGCCUCAAUUGGUAGCUCCUAUAAUAAACAUGGUAGCUAUUUCAGCAAAGGUCGUGGUGGCUAGAAUCAUGGAGGCGCUUGGCGCGGGGAACGUGGUCGCGGAGGACGAGGAGACAUUUAUAAUAAAUCAAAUGUUGAGUGUUAUAAUUUCCAUAAACGUGACCAUUAUGCAAAUGAGUGCAGAUCAAAAGGUGAUAAUCAUGCUUCCAAUUGUGCUCAAGAAGAUAGUAAUCACGAACAAGAUGAAGAGGACCAUGAAGUAUUAAUGACAACCACAUCAAAUGAAACUCCAAACAACCAGACUUGGUAUUUGGAUACAGGUUGCACGAAUCAUAUGUGUGGUCAGAAGGAGCUGUUUGCAGAUUUGAAUGACUCAUUUCGCACAAAAGUGAAAUUCGGUGAUGGCAAGUUCAUUCCAGUGAUUGGAAAAGGGCAAAUUCUUAUUACAUUGAAGAAUGGUGAUCACAGGUACAACUAUGAUGUUUUCUAUGUACCUGACAUGAAAAGUAAUCUAUUGAGUGUGGGACAACUGGCCGAAAAGGGUUACGUGAUGCACAUAGUUGAAAAUAAAUCUCAAUUUUUUAUAAAAAAAAGGUAAUUUGAUUCUUAAAAUCUUUUUAUCAAAAAACUGCAUGUUUCCAGUAGAUAUUCAUAUGGGUGAUUUCAAGUGCCUGAAUGCAAUAGUGAAUAAUGAAUCGUGGUUAUGGCAUUUACGCUUUGGGCACUUAAAUUUUCAGAGUUUGAAAAAUCUUUCCAAAAGAAAUUUAGGCUUUGUUUGGAUUAGGGAGUGGAAAUGAGGGAGUGGAUUUGAGAUGAUUUGAAGAGAAACUGUAAAGAAAGUUAGGGUGUUUGGAUUAAGGUAAAGAGAGGGGAAAGUGUAGGGAAAGUUUAUAAAAGUUUGUGAGUGAUGUGAUGGAUGUGAUUGAAAUUGUAUUUUUUUUAAUUGAUAAAAAUGUAACUUUACACAUUUGCCCUUAUAUUUAAAAAAUGAUAAAAAAAAUUAUUUUGAUUGAUUAUUUGUGAAUUACAUUUUUUUUAAAUUAAAAUUAUUUUUUCGACAAUUGAAACAUUAUUUUUGAUACCGUGUUCGAGCUAACUUCGGAAAAUUAUAAAUUAUAUAAAUUUUUUGGAUCAUAUUUAUGAUUGAUAAACAUUAUUGAGAACAAAGUUGUAAUUGUGAAUUAUUUAUUUUUCAAUUAUAGUUGUAUGCAAUUAAAAGAUUAUUUUCGGUAUGGAACAAAUUAUUUCUCAUAAUGUGUUGGAUGUAUAAUUCGAUAAAGGAUUUUUUUUUUAAGAAAUAAAUAUUAAUGUGUAUUAAUGCAGUAUUUUAGUUUAUUAAAGCAAAAUUCAUUGAUAAAUUUUGUGCAUAAUAAUAAUGAUUCAGAAAAUCAUAUGAAUGAUACAAUGAAAUAUGUUUCAUUCAAAAUAGUCAUGGAAGUCCUUAAUUUGUUUAGGGAUUCGUGUCAUUAAUAAGAUUACAGAUUCGAAAAGAAAAACACAUAUGCAUAAUAAAGUACAACCAAAUUUUUACGUAGUUUAGGGAUUUGUAGUCAUUAUCUUGACCAGCUUUCUCAUUCUUCGCUCAAGAGGCAGGCCAAAGAGUUGUUUUACCGCAUUAGGAUGACCACACAAGAAGUCGUAACAAUUAUCUAACAAAUCUCCAUCUUGUAUGUUCAUCUCCACUAACAUUUCCCAGAUGUCAUAUUCAGAGUACUGGAAAGUCGAUGUACGAGGAAGUGUGCGCGUGUGUUCACGAAAUAUGGAGUUUCGUUCUUCUUCUGCAACAACAUGGCGUCUGUUAUAUUGCAGAUUUUCUUCCGUAGCAUUAGCCACUCGCUGUGAUGACAAAGCGACAACCUUAGAUGAAAUGGCUUGUCGCUCAGCAAUAUGACAUAACCUAUCUGACUGAUCAGUACCCCUCCCAAGGAUAUCAGUUAAUCCUUCAAACCUUGUGUUAAGCCUUUCCAGUUGCAGAUCAAUGACGUCCACCAUAGGGGCUUUUCUUUUUGAGCCUCUAGAAGAAGAAGUACCACCUGAUGGCUGGGAUGACUGAGGUGGCACCAAUGGGGGUGUCAAAUUAGGGUCAGGGCUGUAUGAAUCAACAUUAGGAUCAGCUGAGCGAGGAGUUUCACAUUGAGUAGCAUCCAAUCCUGGCUCCUCUAGGAUGUCCUCCAUAUUGUGAUCAUUAAGAUCUACAUUAAAAUGAUGAGACUGAGUUCGAUUUGAGGACUGCAAUGUUGUUCUUCCACCGUGGCCAGUAGCACGAUCAAGCCCCCAAAGUCUUCCAUCAACUUGUAGUGCCUGAUGGGAUUAACACGCCAUUUUGCGGUCGAGGGCUUUGCCUGUUCAUUAAUGAAAAGAAAUACACUCAUAAUCAUAAUUAGUGGUUAAUGUAUGCGAUAAGUGAACAUCAAGUUGAAUAUGUUACCUUUAUCAACGAAUCUCACACUUCAUCCUCGGCCUCGAAAAUUUUCGUGCUUGGAUUCCAAGCAAAACCACUCAGUCCACUAAAUAGAUCAUGGAUCUCACGCCAUUUGUCCUUAAGGCUUUUCUGCCUGUUCUUCACAUUAUUUUUUGUAAUCCCUACCAAUCCAGUCUGAUGUAAGGAUUUAACAAUGUUUGUGUAACCCUGCGUCGUCCAACUACCAUCAAUGCGGUUACCCAUAGAUGCCUCAUCGAUCAUGGCAUUCAGCAAUCGGAAAUCCAUGUCGGUAGUCCAUUUUUUGUGUUCACGGACAACUGCAGAUGACUCUGAAGCAAUACCCUUCCCGUGAUCCAUGAUAAAACCUAAUAAAAAAGGUUAAAACUUUAGUACAAUAACNNNNNNNNNNNNNNNNNNNNNNNNNNNNNNNNNNNNNNNNNNNNNNNNNNNNNNNNNNNNNNNNNNNNNNNNNNNNNNNNNNNNNNNNNNNNNNNNNNNNUCAUACGUAAAUAUUAAUAAAGGUGGAAUGUCAACAUUAAACCAUGAAAUUGUUCUUACAACAAUAUAAAUAUAAGUUCACGGAUGUUACAUAAAAUUAAUUAUUACAAUAACCUUUCCACAUUUCAUUCGCUAUAGUAUCCCUAAUUUGUGACCCGAGCCUGUAGUCAUCCUCACGAGUUUGCGAGUGUGACACAUCUAUAUCUCCUUGCAUCAACUCACGGUCAACUUCUUCCAACAAAGAGUCAUCAUUAUCCACCCCGCGAAGAAAGUUAUGAAGAAUACAACAUGCUAAAACAAUAUCGGUCAUAGUGUCCACAGAGUAAUGAGGCUCUGUUCCGCUAAUGAUAAUUGGAAAUCGCUUUUUGAGGACACCAAAUGUUCUUUCGAUAACAUUUCUUAGUGAGGAAUGACGAUGAUUAAAUAACUCACGGGCAUUUUGUGGACCUCUUCGGGAAUACUCUUUUAGAUGGUAUCGAACUCCGCGAUAUGGAGUUAUAACUUGGGUUUUGAGCAUAAAACCCGCAUCUCCAAGGUAGUAUUUGCCUACAACCAUCCAUUAAUAAUUGUUACUUAUAAGUGAAUUUCAUGUCAAAAUCANNNNNNNNNNNNNNNNNNNNNNNNNNNNNNNNNNNNNNNNNNNNNNNNNNNNNNNNNNNNNNNNNNNNNNNNNNNNNNNNNNNNNNNNNNNNNNNNNNNNNNNNNNNNNNNNNNNNNNNNNNNNNNNNNNNNNNNNNNNNNNNNNNNNNNNNNNNNNNNNNNNNNNNNNNNNNNNNNNNNNNNNNNNNNNNNNNNNNNNNNNNNNNNNNNNNNNNNNNNUCGAUUGUUGUUUAAGAUAUGAGGUUCAACCUCAGUCCCAGCUGGUUGAAUUAAGAACUCUCCAUGCAUCAUCAAUAUUGCUUUCAAAACAUUAUGAAAGUGACGAGACACUGUUUCCCCGGACCGAUGAAAGAAGAACGAAACACUUCGAUUCUUGACGUUAUAACCAAUGAUGUGUAAAAAUUUAGCCACUUGUUCUUCAACUAUAGAUCGAAAUGCAUCUUUAACCAUAUCCGUUCCUCUUAUUCGUUGACAUAAAUUAAUAAAUGCUUCCGGACUCAUGCGAAUAAUGUCACGACAUCUUUCAGUAUGGACCAAGUACGACAUCAAUUCUUGUCGACGACGCUCUUUUUGUGGAAUAAACUCCGGUAUAGGAUUAUUUGUCUCGGUUAACACACGCAAUACGUUCAAUCCAUAUCCAAUCAUGCAAAGAAUUGUCAUUGCUGCUACUUAUGUCCGCAAAUUGAUUUGCUCUUGUAUUUGUGAAACUAGUGUGAAAUCAACACCAACUACAUCGGGAUUCAUGUCAUUCGUGCUAGACAUCUCGACAUUUUUGAAAUACAUAGACCAAUGGUUAUCGUUAUCCAUGGUCACAAAUCCUUGACAAUCAUAUAAGUUUAACUAUUAGGUCUAAAGAACCACCUUUUAGAGAAAUAAUAAUACUCAAUUUUUUUUACUUUUAAAAAAAAUUAAAAUAUUAUAUAUAAACUCUGUAAAGUGUUAUAAUUAUAGUUGUAUUACAAAUUCAAAAUAAUAUUUAUAAAUUUUUUUUUACUUGAUUUUAGGAAAAAAUAAAUAUUAUAUAUAAACUCUGUAAAGUGGUAUAGUUAUAGUUGUAUUAUAAAUUCAGAAUAAUAUUUAUAAAAUUCUUUUACUUGAUUUUAGAAAAAAUAAAAUCUUAUAUGUAGACUAUCUAUAAAGUAAUAUUUUAAAAUAUUUAAAUACUUUGUAUACUUAUAAUUAUUUUAUAAAUUCAGAAUAAUAUUUAUAAAAUUCUUUUACUUGAUUUUAGAAAAAAUAAAAUCUUAUAUGUAGACUAUCUAUAAAGUAAUAUUUUAAAAUAUUUAAAUACUUUAUAUACUUAUAAUUAUUUUAUAAAUUCAAAAUAAAAUUUAUAAAGUCUUUUAGCUGAUUUUGGAAAAAAAUAAAUAUUAUAUGUAAACUAUCUAUAAAGUAGUAUUUUAAAAUAUUUUGUAUACUUAUAAUUAUUUUAAAGCCUGUUCAAAAUAAUAUUUAUAAAGCUUUUUACCUGAUUUUAGGAAAAUUUAAAUAUUUAAAUAUUUUGUAUACUUAUAAUUAUUUUAUAAAUUUAAACUGAUAUUUAUAAAGUUUUUUACUUUAUUUUUAGAAAAAAAUAAAUAUCAGAAACAAUUUAAAUAUUAAUAAGUUUGUUUUAACUAUCAGAAAACUCAUUCAAACUUUCAUUAAUGCUCAUUAAUUCUCAUCAAUAUACUCAUCAAUGUGAUUAAGAAAAAACUUUGAAAACUCAAAAAGGCAGCAGCAUUCUAUUAAUUCUAUUAACAUAAAUAAAAUAAAUUACAAAUUCCUUCCCUCCACAUUUCAUUCUCAUAUUUUAUUCUCCAAAUUCCAAAUCUAUGUAUGAAACUUACCUCCAGAAACCUAGAGAAAACGAUGCCACCGCGAACCACCAACGACCACCGAGCACCACCAGCGGAACCACCACCCACCACCAGCAACGAAACCGUCCACGUCCAACGACCACCAACAACGCCGCCUACGGAACCCCACCCACACCUUGCACCUCCGACAACCGCACACCUCCAACACUUACGAACCUCCGACAACCGCUCACUUCCAACGGUUGUGAACCUCCGACAACCGCGCAUAUCCACCGCGUACCUCCGACGAGCACCUCCGACAACCGCGCACAUCCACUGUGUACCUCCGACGAGCACCUCCGACCGCUUCUAAGGGUACUCCCUCAACUCAAAACAAAUAACCCACCUCCACUCCUCUUCCAUAUUUAUCAUCUCUCUCAUUUAUUCAUCACCCACACACUUGAAUUUAUCCACCAAACAAUGUACGAAUCCCUGUUUGUGCUGUGUUUGUGUUGUGUUUAUGCAAGGAAUCUCAUGCGUGAGAAUGGAGAGAAUAUUGGAGUUGCAUGGCACGGGCAUAGGCAGCUAUGGCACAUAGGUUAGGUGAACGGAUGGGUAAUAUGGUAAAAUGAGAAAGUUUCUCUCCAAAUCUUCUCAUCUCAUCAGGGAAGCCUUUUUCCCUUUCUUUGCUUUUCUUCGCCCCCUAAUCCCCGCUAACUCCCAGAUACAAACAUCAGAUUUAUUUCCUUUUCAAUCCGGGUGAACAGUAAUCACCCGGAUACAAACACAGCAUUAGUGAAUGGUUUACCCCAUAUUCAUCACCCUGAUCAAUUGUGUGAGGCUUGCUUUUUGGAAAGAAUCAUAGGAUACCAUUUGUUAAGGAGCCUUGGCGUGCAAAAUUUCCUUUGGAGCUUGUUCAUACUGAUGUUUGUGGCCCGAUGAACAUAUCAUCAGUUGGAGGUAAUAAGUAUUUUUUAACCUUUAUUGAUGAUUUUUCAAGGAAAACCUGGAUUUUAUGUAUUGAAAAGCAAGGAUGAGGUAUUCCACUGCUUUAAAAUAUUAUAUUUAAAGCAUUUGUUGAAAGACAUAGUGGCAGACAAAUUAAGAUGGUGUGUAAUGAUGGAGGGGGUGAGUACAAGUCUAAUGAGUUCAAGAGGCAUUGUGAGGAACUUGGGUUGCAGCAUAACAUAACCUGUCCCUACACACCUCAACACAACGAAGUUGUUGAGAGAAAAAAUAGAACAAUCAUGGACACGGCGAGGAGCAUGCUUAAAGCAAAAGGUAUGCCAAAUUAUUUUUGGACUGAGGCCGUAACAUGUGCGGUAUAUUUGAUAAACAGAUCACCCACUCGGAGUGUUCCUAACACAACUCUGAUUGAGGCAUGAAGUGGAUUCAAACCCAAUGUGCAGCACUUGAAGGUAUUUGGGUCAAUUACUUAUGCUCAUGUUCCCAAGGCAGCAAGAUCGAAGUUGGAUGAUAAGGCAGAGAAGACCAUUUUCAUUGGAUAUAAGCAUGGGGAUACAAAUUGUACAAUCCAAUGACAAAGAAGGUGAUUGUUAGUCGUGAUGUUACAUUUGCCGAAGAUGAGGAAUGACAAUGGAAUGCAACAGUUGAAAUUGAUUCAAAAAAACGAUAUAUUUACGUUUUGAACGAUGAUGUGGAAGAUGGAGUCACUCUUAAAGCACCUACAGUUCAACCUGAAGCUGUAAUUCAACCUGAAAAUGCAACUCCAAUUGCAACUAUGAUGGAGCGACCAAGAAGGCAACAACGACAACCUGUACACCUUCAAGACUACGAAGUAAAUCUUGACGAUGAAGUUGAUGACAAUGGAGAUUUAGUUCACUUUGCUUUUGUUGCAGACUCAGAACCUGUGAGACUUGCCGAUGCCAUUCAACACCCCAAAUAGCAAAAGCCUAUGAAUGAAGAAUUGAUGGCGAUUGAGAAAAACAAUAUCAUGACUCAAAUUGGGAAGGAUGUUCCAAAUCAUAAUUAAGGGAGGAUGUUGGUUAUUAAUUCUGAUUUUAUUAUUAUUAAUUCUGAUUUUAUUACCUUAAACUAUUUUACCGUUAUAUUGCAUUAAUGGUCAGUUUAAUGGCAUGUUAGUAUUCCUAUUUUAUAUAGGUUCCAGUAAUUGUAAUUUUAUUAUAUAAAUGAUUGAGUAAAUUAAAAUGAAUAGAAUCAAUUUUACAAUUUCGUGCAAUUACGUUCAAUCAACAUCUAAUUUAAAAAACCAUUUUUGCAUAGGACGGAAAAUAGUUCGCGUCCUAUAAGCAAAGCUAAAUUUUAUUCUCACUAGUUUUAAACACUACAAAAAAAAACUUUUAUUAGAAAGGGCCAAAGGCGGACACUAAUCACAAAAAGCCCACGCAAAGAUGCAAUUAACGUGGGCUUUGCCUUCACACAACUUUGAAGCUAAUAUCCUUGUCGCAAAAAAACUGUCGGGUGCGUGGCGUCGCAAAAUGUUGGCUUGCGUGGGCUUUGCCUACAAGUUGCCAACACAAAAAAUUACAAAUGUUAACUUAAGCGGGGGCUUAGCCUUGGACAGAAAAUGAGGGCUUAGGCUUAGCUAGGGGGACAAUAAAAUUAGCGUGGGCUUAGCCUUGGAUAAGGGGACAAUAAAAGUAAAAAUAAAGCGUGGGCUUAGCCUUGGAUAGUGGGACAAUAAAAUUAGAAUAAAGCGAGGGCUUGACCUUGGUAAAGUGACAAUGAAAUUAGAAUGGGCUUAACCUUGGAUAUGUGGACACCUUUUUUUUUGUAUGCACUAUUUUUGGCAGCUAUUGAACUCCACUUUUAAAUAAAAGUUUGGAUUUUAAAUAUUAAAUAUUAAUAUUUUUUAAUUUGCUUUUUUUUUUGCAAUAGCAUUAAAAAGAAAAAAACAUCAAUGAAUUGAUAAGUUAAAAACUAAAAAACAAAAGUAAUGAAUAAAUUAUUAUAUUGAUGAAUAAAAAGUGUUUAAGCACCGGAAGAUGGACAUUAAUUAGUUAGCUUGGUUAUCUUAGUGAUUUCAUUAUUCUUCUUCUUAGGUUUAAGCUUUGUUGAAAUGCCUUCCAUUUGCGCUGCUUACUAGUUAUGUUUUAUCAAAACAUAUGCAAUGAAAAAACUAUCAUUUUAAUACAUUUAAGAAACAUUGUUCUAUAAUAAAUAUUUUUAUUAUAGAAAGUUAUGCACCCAACAGCUGGUUCUCUAGCUUAAGUUAUGCUUAAGUUAGUAAUUUAGCUGGAUGACCACAGUUGUGAAUGAGUAGUUUGAUAGGCUGGUUCUCUAGCUUCCAUGAUCAUCUUUUCUGGAUUCUAUGAAUAUAUUGUUUAUCAAGUUUCUCUGGACACAUAACAUAGUAUCUAAAAUUGGGGAUCGUACAACAACAACAAAGGUUUAAGGAUAGCUACAUACACAAACAUUUAAAUCAUAUGGUAUAACAUCUUGGCUCUUAUAUGUUAAAGAGAUGAUUAUAUUCAAAAUUGUAUAUUGAUCACACAGAAUCCUCUAUGGAGUUACUAAUUAAAUUGCAGAUGUCACUGCAUAUACCCUAAAAGAGNNNNNNNNNNNNNNNNNNNNNNNNNNNNNNNNNNNNNNNNNNNNNNNNNNNNNNNNNNNNNNNNNNNNNNNNNNNNNNNNNNNNNNNNNNNNNNNNNNNNNNNNNNNNNNNNNNNNNNNNNNNNNNNNNNNNNNNNNNNNNNNNNNNNNNNNNNNNNNNNNNNNNNNNNNNNNNNNNNNNNNNNNNNNNNNNNNNNNNNNNNNNNNNNNNNNNNNNNNNNNNNNNNNNNNNNNNNNNNNNNNNNNNNNNNNNNNNNNNNNNNNNNNNNNNNNNNNNNNNNNNNNNNNNNNNNNNNNNNNNNNNNNNNNNNNNNNACUCUUGAACAACAAAACAGAUCCAUGCAUAAUCCAAAUAUAAAACAAUACCAUUUCUAAUUUUUGGAUUGAUUUCCAUAGUGAAUCUAAUUACACCAAAAUGAAGAAGUUUGUGAUUGAACAUUGAAAGGCAAUGACACUUGCCAAAUGUUUUAAGCAAAGAUAGAUGUCACAACCCAGUGUGUCUGUCUUCCCAGAGGAUGAAAAGAGAACAUAUAUAUCUACGUACCUCACAAAAUUGCAAUAUUUUCCCAAAACAGAAAAAUGAGAGAUACUGCAUGAACACACUGCCAAUAAGAUACUUACCCAAAAUUGCAAUCCUUUUUUCCUUGCUUAUAUCACGAACUUUUACUGCAUGAACACACUCACUCAUCACAACACUACCAAGAAGAUAAAAACAUGCACAUCACAACACUACCAAGAAGAUAAAAACAUGCUCAUCACAACACUGCCAAGAAGAUAAAAACAUGCAAAGAGUCAUGCAUGCAAUGUGAGUAAUACAUAAAUGACUCAACCUCUCCAUGUCUUUCUAUUGCAUUGCAUAAAUUCUUGUCAAGGAAACUACAAACCAAACUUAAGAAAUGUUUUAAGAAAACUAACAAAAUGAUGAACUCAAGGCAGGGGUUGAUCCAAAAUUUGCUACACCAAAACAAAUCCAAAAUUAAUUCACUACUAGAAAACUAAAGAUCAAUAAUUCUCUCCUUAAUUUCAAUUACACCAUGUAAAAGGGUCAAAUUUCACUAUGAAUCCAGGACUGGUAAAAGCUAAGAGAAGCCUAAAUUACUUAGAAAUGGACAACUUAAAAAAGAGAGUAAAAAUUGCGAAAAAAAAUGCAUAAGGGGCAAUAGAGAAAGAAGCAAGAGUUCACUGACAAGUGGCAUGGCUGAACAGGGCAAGAAACAUAAACUUUUAAUGGCCAUGAUAUAUUUUCUUUAUCUUUUUUUCACAAUUAAUUCAGUACUUCAUAUUAAGUAGUUAAAAAUUCUGCCAGACAAAUCCUCCCCAAAUUACACGACCUCUAAACCCACAAGAACUGCCAGACUGCCAGUCAAACUACAAGGUUAGCAAUGAAUCCAACCAAAACUUAGAAUCCAAACAAGAAGUUUAGUCAGUCACAAAUAAAGACUCAAGAAUGGUAAGGGUAACAAAACCUAAAGCUUCACAAAUCCCCUGGGAUGUGUUUCCACAUCUUACCUCACAUAUCAGUCUGGAAAAAUAUGCUCUAUCUACAAUGUUUCAAAUAAAGGGGAGACAUCUUCCCUGAGCAUUUUAUUAUUACUAACCUAUGAUUUGCUAAAAAGAAUCAAACAAAAACAAUAUUCAAAUUUAUGUUUUUUAAUCCCUGCUGAAAAAGAACUAACACAAAGUUACAUAUGAUAGAUUUUUGUCAUCAAAUAAAUAACUACAUCCAAACUCAAGUAAGCAUCUCCUUCCAGUAUUUAGAUCUCCUACCUCACAUCCGUGGCUUGUUUUUCGUGUACACUAGCAGAUUUUAAUCCUUAACCGGUUUUACAUGCUAAAAAGAAAUGAACACAAACGAAUCAACACCUAGACAUAAAAAAUUUAAGAACUAUAUUUAAAUUCAAAUAGAUAUUGGUAAUAAAGACCAAGAAUUUAAGAAAGCAUAAGAUGAAUUGAAGGAAUAAAAAAACCAGAGAAAUUCAAAUAGUCAGUCCCAGUUAAAGACAAAAAUAUGUGUGGAUGCAAAGAAGAUCGAUAAUCAUGCAACACAAAUUAGGCAAGAACAUUGUUCCUUUGCACGAACCAAGUUCAAGUUCAAAAUUCAUUUGUCAAUGAAAGAAACUAAUAAAGUAUAUCUGACAGACACAUCAUAUAUUACAAACUUCAAUAAUCAACAAGAACUAUAUUCAAAUUUAUAUUUUUUAAUCCUCAACUGGAAUCAUGUUGAAAACGAACUAACGCAAGCACAUAAACGGUUACAUAUGAUAGAUCUAACAUAAAAUAAAUAACUACAUCCAAACUCAAGUAGACAUUUGUCAUGAAAGAAAGACAAAAAAUGUAGGAUAACAAAACCUAACGCAUCAAGGAUCUCCAUCCAGUAUUUAGAUAUCCUACCACACAAAGAAAUCAACACCUACACAUACAAAUUUUAAGAACAAUAUUUAAAUUCAAAUAGAUAUCAAUAAUAAAAACCAAGAAUUUAAAAAAGGAUAAGAUAAAUUAAUGAAUUCAAAAACCGGUGGAGCCUUAGUUGCUCAAAACACGCACGAUGAGGUAGAAGAUUCAACCCUUAGGCCUUAUAUAACAUACUCCAUGAUAUGGUGCAGGGCAUUAAGUGAAAAUAAUUCAAACAUCGAACACAAUUCAAUCCUUGGAGAUCAAGUAGAGAGAAAUUAAACAAUAGAGAGGAAACUCAUCAAGAAAUUAGGAUAUCCUGAGCUGCAGUCGUUUUAAACUCUUUUAGAGUUUAGGGUUUCAAAUAUCAAGUAGAAAAAAUUCAAUCAUCGAACACCAUUUAAUCCUUGGAGAUCAAGUAGAGAGAAAUUAGGGAAACAAAACAUAAUACUUCACAUCAUGUCCUACACUACACCACACAUCCAUUGCGUGCUUUCCCUGUACAGCCCAAAAAUUCAAGAAACGAAUUAGCUGUACAGCCAAAAAUUCAUGAAAACGAAAUAACCUCUUAAUAAAAAGAAGUAUAGAAAAAUGAUAAAAAUGAAGAUGCAGAUGCAGAUAAAGACUAAAAAAGACUUGGACAGUUACACAACCAAACACCACUGCAGACAAACACCAAUAAACAAAUCAUAAUCCAAUCCUUAUUUUCGGUGAUCAAUACCAGAUAAAUUAAAUAAUAGAAAGGAGACUAAAACAAGACUUGGAUCAAUUGGCCUUUCUAAACUAUUAUGUUUUUCAUUUCAUCGAUAGACAAAACAAAUCUCAAAACCAAGUCACCAGCAGAAAAGGGAUAAAGGAAUUUGAUCAAAAGAUUCAAAACUUGCCAUCAUCACAAAGAAUCACAUUCGGCGUAAAUGAAUCACAAUCCAAUAAAAGCACAUUAAUCACUUACAAAUAAUUUUUCUAUCCCACGACGCAAACAUCAUGUAAUUCUACAAAACCUUAUAGAGAAUCACAACAAUAACCGAAGCAAUACUAACAAAACUGAUCUUGGAUAUAUAUGUAAUACUAACCAAUGACUAAAUCUAAUAACCCAGCAACCAGAAACUAAAUCUAAUAACCCAGCAACCAGAAACACAGUGUUAGGGUACAAUCGAGAUGGAUUGAAAACGAAAGGAAAUGCAAAACUUACGAUGUUAGGGCACAAUCAAGAACACGGUCGUACUCCGGUCGCAAUGCUUGAAUGCUCAACAGAGAGAGUACUUCGGUCGCAAUGCUUGAAUGCUCAACAGAGAGAGUACUCCGGUCGCAAUGUGAGAAUGUUGUUGAUGCUGAGGAAAAGUGGAGUGAAGUGAGUAUUGCAUGGAGAGAAUUGCUUCAGAAUUGAAAAAUGAAAGAAGAAAAAGAAAAGAAGGGAUUAAAGUAAAGCAAAAAUAAAAAUUAAUUAUUUGUGUGUAAUUUGCAUGGGCUUAACCUUCUUAUUAUUUAAAUUUAAUUUUAAAACUUUUAACGUGGGCUUAACCUUCAAAUAUUUAAAUUUUAAUUAUUUUUAUAAUUUUAGUAGCUGCCAUUUCAACAACGCAACCAUUAUUAUUAUUUUUUUUUUGAAGUUUACGUGAGAAUAACACACGCUUUCCUCACACCUUAUUUAAUUUAUUUUAGGUUUAAUGGAUACUAUAUAGUGUCCACUUAUGGCCUUCAAUAUUUGUUUGCAGCUAAAUUAAGAUUUCUUUGUAAUGAAAUAACUUUUUUUUUACCACCAAAAGGAAUUUAGAAAAAACGAGAAAUUGAACAAUAAGAUGAACGAUGUGAUAAAGACCAAAUAAAAAUAUAUUAAGAAUAAAAUCAUUUUAGUGUUACUUAUAAAAGAAUAGUACACAUCAGAUUUCUCUGGUUACUGAUAAUAGAAUUUAUAUAAUAAAUAAAUUAUUCAUACGAGAUUACAUAAAACUAACUCAAAUUUAACCAUAGAUUGAUGACAGCUUCAUAUAUUGGAGUUUUUUUACGUGAAUUUUUUAUUAUUAUUAAGACUCUUAGGACCAAUCAAACAAUAGAACACAGUUUGAAGAGUCUUAUCAUGUACGCAACGAAGUACCAAAUAAAAUUUUGAGAUGUGUUACAACUAUACCUGGUAAAAGUGGGAUAGUCCAACCUCAUUAAACUCUUCAAGAAAAAAAUGUGAUCAUAUAGACUACUCCAUAAUUUCAACAAACACCAAUUUUCAGGUUUAGUUCCAUUCUAUAUUAUAACAUUUCAUUUUCACUUAGAAAAAAUAAAUUCACCUCCACACUUACAACUUUAUCUACUUAAACCAAUUUAAUCCAACUACGUGUUAAGAAUAUAAGUAUAAAUUUGAGUCUCAUUUAAUAAAUAUAAGAAGUUGAAUAACAAAUAACUAUGAAUAAAUAUAAAAAGUUGAAUAACAAAUAACUAAUCUUAAGUUUAGCACAAAACACAAUUAGUUCAACUAAAAACUUACAAAAAAUAUUGGAAGCAUCAAUGGAGCUUAUUGCAAUAAAAAAAAAUCUAAACAAAACAUUGUUUUGUUAAAAUGUGCAUCUAUUAGUUAAUAAGUUUAUUAUAAAACUUGUAUUGAUUUUCAUUUUCACUCAAAUUAUUUUAUUUUUUUAUAUCUUUAAUCAUGUAACGACAUGUUAUAUUCUUUUGUAGGAUAUCAUAUGAACCCGAGGGAUAAUUAAGACAAAGGUUUGGAUUUCUAAAAAUAAUAUUAAUAAUGCAAAUAAUAUUAAUAAUCUAAAUAAUAUUUAUAAAAAAAUUAUACUAGACAUUACAAACAUCUCACUUAUAUUGACAUUUCAAAUUUCAACCACCUCUAUUGAAAAAAAAAAUUAUUAAACAAGUAAAAAAAAAUACAAACAAGUACGAGAAAUUAAAACAAAAUCCAUACUAACCAUAAAAUACAUCAAAACUAAACAAGAGAAACAUAGUUAAUUUAUACCUAUUAUGGAAAAUGUUCAAGAAUAUAUUAAAAUAAUAUAUUAAAAUACAGUCUAUUAUACCAAAUAAAGUCUUACCUAUAAAGAAAGUCUAAAUUGACAGAUUUAUCAUUACCCCUCUUAAAAUAUGAAAGACAUACUUUUACAAUAAAUAAGACAUUUAUUUCAUUUAUUCUUAAUAAAUCAUCAAGUCACAUGAGUCAUAGAAGGAAAAGCAAAGCAAACUAAUAUGAUUCACACUCUUACCAUAAUAAAUUAUAAACCAAUGUAAAUAACAUUUAAUGAGGGAUAAAUUUUUUCAAUAAAUAAUAAUAUUUUUUAAUUUAUUUUUAGUUAUUUGUGAAUCUCAUUUCGAUUUGAUAUUUAAUUUGAGUGUCAUAUUGUCAUUAACCAAUAUUUAAUUGUUUUUUCUCUUAUUCUAUUAUUGUGUCAUUCCAUUUGGAGCAAUAGAGGGGCUAGUUUAGUGUAUGUGUUGGCAUUUGAUUUGUUCCUUUUCGGUAUGUUCGUACAAGGUAAAAUCGUAAAAAGGAAAAAUUAGAAAACUGUCUUGUUAGAGUAUUGUGUUAGCAUAAUAUUGAUCUCAAAAUAAGGUUAUUUUGUAUGUUAUUGUUUUAUAAAUCUCAAAACAAAUUUUGCAGGUUCAAGAAAAAGCUUUGGAAUAUGGAAAUUAAAUAUAAAUAUUUAUCAAAGAAUAGAAAAAUACUUCAAGUUAGCAUGUUCCUCAAUUGGAAUAUCGAUCUCAAAAUAAGUUUAUUUUUGUACUUCACUAUUUUAUAAAUCUCAAAAAAAAAUUGCAGGUUCAAGAAAAAGCUUCGGAAUAACAAAAUUAAAUUUAAAUAUUUAUCAAAGGAUAAAAAAAAAAUUAAAAAAAAAAUACUACGAUCAAGUUCAUUUUCUUGAAAACUUUACGAGCUCUAAAAUAAAUAAAAAAUACAACUAAUUAUUCAGAAAUUUAUGAACUUGGAAAUUUUUAAUUUUCAUUAAGAAUAAUUAUUUUUUAUGAUAUGUUAUUUGCAAUUAAUUAAUCUAGUAAAAAAUUACAAUCAAAUAACGAGACUAUUGAUAAAUUAAAAGGUAUUCGUUUAUUUUAUUUCUGUAAAUUAUAGGAAAAAUGAAUUUGAAAAUGCAUUGUCUUCUGCUAAAGAAAUUGCUUUUGAAAUAGAUACAGAGUAUAAGUUAUGUGAAAAACAUGGUAGAUCUGUUGAUAAUAUAAGUUAUGUGAAAAACAUGGUAGAUGUGUUGAUAAUGAAAUUCUAAAAUCUCCUAAAAAAUCAUUUAGAUUUUAUGACUUUCUAUACAUUCAAAGAAAACAAUUAACUCCAAAGUUGAUUUAAGAAUUCAAAAUAUAAGAAAAUAUGAAAAAUAUUUGAAGAAUAAUUUCGUGAUAUUGAUGGAUUAUAUUUAUUUUCAAAAUUUAAUAUCUUAAAAGAAAUGACAGAAUUGAAAAAUAAUAACUAAUUGACCUUCUAAAUCAUAUAAAAUAAAUAAAUUAUUUUCCAAAUAUAUAUAUAAGAGAGGGAUUACAGGUAAUAAAAUAAUAUAAAUAUUCUAGUACUACCAAUAUAAUCAAGAAAUUAAGGUGAAUGAGAAUUUAUAUUUUUUUUCUCCAAUCCAUAAAGAAAUGUUUUAAAAAAAAUCAUUAUAAAAGAUCGAUCUAUUAUAAAGUGGAUUUUAAGCUUAACUCAAUCCCAUAAAACUGGUUUAAUCCCAUAAAACUGGUUUAUAGGGUUGAGGAUUGCACCCACUUAUAUACGAUGAAAGACUCUAAUCUCUAGUCGAUGUAGAUUCCAACAUCAACCUCAAAUAAUAUUUCUUGUAAUUAAGAUCAAAACAGUAAACGAUUACAAUAUCGAUUGAUUUCGUUGAAAUGAUUUUUUUAAAACUAAAAGUUACUUAAUAUUAUCAACGAAACCCGAGGCUCACCUCUCCUUUGACCAUGUUAAUUCACAAUCUCUUUCACUAUGCCAUUAAAUGAGUUUGGAACAAGUUUUGUCUUUCUCACCGUCGUCAUGCUUCCCAAGGACCCAUUCACUUAACUCUUCGUGCGUUCCAAUGCAAACAAGUCAGGGUUUUGAUUUGCUUCCUACGAAUCCAAAAUUAGUAACUACAGAAUGUUGUUUGUUGUUGACUCUACAAAUUUAGGGUGGGAAAGAAAAGUUUAUAUCAUACUACUCCACUUCAUAUGCUACUUCAUUUGAUUUUUUUAUUGGUUGUUCUUUGAUGAAGUUUUUCAUUGCUGUUGAUGUUCUUGGUGGUUCUUUGGUCAAGGUGUCUAUUGCUACACGGUGUGUGGGUGAAUUUGUUGGUGACUAGAUUUUUUUGUUAUCAUGGGCUGGUGCAUAGUUGUACCUUUUUUUUUUCAUUGAAAAUUUAAUUUGUAUGGGUGAAAUCUAAACUAUAAAGAUGAUGAAAUUUGCUAAUUCUAGAAUACGUUGUGAUUUUGCAACUAUUUUAUUUUACUUCUACUAUGUGUGAAUUUAGUAAGGUUGAAACCAUCUUGAAAUCUUUUUUAUAUUUAUUUAAACUAUGAUUUGACUCUCGCUAUUUGUUUAUAUUUUAAUAUUAAUUAGGACUUAAUCCUCUUUAAGUUAGAGUAUGUUAAGGUUGCGACCUCUCUAGGUUAGAGUAAGCAAGGUCUUGAUCCUCUCUCUAAUUUAGAGUUAAAGUUUUCCAAUUUCCAAUAAACAACUCUUUUACGUUGUUAAGCCCACUCUAUUAACGAGAGUCCAAUCUACAUUAUUAGUUUCCACUUAGAGAGGACUUAUGAUUGUUAUAGGUUGACGUAAAUAAAAAAGUCAUUUUCAAUCCGUUCACGGUGUAUGGAACACUAUAUGUCCACAUUAAUUAUAAUGUAACGACUUCUUUUUCAAUUUUAGUCCAUCUUUGACUCAUGCUAUAGACAUUUUUCUUGUAAUUUGAUAACUUUGGAUAUUAGAAUGAGAAAUUUUUCUCGGUCAUCAUCCACUGAAUUUGAGUGUUGGAGUGACUAAUAACUCAAUUAAGGGAAACUUCAAAAUAUUAAUUCAUAAAUCACAUUUAUUAUAGAUAUAAAUGUAAAUUUGAGAAUAGGGAAUUAUGAUUGUAUUAAAAAAUAAAUAUUAUUUGUGUGUUUUUAUAACAUGAUUGAUAAAACUUACGUAACCAUUUAAAAUUAAAGCGAAAUAGGAUUAAUUGAGAAAUGUAUCGAUUAGCACAUGUAUGUUCUUUUCAACGGCUUUGGUGACCUAAUUAGAAAACGUCAAACUAUACUGGCAACCUAACUGGAAAACUUCAAACUAUACAGCCAUUCCAUUACUUGUGGAGUAAGGCAAAAAUGCCUUUGUGUUUACUUUUCUAGUAUACGUGCAAGUGUACAGGUCCACUAAUUUCGCAUAUGGUUCUUUCAUUGGCUUUUUAUUGAGUAUAGAUAUGAAAUAUAUUUGGUCCACGUCAAAAAGAAAAAGAAUUGAAAGCGAAACCAAAAAGCGAAAAAAAAAGUAGAAUUAGAAAAUUAAAUAAAUGUUGAAGUUAUUUGAUAAAAUAUAAAUAAUUAUGUUUUCUAUUUCAUUUCUCCUAUUGCAUCAUAUCACGUGACCUAUUUAUAUUCAUAUUGAUUUACUAGGAUUAAUAGUGUUGGAAAGGAAAUAUCAAUUUUGUUUCUUCUACAACUUAACAAUUAACUUAAAUGCUUGUUUGGUAUUGUUAUAAAUCUGAGACUUAGACUGAAAAGUGAAUUGUGAACUUAUGUUUAUUAUUAGAUUAAAAAGUGAGUUGUGAACUUAGGUUUAUUAUUAUAAAUUAUUUAUACUUAUUUUAUUUGUGUAGUAAGUUACGUGUGUUUUUAUUAGUUGAAUGGUGUUGGUUAUUAAUUAUGAUUUCUAUUAUUAAUACUGAUUUCACCGUUAUACCGUUAUUGUUUCAUUAAUGGUUAGUUUACUUAUUUCCUUCCAUUAGUUUCCUACAAUUGGUAUCAAGAGCUAGUCUGUUAUCAUGAACUCUACCCAAUUACUAGUCCUAUGGAAAAAAUUACAAUCAGUGGUGUGUGCAAAUGAGAGUUUUUUUUAUUAUUUAUUAUCAUGAGUUAUGGGAUGUCGUUGAGGGUGGAGUGGUUGCAUUAGCUGUUAAUGCAAUUGAGGCGCAACGAGUAGCGCAUCAUGAUGACAAUAAGGCUUUGUAUCUCAUCCAUAGGGAUGAAUGACAAGACGUUUGAGAAAAUAUAAGGAGCAACAACUGCAAGUGAUGCUUGAAUCAUUUUGUCAACCAAUUAUAAAGGGUGAUGACAAGAUCAAUAGGGUGCGUCUUCAAACCCUAAGACGCCAAUAUGAACUGUUGCAGAUGGAAACCACAUAGAUUAUUGAUGUCUAUAUAAAUAAAGUUCUUGCCUUGACAAAUCAGAUGAAAAGCAAUGGUGAAACACAUUCGGAGCAGGCAAAGGUGGAGAAGAUUUUGAGGUCUUUAACUCCCAGAUUUGAACAUGUUGUUGCCGCAAUUGAAGAGGCCAAUGACAUUUAAAAAAUGACAGUAGGGUUAUUGUCUGGUUACCUACCAGCGCAUGAGCAGCGAAUGAAUGACAAUAAUAUUGAAAAACCAAUUGAACAGGCUUUACAAGCACAAGACUCAAUUGGUAGCUCUUAUCAUAAACACGGUAGUUCACGAGGCAGAGGACGGGGACAUGGUGGUAGCUAUUCCAGCAAAGGUCGUGGUGGCUAGAAUCAUGGAGGCGCUGAGCAAAAUAACAUUGGUUUCAAUCACAUUCCAAGUUCAAAUAACUCUUGACGUGGAGAACGUGAUCGCGGAGGAUGAGGAGGCAUUUAUAAUAAAUCAAAUGUGGAGUGUUAUAACUGUCAUAAACGCAACCAUUAAGCAAAUGAGUGCAGAUCAAAAAGUGAUAAUCAUGCUGCCAAUUGUGCUCAAGAAGACAGUAAUCACGUACAAGAUGAAGAGGAUCAUGCAUAACUAAUGACAGCCACAUCAAAUGAAACUCCAAACAAUCAGACUUGGUAUUUGGAUACAGGUUGCACAAAUCAUAUGUGUGGUCAAAAGGAGUUGUUUGCAUAUUUGGAUGACUCAUUUUGCACAAAAGUGAAAUUCGGUGAUGGCAGGGUCGUUCCGGUGACUGGAAAAGGGCGAAUUCUUAUCACAUUGAAGAAUGGUGAUCACAGGUACAUAUAUGAUGUUGUCUAUGUACCUGAUAUGAAAAGUAAUUUGUUGAGUAUGUGACAACUGGCUGAGAAGGGUUAUGUGAUGUACAUAGUUGAAAAUAAAUUCUCAAUUUUUGAUAAAAAAUGUAGUUUGAUUCUUAAAACCUUUUUAUCAAAAAACCGUAUGUUUCCAGUAGAUAUUCAUAUGGGUGACUUCAAGUGCUUGAAUGCAAUAGUGAAUAAUGAAUCGUGGUUAUGGCAUUUACGCUUUGGGCACUUAAAUUUUCAGAGUUUGGAAAAUCUCUCCAAACGAAAUUUAGUGAAUAGUUUACCCCAUAUUUAUCACCCUGAUCAAUUGUGUGAGACUUGCAUUUUUGGAAAGAAUCACAGGAUACCAUUUGUUAAGGAGCCUUGGCGUGCAAAAUUUCCUUUGGAGCUUGUUCAUAUAGAUGUUUGUGGCUCAAUGAACAUAUCAUCAGUUGGAGGUAAUAAGUAUUUUUUAACCUUUAUUGAUGAUUUUUCAAGGAAAACCUGGAGUUAUCUAUUGAAAAGCAAGGAUGAGGUAUUCCACUGCUUUAAAAUAUCAUAUUUAAAGCAUUUGUUGAAAGACAGAGUGGCAGACAAAUUAAGAUGAUGCGUAGUGAUGGAGGGGGUGAGUACAAGUCUAAUGAGUUCAAGAGGCACUGUGAAGAACUUGGAUUGCAACAUAACAUAACAUGUCUCUACACACCUUAACACAAUGGAGUUGUCGAGAGAAAGAAUAGAACAAUCAUGGACAUGGCGUGGAGCAUGCAUAAAGCGAAAGGUAUGCCAAAUUAUUUUUGGGCUGAGGUCGUAACAUGUGCGGUAUAUUUGAUAAAUAGAUCACCCACUCGGAGUGUUCCUAACACAACUCCGAUUGAGGCAUGGAGCGGAUUCAAACCCAAUGUGCAACACUUGAAGGUAUUUGGGUCUAUUACUUAUGCUCAUGUCCCCAAAGCAGCAAGAUCGAAGUUGGAUGAUAAGGCAGAGAAGACCAUUUUCAUUGGAUAUAAGCAUGGGGGAUACAAAUUGUACAAUCCAAUGACAAAGAAGGUGAUUGUUAGUUGUGAUGUUACAUUUGUCGAAGAUGAGGAAUGGCAAUGGAAUGCAACAGUUGAAAUUGAUUAAAAAAAAACGAUAUAUUUACGUUUUGAACGAUGAUGUGGAAGAUGGAGUCACUCUUGAAGCACCUGCAGUUCAACCAGAAGCUGCAAUUCAACCUGAAGUUGCAAAUCCAAUUGCAACUAUGAUGGAGCGACCAAGAAGGCAGCAACGACAACCUGUACACCUUCAAGAUUGGCGAAGUAAAUCUUGAUGAUGAAGUUGAUGACAAUGGAGAUUUGGUUCACUUUGUUUUUCUUGCAGAUUCAGAACCCAUGAGACUUGCAGAUGUCAUUCAACACCCCAAAUGGCAGAAGGCUAUGAAUGAAGAAUUGAUGGCGAUUGAGAAAAACAAUAUCAUGACUCAAAUUUGUUUUAAUCCAGAUAUUCCAAUUAAGAUUUAUGUUGACAAUGUCUCUGCAAUUAAUCUUGCAGAGAAUCCAGUUUUUCAUCAAAUAAGUAGUCACAUUGAUAUUCGAUAUCACUUCCUGCGAGACCAAGUUAAGAAGAACAUGAUCAAAUUGGAAUACUACAGAUCAGAAGAUCAGAUUGCAAAUAUUUUCACUAAGCCAUUGAAGAUCAAUGCUUUCAUCAAGUUAAGAAAUCUGUUGGGUAGGAAGGUUGCUCCAAAUCAGAAUUAAGGGAGGAUGUUGGUUAUUAAUUCUGAUUUUAUUAUUAUUAAUUCUGAUUUUAUUAUGCUUAAACUAUUUUACCGUUAUUAUUGCAUUAAUGGUCAGUUAGUAUUCCUAUUUUAUAACUUCCAGUAUUUGUAAUUUUAUUAUAUAUAUUAUAUAUAUUAUUGAGUAAAUCAAAAUAUAUGAUACCAGCUCAACAGUUUUGCAAUCUUGUGCAAUUACCUUCAAUCAGUUUCUACAACAUUUUGCCUUCUCUUAUUUCCUUCAAUUAGUUCCUACAAAUGAGAAUAUAAUUAAUAUAAUUAUUUAAUAAGAAACUUAUAUACCACCUCAAGUUAUUUUGGAGUCAAAAUAUUAUAGGAAUGGUUAUCAAUGAAUGAUUUACUAAAAGUGGUAAAUUUUCUUGAGGUUUUAUGAAUGUGAAACCUAAAUAUGUAAAUUUUGAUAGUCAAAAGACUAAUCCCUUUAAGAAUUAAUAUAUUUCAAUAAAAGUGAUUGGAUAUGGUUUUAGUUUGGAGUCAACAACUUAAAGAGACUUGUGUCAAUGUGUAAUCUAUUCUAAUCCACAUAGGUUGAACUCCUAUUAAGGAUACAUAAAUUUUUAAUCUGAUCAACAAGCUAAAGAGAUUGUAUUAAAAAUAUUUCAGUAGUCUAACAGUGGUUGCGAAUUCACGUGAUAUGUGUAGCUCUCAAAGUAAAUAACUUGUUUUCCAAGCUAUCCAAAGAGAUCAAUAUACUUGUCUCCCAAGAGAUUUAUUACUACCCAUGUCAUUUAGACACAAAUAUUUAUGAUAUUGGUAAAAUUAAAAAAAAAUAACUUUACCUACAAAUAGUUAAAAUAUUUGAAAUAAGUGAAGUAAAUGAAUAAUAUAAAUUUAUUCAGAGAUUAUUUAUUAUGAUAAACCUAAUUUAUUUUAAAAGAAUAUAUGACUAAUACAUUUUUUACUUACUCAAAUAUAGUUUAAUUUAUUUUAAAAAAAAUCCAAAAGCUAAAACUUUAGAACAUAAUAUUUUAAAUGUUUUACUUUACACGUGUAAUCCUUAACUAUUUAAAUGUUAUACAAUUAUUAUAGAUAUAAUAACUAUUUUAAAGAAAAUAUUUUAUUUAUUUUAUACAUUUUUCUUACAACAACAAAAUAAAAACCAUAGAUAAAUCCCACUCUUUUAGUGUUUUUUUUUUCUUUCUCUUUUCUCAAUUUGCCAAUUUGCCGUCAUUGUUGAAGAUCUCACCCACUAAUCAAAGUCAUAUUUGAUGUGAAUGUUCUCUUCAAUUCAAAGUUUAUCUUAAUAUUAUGCUAAACUUAGACUUAGUCUAAACCUUACUGACUUGAUUUCAACUUUUCUUUAUAUUUCUUCUUUUUAUACAUAACUUUUCAAACUUUUAAUCUUACACAAAAAGCAUGUCAUUCUUCUCUGACAACAUUUUAUUUCAAUUUUUCUUGAUGGUGUGCUUCAUUUGAAAUUUCAUUUUACUUUAUAUUUCAAUUUUGCUCAUAAGUUAUGAUUGGAGUUUAUUCUAAUUUUUUCCAGUGUCUUAAUAUUUUUCCAUAGUGUGUUUGAUUUUUUAAUUUUCUAUGCAAAAAUUAGUGUUAAUAAUUGUGUCUAACUUUUCUUGUACUCUGUCCUUUAGUUUGAAUGCUUCAUCCUCUGUUCUGCUUCUAAUUUUUCUUAUAUUUUAUCCUGUGUUUUGAAUGCUUAAACUUUUACACUUGUUUUAACCUGUUUUGCUAUUAAUUGUUGUUUACUUGUUGUGAUAUAAGGUUUGCGUGAUUAGUUAGUUGAUGGCAUACAAGUAAUGAAGAACUUUUAAGUAACACAGUUAGUUAAUACUCAAUUAUUAAAAUAUUGCAAGACAUUUCUUAAAAGUGUUUUAUGUUUUAUGUAAUUGUAUUUACCUAUAAUGAAGUUGAUAGCGAAAGAAAUAUUUAAUACUUUUUUUUUCUUUUUUUUUUCUUUUGGAAGGAAUCGAGGGAUACAAACUAUAUCUUCAUAUAUGGAAAAUUAAUUUAGUUAUAUCAGUUGCUAAGUGAAGAUCAAGAUCAUUUGUUUAUUAGUGUGUACGUAUUGAUGUGUUUUGGGAUUAUUAAAAUUUGACGUGUUUGAUAAAGAGUGAUUUAUUCAUAAGUAAACUAUGUUUUGGGAUUAUUAAAUUACGUAUUGAUACUUUUAUUUUCGUGAGGGGAAUGCAUGUGCUGAUAAGUUGACUAAUUUAGGGUUCAUUCAUAGAUAAUCAUUUUAUUGGUAUAAUAGACUUCUAUCUAGUAUGUUCUUAGAAUUCUUUAUGAAUAGGUAUAGUCUACCUAUGUAUCGUUUUUGUUAACAUGUGAGUUUUGGUCUAAUCCUCCCAUAUUUUGGUAUUUUUUUUCUUUUUUUUAAUAAUAUGUUUUUCAUGUGAUGGCAGAUGAUUGUUGUUACUUGAGGUGUCAGCCUAGCUGAGAUGUCAAGUUGCAUAAUGAUGUCUAACAUGGAAAAUUUUAUAAAAAAUAAAAAAACAAAAAAAAACUAUGGUUUUUGUUAUUGAGAAAUUGUUUUUAAGAAAGUGUUGAUUACAAAUUACUAUUUUUUUUAAAAAAAAAUUGUUUUGAACAUCGUAACAUCUUUUUAAUGAAAAAUAUUUAUUGCAUAUAGGGGCUUUUAACAAGUUUGGAAUUGAGUGGAAAUUGGUGUUGGUUUAUGUUGCAAGUUGAUGGUUGAAUCAUAUUCAUAGAUAGAGUUGGUACUUUUUAAUAAUGUAAUUUAGUAUAUUAUUGAUAUUUUAAAAUGAUAAAGAGUGUGUGUAUAAUCUCAAUAAUAUAUGAUUUAAAUGUAUUAAAAAUUGAACUUUAAACAUAAAUCAACUUUAAAAAAUCGACUCAUAAGUUAAGGUUUGCACUUACUUAUAUAUUAUGAAAUGUUUUUAUCUUUGGUCGAUGUAGGAUUUUCAACAUUUCCCUUCACGUCAAGAUCUAUCAAUUCGUGUGUGAAACUAUAUAUUUAUAGGUGGUCAGAUAGCAACCGACCUUAUAAGUCUAACAAACUCUCAUUAGGAUAAACUGUAAAUGACUCUAAUACCAUAUUAAGAAGUGAAUUUUAAGCUUAAUUCAAUUUUAUAAAAUCAAUUCAUAAGGUAAUAUUUACACUCACUUAUAUAAUAUGAAAUGUUUUUAUUUCUAGUCGAUCUGAAAUCUCGAACAAAAUGUGAAAAUAUUCAAUUUUACAAGUAUGAUUAUUAUAAUUAUUAAAUAGGAGAGAUAUGAUUAUUAAGAUCUCAUUACUUGUAUUAUAAAAAAAACCCACGAACUAAAUUUUGUAUUGAUAAAAACUUGAGGAUUGUGGUUGAAAAGGCAGAACAAUUGUAAGAAUUAUCUUUUCAAGCAUAAUACAAAGUAUUUCUUUGUAAUUGAUAAAAAUUUAAACUGACACAUCAAAUAUUUAAAUUAUAUUAUUGAAAAUGGGUUCAUAGAUGAUUUAAAGAAGUAUAUGGUACAAGUUGAAAAUUUAAGAGGUUUUAAAGCAAUAAUAAUCAUAAAAUUUGGAGGAAUGACGUCCAUUCAAAAGUGAUAGGAUGAAAAAAGAAAGACAUGUAUGUUGUUUUAAUAGACUUCCACCAACUAAAUAUUUAAAUAUCUCAUCUCAAAAUUCUAUAACAGAGAAUAAGAUUAACAAUUUAGAAAAGAUUUUUAAAAAUCUUUUAUCUUUUCUUUAGAAAACAUUUUUAAAAAUCUUUUAUCUUUUCUUUAGAAAACAUUUUUAAAAAUCUUUUAUCUUUUCUUUAAACAUGAUGAGUGGUAAUUGUUCUUGCCAACAAUGUGGAAUCACAUCUUCAAGGUAGUCUCCGAACAAUCUUUCGGUAUUGUAGUCCUUGAGUGCUUGAAGAUCACCAAGUGAUGAGGGGAGCUCCACUCGUUGACAAGACUUCGACAAUCAAAUCAGUGAGAACAUUAAAUAUUUCAAUGUAGUAUGUAUUGCAUAGAAUAAUACUUGUCUUUGUUUGGGGACUCAUGACCCUUAUAUAGGACUCGUAGAUCCUUUUUUAGGAGUUUGUAAUCAGACACUUCCUUUGAACUUUUAGUUACACGAUUCGAUUUGUUGGACUCGAUCCGACUGACCCGAAAACGUCUAUUGAGUCCGAUCCAUUGGACCGAAAACACCCGAUCCACAUUAUCGGGUUCUACCCCGAUCUUGACUGAACGAUACAGUAAUAUACAAAUUGUAAAUAAAAAAUAAAAAAUAUAGUAAUUACAUUUAAUCAUCUAUAAAAAAAUUUAAUACUAAUAUGAUAUUUUAAAAAGAUAUUUUUUUCGGAAACACUUGAUGAUGAUGGAAGGAUUGAAAUUAUUCUAAUAGUAAUGUUUAAACACAGUAAAAAAAAGUCAAGUGAUAUGAUAAUGAUUGAAAAUUUACUUUUAAAUACAAUUAUCAUUUUUUACUAUAAGAUCAAUUUUUUUAAUGUGAUUACAUAUAUUUUAUAAAUGAUGUGGAUUUUUAUGGCCUGUACACAUCAUUAAUGAGUGAGAUAAUAUGUUUAAUCAUUUGCCAUUUAAUUUUUAGUACUUUCAAUGAACAAAUGAGAUUCAUAUGUAAGAAAUUUAGCAUCGAUUAUGACUCAUAGGACACAAAAUGUAUUUCAUUGAGUUGAGUGUGGUAUUUCAAUACCUAAUUAAUAUUUUUUUUGUCAUUAGUAAUUUGGUAUUGAUUUAAAAUCGAAAUUGUUGUUGACUAUUAAGAUUUAUUUGCUUUUGUAACUAUUAUGUUUUCCUCUUAUAAAUUUUGUUUAUAUUUUAGAUUAUAAAGUUGUUGUAAAACAUUGCAAAAACUUUUCUUAGUGGUUUUUAUCUAGUACAAUCAUUUAUAUUUUAGUGGACUUUUAUUGAAUUGAAUACACCCUACUCCAAUAGCCUAUGACGAGUCACACAAAUUUCAUUUGACAACAAAGAAUCUAUAGGGACAAAAAGUGGAACUUAUAGAGAAUCUUUAAAUUCAAAUUGAUAUUUUGAAUAAGUGAACAAAAAGUUAAACCCAUUUAUUAUAGCCAUUGUUUCCAAAAAUAUUUAAUAGUGAAUAUUUGAGCAAAUAAUGUAGAAUGUAUUAUAGCUAAAGACAAACAUCAUAUUAUUGUUUGGUACACGGAAAAUGUUAUAUUAUCACAAUUAUCGGUAUAUAUUAAUAAAUUUAUUCUCAAAAUUUUAACUAAUAAAUUUAUUCCACCAUUUUAUACAUGGACUAUAAUGAUAGAUUGUUAAAUGCCCUUAAAAUUUUACAUCACACUUUAUAUAGUAAAAAUAUUAUCAUGAUAUCUAUUACAAUGAAAGAAUGACAUAAACAAAAAUAUUUUGGUAUUAAAAUAUUAACGAAAAAUAAUAAAUUAUAUGGUAUUAUUAGUAAAGUAAGGAACUAAAAAUUAUUGAAGUUUUUGUGGAAUAAACUCAUACGGAAUAAUAUGUCAAAAAAAUUAAUUGAACUUAACAAUUGUUUUUUAUUAGCUAUAAGAAUGAAAUUAAUAAAGAUAUAUAUUUUAGAGAUAUAUUAACCUUAUACAAAAUCAUCAUUAUCAAACUUUCAUCUUGCAUUAAGUCUAUAAUGAUAUUAUACUCAAAACAGAUUAAUCAUACUAAAAACCACAACAUAAUCUAUUAAUCCAAACUUCUUAAAAAUGAUGUUCUUCUCAUAUUGAAUAUAUAGUUUUUAUUGAAGUUAAUAGUAACUCAUCAUGAUUAAAAAACAUGUUGUUUAGAGUUAAUUUUGUUUGAUAGACAAUUAUAUCAUCUAACUAUAUUACUUUAUUGUGUAAUUCCACUAUAUUGAUAUAAGUCUCAAUUUGAUGUACGGGAAAAGAUAGAAAAGAAAGAAAUGGGAGGAGUACAUUUGUUUAGUUAAUUAAAAAAGCUAAAUAAAUAUGUUUAAAAAAUUGUGAAACUGUGAAGUAUAUGAUAAGAAAAUCUGAACUUGUAAAUAUUUAUAACUAAAGUCUGCAAAAAGUAUAAAUAUUUUAAUUAUUUAUUUGUUAAAAGAGUGAAUAUGGAUAUCAUGCUAUUUAGUUAGCGAAUGUUCACUGUCCAUUAUUAAUUAUUUUUAUUUGAAUAUAUUUUUUAAUUAAGCAAUUGAGUAAAAUUAUUAACGAGAAAACAUUAAAAAUUGAUGAAUUAUUUAUAACUUAAUUUUAUAAAUGUAUAGUUUUUAUUUAGACUUGUGGAGCUAAAAUUAUCUUCAAAAGAUUAAUUUUAUUUAAAGUUAUAUUGUGAAGAAUUUUUUUAGAAUGAUUAAUUUUUUUCUAAUAAUAGCUUAUGAAACAUUUUUAUUAUAAUUAUACAUUAAUAUCAAUAUUUUAUCUUAUUUUAUUUUAUGUUUUAAAGAAUAAUUUUUAAAUAAUAUUAUUUUCUUAAAAGAAGGAUCCACGUGUAUCUAUUGAAAUAGGCAAGUAUUUUAAAUAACAUUAUAUUUUUUUAGUAGAAAUACUUCUUCAUAAGAUUUAUUUAUAAAUAACAAGUCACUUUAGAUAUGGUUAUCUCCUACUUCCAUAUCAAUGUAGACUCUUAUAUGUGUGACGUCAUUUAUUAUGAACUUGAAAUGUACUAUCUUAAGUGUAUCCUAUAGAAAACACCAUCACAUUCAAGUCAAAUAAUAUAAAAAUUAAGUAAUAAAUGAAUAAUACAUAUUUUGAGAUCUUCACCAUUAACUUUUAUUUAUAUCGAGUAUCGGUGGUUAAAUAUGACUUUAGUAUUGAGUUAAGAUUUUAAUAAUAAAAAUAUAGUGUAAGGGAAAAUAAUGUUAAUAUUUUAAUACUUUUGCGUGUUGAAAGAAAGAAAACAAAUCUAAAAAUAACUAUAGUUUAAACUUCGUUAAUUUUAAUAAAAAGCAUCUUCAAAACCGUAUUUAGUAGUAUAUAUAAUUGUAUUAUUUCCAGUUAUUUAUUUUAUUUUGUAGAUGCUUUCUAAAUUUAAAGGAAGAACCCAGACUUUAACCAAAACAUAUUUCUAUCCAAAAUAAAUGUAUGGUUAUGGGAAAAAAUAGCCUACAAUUGAUCAUACAAUCCAUUCAUUAAAUAAUGGAGUACAAUACAAUGUGCUAUAAUGAACCCAACAACGUCUUGUUCUAGGUUUUGUAUAUUCAGUCAUUGAUUUCUAAAUUUUUAUAUGAAUGUUUACAAUAAUAUUUCAAGGUCAAGUUAGUACUUCCUCCGAAUAAAGAAUAUAAAGUAAAAAAAGUUAAGAAUUCAUUAAUUAAUACUUAGUUUGAAGAAAAAACAUAUAAUAAAAAGUUAUAUAUUUAUUAUUUUCAAUUCACCUAUUUAUAACGGUAUUCUUCUAGUUAAGAAGAAUGUCUUCCAACUAAAGAUUUAGUUUAGUCAAAAAUAGUUAUUUCCAACUAAAUUGUAGUUCUGUCUCAUACCAUCAUCUUCCUCUUUUAUUUAAUAAUUAUUUCUCUAUUAUAGUAUUUGUCUCAUUCUUAGAUACAUUCUUAGAUUAAUUACAAUCUCGCAUAUUCAGUUAAUGUUUGUCACUUUCAAUAAAAAAAAUAAAAAAAAAUUUCAUUAUUUUAAUAAAUAGAUCAAUAUCAUAACCGUUUUCAUCUAUUAUUGGAAUCGACUUAUGAUCUCACAGUUCUCAAAUUCCAACAUAAUCCAAUGAGACUAAUAAGAUCAUGAAGUAAUUAAUUAUAGGAUGUAUCUUAAAUUUUGACUGAAAUCCAUACCAUUGAGGUUGAUGCAAAAGUUCACAUAUACUAUUAUACCUCAUCUAUAGAAAUGAUUAAUUGAGAUCCAAAUAGACUUAGAUGCGCUUAAUCAUAAUUUAUAUAUUGUUUACUUUACUCUACUUAUUAAUUAUAUUAUUACACCCUUAAUUUCACUUUAGAGAUACUUGCAUCAUUCAGUGGUGAGAUGUUGGGAUAUCGAGUGUGAUAUCGACACCUCAUAUAUUCCGGUACAAUGCAUUUGAGGAAAAUAAAAACCGAUCAUAUGUAUAAUUUUUUGUUUUCUUCCAUGCUUGGUUGUCACUUAGGUCAAUUCAGCACGAACCAACAUACUCCAUUUCAUCUUCUCAUAAAUCGAAGACAAUAAUUCCAGGAAAUGAAAAUGGGGUAUGUUAAUAAAGAAAAAAAAUAAGAGAAAAUUGCACAUAAAUAAAAUUCAAUUGAGUUCUUAAAUUACAAUGAUAUUGAAAAGAGUAGAAAUAUAUAGUUAAUUUGGUGAAUAAACAAAGUAGGUUGGAAAAAUGCGAUGAAAGCAUGAUAAGAUAGUUGUGGUUGUCUGUGGAAAUGCGAAACCCCUCUUUCUUGUUUUGUUUUGCACAUAUUUUACAAGCAAAUCCGACAAACAGAAAGAAUUGCAUAAGUCCAAACCUACUGGUAUUAUUUAGACGUUAAUAAUUGCCAGCUUUUGCCAGCUCCUACUUCAUCAUUAAAAUAUAAUUUAAAAAAAUAGACACAGAAACAGUAGUGAAGACUUUGCUCCUCAGUCCCAAAAAAUGACAACGGGAUACACUGGAUUUCCACACUUUCUCACAUGCUCGUCUUUUUCAUUUUCUGCCACGUGUAUUGUAAUGUAGCAAGGUCCCUCUGGUUCCAGCUGCGCAAACCUCACUCUCUUCCUUCAUCAUCAUCAUCAUCAUCAUCUUCUACCACUACAGCCACAAUAAACAUGCAUACCGUAUUUUUUCUUUUCAAAUAUUAUACGUAUACUUUUUGAUAUUUUAUUUCCGUUUGAGUUGAGUAGUUGUUCUCCAUUUGCAACGGUUACCUAAUAUUAUUCUCUGUUUCCAUCUACCCCAUUAUCAACUACGUAUUGCAUAUAAAACAUUAGCGAUAAUGAAAGAAAGGGUCAUGUAUCUGCUUUCUCAAUCAUUAAUGCAAAAUUACCGAAUUUAAUGAUGUUACCAUUACGAAUGGAGAAAGGGUCAAACCAAAAAUAAAAAGUGCACCUUUUCAACUGGCGGACAAAGGACGAGACACGAGUGGCAUCAACGCGGGUAAAGCACCCCGCGUUUUACUACCAGACGGAACCCAUCAACGGGCUAUAAAGGACACACGUGUGAGUUCUAGAUCAACGGUCAAAACACAAGGGCACUCUAGUAAUAUCGUUAAACGACUUUAUGAGUUGUUGAAAAGUUAUGGUCUUUCCGAGGAAAGAAAAAGUAAAAAAUAAUAAUAAAAAUGGAUUUUUUUUCAUUAUUUUCAUAGUACACAUUUUGUUUUCAUUAAUGGAAUUUUAAAUUGUAUUAUUUUUUGUUGUUAGAACAAACAGAGGGCUAGAGUGAAAAUAAAUUUAACGGGGAGAGGAGAGAGAGUGGGAAGCAUAUGAGAAUAGGAAGAUGGGUGGAAAAAACGCCGUACAGAGGGGUGGCGGAUGACAGCGACUGCUCACUGACCCACAUAACUGACACGUGUCCUGACGCAAAAGGGUGUGGAGGUAAUAUUGAGCAAGCAUAAUGGAGAAAAAGGCAAAGAAGGAACACACAUUAACAAAAAUCAAUUGGGCAGAAGAUCCACAUAUGCCAGCUAAUAUUUUGCACAUUUACAGAAAGAGAGGAAAAAUUGUAGUAGAGGCGGAAGAAAGUUGAAAUGAAGAUAAAAUAAAAAAAAAGAAUAAAGAAUAAAAAAGUGGGAAUGGAGAGUUAAGUGUUGACCCAUUAUUAUUACUCACAUCACACCGGCCUGACCUAGUCCAGGGUAUUAGGGAAGAUGAGGAAUGGGGACAGGCAGCAUAGAAGGAGUAGAUGCACAUCACAACAUAUAAAAAUAUUAAUAUAUAUAGUAAGGUUGGGAAAAUAAUGAGAUAAAAAAAAUUGUGUGUGAGCAUAUAGAAGGAAAUUAAAUUAGGACAUUGGAGUUGGAGGAAUCUUUGAGCAUUAUUGAUGCAUUAAUCGCCACUCCUUCAACGGUUCAUAUCUUACCUCUUUUUAUAUAUUCUGUUCCCUUAUCAUCUUCCACUGCUCAACUCUCUCUCUCUCUCUCUCUAACACAAGCUUCCGUUUUUCUGUUUCUCUUCUCUCUACUCAGAACAUGGGUUCUUCUGCAGUACAAUUGUUUCUCAUCUUGGGGCUUCUGGCUACUUCUUGCAUAGCACAAGCCCCAGGUGGCGCACCCACGCAGCCUCCCACAACCACCCCACCACCACCGCCCGCAGCAGCACCAGUACCUGCACCCACUGCACCCGCAACUCCACCACCAUCUUCACCACCACCUGCACCCACACCCGCACCCACACCAACUGCUCCCACUCCUGCUCCAGCUUCUUCUCCUUCAUCUGCUGCAUCUCCCUCAGCUGAGUCACCAGGCUCUCCUACAUCUCCCCCAGCACCACCGGCCCCCUCAUCUGCACCUUCACCCUCAGUCAGCGAACCACCACCCUCACCCUCCUCCGCAUUCUCCGUUGGCAAGGCCUUCGUUGCCGGGUCUGCGCUCGCGGGAACCUUCGUAGCCAUGGUCUUGGCUUGAAGACAGACCUGACGGUUGGGAUUCGUCCACGUGGAGGCUCUUGGGCCCUUGAUCUUGUUUUACAGCGACGGACGGACGGACGGGAUCUGUUUCAUUUAUUUUAUCCUCUGGUCUUGUUGAGUAGCGGUUUUCUUUUUCUCUCUUUGGGGUUUUAUGUGUUAGUUUUGUUCGUUCGUGGUUGAUGUGUUUGUUGAUUCGAUAUCUGGGAGGGUUGGGUGUUGAUGAUGAUGAUGAUGAUGAUGAUGAUGGUGAUGGUAUUCAUGAUUAUGAUGAUUAUUUUGUGAUUCAUUGUUCUGGUGUUCACACGUGUACGUAGAUGACCUUGAUGAUUUCAUUGUACAUCUAAUAAUUGAAAGAAUAAAACAGUUUGUCAUUCUUUUUACUUACAAUCUUGUUCCUUGUUAAUGUGCAAAACCCUCGUUUUUCAGAGCCACCACCUCUAACUUCUUCUCAUUCUGGAAUAUAUGCAUAAUUAUUCCGACUUCUACACAUUAUACUCCACUUUCCUCCUUUUUCAAAUUACUGCUUUAAUUCGACCAUAGAUAUACUGCCACGUCUUUUAAAUUCAAAGCAUCUUUUUCUGCUUUUCAUUCAGACCACACAUCCAAGACCAACCAAAUUUUGUCCUCUCAUUUACAAUUUUUUAUUCCUUUGCAUUAUGUCAUUACUCCAUAACUUGAUAUUAUUAUUAUUAUUAUUAUUAUUACACUCUUAUUUCUUAAUGAAGUUUCACACUCAAAUCUCACUAAUGCAAUCUACAUUUACCAUUUUACAUUAUCGAUUCAAGAAAAAUAUUUUAGAUUCAAGCGUUUAAAUAUUAACAAAUAAUCUUUUGGAAAAACAAGAUUUGCUUAUAUUCUUCACAGGGAAUUAACUUUUUUUAUGGAAAUCAUUCCACUUUUGCUAAUUCGACAUUUUAUGAGAUGCUGCGAUAAAUCAUAAAACCUUUACCUACUUUUAUGUUAAAAAAAGCUUUUUUUUUCCUUAAAAUUAGAAUGGCGUCAUCUUUUCCAUGUGAGCGUGUUGAUGAUGAAAGAAGGUUCUAGGUUGUUUUGUAAAGAACGUGGGUUUCCUCGUCUUUUCCUUUCAGUGUUGUGGAGAUUUGUUUAAUGCCCUGUCAAUUCCGCAGGAAAUUGACAUGUUAUGCGACCUUUUUCCUAAAUAUAAUAGUAGUAUAAUAUUUUUUUAUGUGAAAGUUCCUAAAUAUAAUAAUAUUAUUAUAUUUAUUAUGUGAAAGUGAGAAGCACGUAGUAGGAGAUAGAUGCCUCCAACAAGAAUUUGUAUUAUUGCAAGCAAGGUGGAUCUGGUUAGCAAUUGGUUAAACUGCUAACCCCUCACUCACUUCAUUACAGGAUUAGAUCCACGUCUUUGUCACAGGUAAAUAUCAAGGAGAACCUUUUUUUUAAAUUAAAAAUUAUUUUGGAAAAUAUUAUUAAAAAAAGUAAGAUGUUUUCAUGUUCUCUGUUUUCUUUUUCUAUUUUUAACUAUUUUACUAAAAUAAUGAAAAUACAACUUUUAAAAAAGGCUAAUAAAACAAACACUUCCCACUGUACUUAGAAAACAAGGAAAAAUUUAAAAUAAAAGGAAUACUUUUGAAAACAAUGGAUAACAAAGUUUAAGAAAAGUUAGGUUAUUUGAGUUAAGAGAAAAAAAAAUCCUAGAAAAAGUUUGUAAAAAAAGAAUUUUAUAGGAUCUUAAUAUAUAUUAUUGGUUUGUGUUAGUAAAUAUGCAUGAUCUUUAUUUAUUUUUUACUUGUUAUUAUUAUUUUGAUUAUAUUUAAUUCUAAAGUUUACUUACACUUAAAUUUAUUAUAAUUUAGUUUAAUUAAAAUAUUUGAAAAUUAAUGAUGGUUUGUCCGCUCUAUUUUGACUCAUUUCAAACUUAGUUAGUAAAAAGUAGGUUGAAUUAGUCCGUCUUACAUAAAAAUUGUAGAUUAGUUUUGGUAGGUCAUUCGCGAUCCAAUCUACAUAAACAAAAUCUUCACAAAAUACCUAUAUGUGAAUGUCUCGAGAAUAAUUUUAUUUUAAUGUUUCAUAUUUUUCUUGCAUUCUAUUCUAUGAAUCUAUCAUUGACAAUAAAAUUUAAUCAAGCUAAAUAAACAUAAAAUUAACAUCUAAUUCAAAUAAAUAUGUCAAUGUUUAAUAUUUCAUGAACAAUAUAACAUAAAAGUAAAUAUUAUUUUCUAAGCUGAAAAACUAUAGUAUUUAAUUAUCAUUGUGUCUUGACUUCAAAAACAUUAUUGUUGUUCUCAAUCCACCUUGUCCUAUUAUUGACAGGUGUGGACUACAAAUUUUGUAGGACAAACGAUCUAAGUAAAUGACAAAAUAAUACUCAAUUCUCUUCACAUUUUUCUUGUGGGCUAGUGGACCAACUUGCAUUGUGAUCUCGUUAAAACAUAUCAUGUUCAUCUUGGAUAUAUAAAUCUUAAACCCUAAACUCUAAACCUCCAUACCUUCCUCUUGCACCUCCAUAUUUUUUUUAAUUCCUACAAUAUUUUUCUGAUUAAGGUUAUGAGGAUUCACAAUUUACUUCAAGUUGCAAUAAGAGUUCACUCCAUAGAACCAUUGCAAGUGCAACAAUAAUUAUUUUUCUUGAUAGAACUUAUGCGAUGUUGCUUGAGGAAAAACUUUAACUACAAAAGACCUAAACCCUCAAGUAAGUGUUGAUUUAUUUUAUGAAGUAAUUAAAAUAUGUCAAAUGAUGGACUCUUCCCUCAAACGUUGCGAUGGAAUAAGAAUGGAAAUUUUGCUGGUGGAAGAGAGAGAUAUGAGGUUUUUAAAAAUGUGGGAUUAUAUUUCAUUUAGAAUUAUUUAAAAUUUUAAAAAAUAUUUAAAUUGACUCUUUUUACAGUUAAUAUGGAGAUGUAGUUAGAAGAUUGGGAGAUAAAGGGAAAAUUUGACUUUUUUAAAGUUUACUUGUACUUAAGUAUAUUUAUAUUUUUGUAAUUUUACAUAAUUCUUUUAUCUUUGAAAUAAAAAAUAAAAAAGGGACUUUUUUUAAAUAAUCCGCCAUUAAUUAUCAUUUUAUGAUUAUUUUGGUACCGGUCGGCAUCAGACGAGUCUGUCUUGGACACAACAACCGGCCCACUAAGUCACAGAACACUCCAAAAUCGCGCAUUGAAUAAGAAUCACCAAUUACAAGAGCAUUUAGUGCGCUGUAACCAUAUUCGGAAUAUGCGGGAACAUCUUUGCGAAAUCAAUCAAAUACUAAUUAACUGAAGGAGGUUAUAAACAUUCCUUAAACAACAUACCUCCCUAUUAAUCAGAGAUCACGAUGUGUCAAUUGAUAACUGAUAUUUAUCCCUCAUGCAAGAAAGUCCAUAACUAGCACUAUAAAUUGAACCCUUUGUUGAGGUGUAAGGUAUGUUUUACAUUCUGCUAGUAUACACCUAAAAUCUUAGCAUUGACUUGAGCGUCAGAGUGUAAUCGCAUAUACCCCUCCGACCGUCUGAGUCCAACAACAAAGGAAGGAAGCUCAAAGUUACACAGAGGAUCGUCAAGAGGCACCAACAUGUCACCAAAUUGUGUUACCUGGGUCCAUUUUCCCCCACAUAGGUACAAUUUUAGUUUAUGAUAAAAGUUAAAAGUAAAUUAUUUUUUAAAUUAAGAAACUAAAAUAUAUUUAAAUCGGAGAGACCGAAUUUUUUUAACGUAAUUUUAUAAAACAAAAGUAUAAGCUUUUAAUGAUUAUUUUACAUUUCAAUUCUUCAAGUUUACUUUUAACAUUUCAGUCUUCCAUUAUCAUCGUGUAUGUGCUCGGUUCUCCUUUAUGCUUCUUUUGGUCGAACAAAAUGAAAUAUAAAAAAAAAAGAAAAAGUGAGAGAAACAUGUAAAUAAUGAGUGAAAAAAUAUUAUUUGAUUGAAGACAAAUUAGUCAAAAAAAAUUAUUUAUUUAUUAAUAUUAUUUUUAUACUUUAAUUAUUAAUUAUUAUUAUUAUUAUAAUUUUUUUUUGUCUAUUUUCUUCAUAUAUUUAUCAUUCAAUCCGUGACAAUCCUCUCCAUUUCAUCACAAAUUUAAAUUAGUUAACAAAGUUCACUCAUCAUCACUUUCUUGGUUUAAAAAUUAUUGAUGGGUAAUCAACUUACAUAGUACAUAAAAUUCAUCAGGAAUGUAAUAAAAUGUUAUAUUAUUAGCGAGUAGGGAUGUGAAAGUGAAACAAACUAUAAGUUGAUUUAAAAUUGGAUAAUCUCACCCUAAUUCACACCGUGACAAGUUUGAAAGUUUCUAACCCAAAUACACUAAAUGUUGGUCAAUUAAAUGGGGCUAUCUAACUAAAAAAUAUUGAAAAAUUUAAAUUGCUAAAAAAAUACAGGAGAUGUGAUGUAAAAGGAACAAGCUCCAGGACCACCUAUCCACGGUGUGAGGGAGAAUGACCCUUGUGUACUGUAGUAACAAUUUUAAAAUUAUAUUAAAUUUAUAUUGAAAGUAUAAAUAUCAAUUUAUAGAAAAAUGCUAAUAUUAUUUAUAUUAUUUAUAAUUAUUAAUUUUUUAUAGAGGUGUAUAAUUUUUAUUUUGUUUUUGUCUAUUCUGAUUCUAGUAUUUAUUGUUUACUAUUUGUUUUUCAUUAUCUCUUUAGUUAGACCUAGAAUGAGUGUACUUCUUGUAUAUAUGCAGAUUAUUUGUUUUGAUUUCAAUAGAAGGGAUAUUCAUUCUCAAAAUUUUUGUCUUUCUUUUUUAUCUUUUGUUAAUCUCUGUUCUAUUUUAUAAUAUGAUAUUAAGUUGUUUAAAGUCUAUCAUAACGAGUGUUUGGUGGACUUAUCAGGUUACCCGUUAUCGGACUACUCAUAAAUAUAUUGCCACUCUCAGUAUAAGAGAGUGUGUUGAAAAUCCCACAUGAGAGAAUAGAUCAUUUGAUAGUAUAUAAGUAAGUGCAAACCUCACCUUAUAUAAGAUUGAGUUAAACUUAAAAUUUAUUAAUUUAAAAAUAAAAAGGAUAAAUAUUUAAUAUCUAAUUUAAUGCUCGUGAUUAUGCUUUUCCACGGAAAGGAUGAUUUGUAUUAGAGGUGCAGUAGUAUAUUAUUAUUAUCAUUAUUAUAUUUUAUUUUUUAUUGUAUUUGUUCUUACUUUGAGUACGUUUCUAAUAUAAAAAAAUAACUAAUGAUGAACAAAUUCAAACAACUCAGAAUUUUUCUUGUUUUUUUAGCGAAUGGGAUUGGAAAUAAUAAUAUUAAAAGUCGCUUUUAUAAUCUUUUAAAAAGGAGCAACUAGAAAUAAAUUUUUUGCAUGCAUCCAGGAUUACAUUAUUCUGUAUAAAGAUAAGAAUUUUCCCUAAAAGUUAACUUUACUUUUCCUUUAUUUUCUUUUCCAAAAGCUGAUGGUUCCUCCAUCUUUCAUAGGGAUUGGUCACAUAAAAUAAAAAUGUCUUUUAAAAAAUAAAAAUAUGUCUUUUAAUAAAUAAAAAUAUUCAAAAAGCAUGCAGUCCCGUAAUCGGAACAAAAACAAAAUUAUUCUCUUGAUUCUUCUCUUUUAUCCAACUUUGUCAUUUUAUUCUUUAAAAAAUCAAUUUACUUAUUUAAAGUGUGUGUAUGGGCACACACAAGUGUAGGAACUUAGCAUUUGUGUGUUGUUUGAUAUUGAAGAAAUGCCCACAAAUAAAGAGAAGUGAUAAGAAGAUUAGUUCUUAAUUUCAUCUUACAAAACUUUUUUUUUUCCAAAAAUAUACUUAUUUAGAAAAAAUGACCCAAACAAAUCUAUUUUACUUUAAUUUCCAAACUAGACUCAUGUAUUCUUGACAUGAGUCAAAUUUUGAAGAGUGAAUAGUACACCACUUUUUCUUUUCCUAUUUUUUCUCAAUUUUCAUUUUUUUUUGUUUGAAAAAACCGGUUUAGAAUUUGGCUUAUUGAGAAUCGGUUUUCAGCAGCACGGGAGUGGAUACAUUGAAAAUUUGGUUGCACUAGAAAAUUGGCUCAAAUUUUAUUUCGGGGAUUUGAAUUGUGUCCUAUUUUUAAUUUAUUUUUGAAAAUUGAGAAACAAGGAGUGAAAGUAUUUCACAUUGAAAUUCCGGUUAUUGGGAAGUCGAAUUCUAAAUGUGAAUAGUAAAUAAAAUAAGUCCAAUUUGAAAAUUAAAGUUGAAAUAUGUUUAUUUGGGUAACUUUUCAAAAUGGGUUUAUUUUGGGAGGAAAGAAUCCCAAAACUAUAUAUGUGUGAACCAAAUAUAUUUAAUUUUAUUGUAAAAUAAUUAUGUAAUUUUUUGCAUAAAUAGUUGGUUUAAUAUAAUAAGUAUUUACAUGUUUUAUUUUUAGUACAGUAAAAGAAAAAUUAUAAUUUUAUUAUAACAACUUUAAUUCUCUUAGAUUUAUUUAAAAUUCGAUAAUAAUUAAUAAUAUAAUUAAGUAAGUUUGGUCUUUAGUAAUUCUCAACCUAUGUUUGUUAAAAGAAAAAUUAAUGUUAAUAGGCAAUUAGGUUUUUUCUUUUGUUUUAUAAAUUUCAAACAAAAUAAAACUAAGAGACUUAAAGUUGUUGUACUUAAAACAUAGUUUUUUUUUUCUUAUUAUAAUAAAAAUAAAAUAUGUUAAUAAUUUUUAGAUUGAAUAAAUUAUUUAUCUUAGUUUUUUUUUUCUAUUUCUUCUUUUCAAUUACAAAAUAUUUUUUUAUUAUUUUCUAUUCCGUAGGUAACAGUCAAAAUUUGUAGAUAAAUCCAUAGAUAAUUUAACAUAUUUUACUUUUAAAUUUUCAAUUAUUAUUUGAAUCUAUUUUUUUUUCAAUUAUUAUUUAUGCUCAUCUUUAGGAUUAUUAUUGACAUUGACAAUUAUUAUAUAUGUUAUUAGUGGGUGGGACUCGAACCAAAGUCCAUUGGAUGACCAAAGAAACUUUAAUCAUUACACUAAAUAAAUUUUGUUAUCAUGUUAUGGUUAUUAUUAUAUUUAUUAGUAUGAUUAUCAAUAUUAAUAUAAUUAUUAAUAUAAAUAUUAUUAAUAUUAUUCAUAUAUUUAAUAUCAUAAAUAAUAAUUGAUAAUUGGAUGACCAGAGAAACUUUAACCAUUACACCAAAUAAAUUUUGUUAUCAUGUUAUGGUUAUUAUUAUAUUUAUUAGUAUGAUUAUCACUAUUAAUAUAAUUAUUAAUAUAAAUAUUAUUCAUAUAUUUAAUAUCAUUUAUAUUAUUAUUCAAAUUAAUAACAUUAUUAAUUAUUAUUAUAAUUUUAUUAUUACUAUUUGUGAAUAUUAGUUGUGAUUUUAUAAUUAUUCAUAUAUAUAAAUAAUUCCUGUUUUUGUUAUUCACGGACACACGGUUCGUAGGUAAGUUACCUACAAAUUGAAGUGGGUGGCUAAUUCUUGUUUUUGUUACCCACAAACAUACUGUUCAUAGGUAAAUUACCUACAAACUGAAGUUGAUGGAUAAUUUCUAUUUCUGCUACCCACAUACACACUGUUCGUAGGUAAAUUACCUACGGACUAAAGUUGGUGGAUAACAGAAACAAGAAUUAUCCAUCAACUUCAGUUCGUAAGAAUAUUAUUAUUAAUAAUAUUAUUCAUGUUAUUAAUAUUAUAAAUUAUUAAUAUUAUUAAUGUUAUAAAUAAUAUGAGUAAUAUUAUUUAUAUUAAUAUUACUAAUAUUAAUUUUAUUCAUAUUAUUAAUAUUAGUUAUGCUUUUAUAAUUAUUCAUAUAUUUAAAUAAUAUUUUUAAUAUUAUAUAUAUAAUUAUUAUUAUGGGAAUAUCCGUAGAUAUCGAUGUUAAAUUUACUAAUAAAUUCAGGUCCGUAGAUAAUGCUGAAUUUACUUACGAAUUCAUAUCCGUAGAAAAAAUCUCAUUUGAACAUGUAACACCCCAUAAUUUACAUAUAACUAUUACAAUAAAAGUUUUACCCGUUUCUAUACAAACUUGGAGUUUUUCAAAACAUUCCUAAUACAUGAUUAGAAUUUAUAGAAAUACAAAUAUUUACAUAUCCAUAACUCAAAAUAAAAACUCUGAAACCUUUAAGGCUCUCCUGCACCUAUAUGGUCAUUUACUCGUGUACAUAGUACAAUCAUCGCAGUUCAAACACAUCAAGAAAAGCAAGGGUAAGCUAAUGAAAAGAAAUUUCAUAUCUUAUAUAUUUUUUGCAAAAAGAACCAAUCAAACAAAUCAUUUAUAAAUAUUUCUUUAAAUGUUGUCAUAUAAAAUUUCAAUAUCAAUUUCAUCAUUCAUAUAGACCACACAUGAAUCUAUCUUCAAUCACAAUCAUUGGAUUUCAUUUCAAUCCCACUUCAUCUUCCGAAAGACUCAUUAAGUAUGCCCCUACCAGAGACUAACACCUGACCCAAAGAUUACCAGCGAAUCCAAUAGAAAGGAUUAGGGUAAGUUCAAACAUCCAAUACCGAGUGUCUACAGUGGGACUCAAUGUGUAUGAACUCCCUCUCGGCUUCUCACCACCUGAUAUCUUAGUCUACAUGACUUAGAUCACCAGUGAAGCCAGAGGAUCUCCGUUAAACAUAGGCUUUUCAUACUUAAUGUACCAUCAAAUAACAACUCAUACAUUAUCCCAAAUGUAUGACAUCAAUUUCAUACAAUUUUCAUCAUACAAUAUCAUUCAAAACGCAAUCCACAAUAUUCAAAAUCUUAUUUAACAGAAAAACAACACUUAAAUACUAAACCAUCAAAAUUUAAUAUUUUUACUAGUUUAAAUAAUAUAUAAACAAACAACACAAUAUAUAAAAACACAACAUCCUUGCAAGAAAAAUUGAAUAUUGGGACCACGUCCCUUCUGCAUUAAGAUCUUCUAUCCUAGGGUGCUAUUACAAAUUAAAUUUAGCUUCCCUUACCUCAAUUGCUUGCUUUCCUAGCAACUUCUAGAAUUUUAUUCCCCACAGUCUAGAUAAGCUUCAAGAUUUACGGGCCUAAAGCAAGUUAUCCAAACAAAAUAAAAAUUCAGUAUAUAGUAGAAUAAGUUGAGAGGAUUAAACUUCUCAACUGACCCCACCAAGAUUGAUGACUAAAUCUUAAGGAAAAACUGAGAACAAAGGAUAUUUAGAGUAAAAAUGAACUUACUCUGUUUAAAAAUCUGAUCGGGUAGAAAUGUUCCUUAACUCGCCAGCUACAACGUGGUCCGAUCAAAUUGAAAAAUAGAUGAAGAUUAGGAGAGAAAAUUAAGAGAGAAUGAAGAGAAGAGAAUAUGGAAAGAGAGAGAGAAAGAAAAAGAAGUUUCGUGUGUGAGGGGGGCAUGGGGUUUGGCUUUUGCUUCUUUAUCUUCUUUUAUUUUUACGCUGUUACAAAACUCAGUUAAUCAUGAUUAUCUGAGUUUUGUAAAUAAAUAAUAAGUUAAUAUGUAAUUAAGAUUGAACAAAGUUUUUUUAAUGAUGAUUUGCAUCUAGUUUCUCUUUAUACUUCUGUAAACUUUUGUAGGGUUUUCAUUUCAUCUUGCAGAACAAUUUGAUCUCCUACAAUAUCUAAAAGACUUUGAAUUAUUCUUCUCACAUUAAUGUGGUUUUUUUUUAAAGGUUGAUACUUGUUUAGUGAAUAGAGUCAAAAGAUUUUCGUUCAAAAACUUUGUAGAAGAAAUUUAAAUAAAAUCCAAUAGAGUUCAGAUAUGACAACUUACAUAAUAUAGAAGUUAAUUACAAAACAAAAAAAAAAACUAAAUCUCAUAUCCUAAUAUAGUCAUUAUGUAGUACUUUCAUAAGAGCAACACAUAUGAAAAUAUCACUUUCAAAUUUAGGAAAAAUAAUGGAAUUAAAAAAGGAUGAAAUUGAAGACAUAAUUUUAAGAGAUAAAAUGAGUUAAUUUCCAAUAAAUCACAAUUUUAAAAUUUUAUUUAUGAGACAAAUUCUAAAUUUGUUGUGUGAAAAAAAUAAUGUUAUAAACGAGAUUUCAAAGGAAAAACAAGAGCAUCAAGUUACAUAAUCGAAUAACAUUCUUAGAUCUAGAUUUCUUUUUCUUUCGUUUUUCUUAUGGAAGACUAAACAUUAUGGGUUGAUUCUAUUGUGAUUUUUCAUUGAAUUUAAAGGUUUUGUUAAAUGAAAUUUUGUUUUUUAAUUUUUUGUAACAGUUUAUUUUAAUCAUUUGAUAUUUUGAAUUUGAAUGCCUAUCAAAGAAAUUGUCUUUGAAUAUUUAUUGAAAAUUAAUUUAAAAUUUAAUUACUAUUAUUAUUACUAUUUUUAUUUGUAAAGAUAAUUAACAAUUGUUAUUAGUUAUUCCUAACUAUUUCCUCAUGGUUUUCUUGUAUUAAUUUUUUAUUGUAUUACAGUUAAUGAAGAUGAAUAUUCCUUGUCUGAUGUGGUGCAUCAAAUGGAGUGCACGUAAUCACACGAAAUCGCAAUAGAGAAAGGGAGGUGCUGAUGAACCCUAAUUGCAAAUGAAAAAGAGACAAUGACUUAAGCAUGAAAGAGAGAAAAGAAGAGAAAAGAAAAUACAAAAGAAAUUCUUAUUUACUUGUGUAUUAGAGAGUAAAAUACAUUGUGUAUAUAUAAGAAAAAGACUAAGACCUAGCUGAAACAAAAAGAAAGUUGGGCCAAACAAACAAAGCCCAAUAACUUAAAACAGAAAAACUAAAUAUGUUAACAUCCCCCUCAAGCUGGGGAGUAGAUAUUUGUCAGGCCUAGCUUGGAUUUGAGAGUAGAGAACUGUGCGGAAGCAAGAGGCUUGGUGAAUAUGUCAGCAACUUGCAUGGCAAAAGUAAUGGACAACAGUUUGAGGAGACCAAAGUUAAGUUUUUCACGAACUAGGUGACAAUCAAUUUCGAUGUGCUUGGUGCGUUCAUGAAAGACUUGAUUGGACACUAUUUGAAGGGCAGAUUUGUUGUCAUAGUACAGGGUUGCAGACUGGGAGAGAGGAAGAUGUAAAUCCUGAAGGAGGUAAGACAACCAUUGUAGCUCACAUGUGAUGGUGACAAGGGCUCUAUACUCGGCUUCAGAGGAGUUGGGGGAGAUAGUUGGCUGCUUCUUUGAUUUCCAUGAUAUUAGGGAGUCUCCUAAAAAGAUGGAAUAUCAAGUGACAGAUUUGCGUGUGGUAGGACAUGUUGCCAGGUGAAGUGAGCUAGUAUGAGAAAAAUAUAGUCCUUCACCAAGGGUGCCCUUAAGGUAACGCAAAAGACAUGAGACAACUUGUUGAUGAUGAGUUGUGGGUGCAGAUAUGAAUUGGCUUAAAUUGUGGACAGCAAAGGCGAUGUCAGGUCGCGUGUUGGUUAAGUAGAUUAGACGUCCAAGGAGUCUUCUGUAUUGAGAAGUUGCAUCAGCAUCAAGAGGAGAGCCUUGAUCGAGAGAGAGACAGGAGGUAUGAGUCAUAGGAGUGGCCACAGGUGCAGAGUCAAGCAUGCCAGUUUCGUGAAGAAGAUCAAGAGUAUACUUGCGUUGACUUAAAUGAAGACCGGAACUGUUGCAAGCAAUUUCCAGUCCCAAAAAGUAAGUGAGAUUACCUAAAUUUUUUAUCUUGAAGUGAUGGUGAAGAGAUGCAGUAAUUGUAUUGAUUUCCUCCGUGUUAUCGCCAGUUAAGACCAAAUCAUCAACAUAAACAAGAAUAUCAGUGAGUUUAUCGUUAUUAUAUUUAAGAAAAGGAGAGUGAUCAACAACAUAAAUAGAGUAAUUAUUUGAUAAAAGAAAAGUAGAAAGUUUGGCGUACCAUUGGCGACCAGCUUGACAAAGGCCAUACAAAGACCGUUGAAGCUUGCAAACAUGCUGGGGAGAAGGAAGAGAGAGGCCAGGUGGGGGGGUCAUGUAUACCUCUUCAUGGAGAUCACCAUGAAGAAAUGCAUUAUUGACAUCAAGUUGUUUUAAAAUCCAAUUUUUGGAAGUGGUUAACAAGGAAAAGGCGGAGGGUAGUGAUUUUAGCAACAAGUGCAAAAGUGUCUAAGAAAUCAAGUCCUUCAAGUUGGGUGAACACUUUGGCAACAACUCUAGCUUUGUGGCGCUCAACAGUGCCAUCAUAAUGGUAUUUGAUUUUAUAUACCCAUUUACAACCAAUAGUUUUCUUUCCUGAAGGGAGAGAGGUAAGUUGCCAAGUAUUGUUAGCAGCAAGAGUUUGAAGCUCAUCUUGCAUGGCAGAUUGUCAAGAAGCAUGUUUAGAGGCUUCGUUAUAUGUCUGAGGUUCAGGAUGAGAAUUGAUAGAGGAAAUAACAUUUCUAAAAUUGGAAGAUAAGGAAUUGUAAGACAAGUAAUUAUGAAUAAGAUAUCUACUACUUACAGUGUUGGUUGCAGUGUGGAAAUNNNNNNNNNNNNNNNNNNNNNNNNNNNNNNNNNNNNNNNNNNNNNNNNNNNNNNNNNNNNNNNNNNNNNNNNNNNNNNNNNNNNNNNNNNNNNNNNNNNNUGAGGUGCUUCCUGGAGAUGCAGGUGGUGAUAAUUCUGGUUGAGGUGCAAUGUUGGAUGCAGGAGCAGAGGCACUAUUUAUAGGAAGAUCAGAGGAUAAUAAGGUUGGUGGAGGGACAGUAUUGGGUGCAGGAGUAGAGGCACAUGGCUCGACAGGAGGUGCAAUAAUACAAGAAAAAAAAAUCAAAAAACAGAAUUAUAUGCGUUAGAAAUAGGGAGAGAUAAAGUGUUAGGGUCCUUAGGCAAGCCACUGUCCAAUUUAUAUGGAAAGUGGUUUUACAUAAAAGAUUACAUGUCUUGAUAUCUUUAUGCUUAAUUAGAAAACUUUAAAUUUAAGUAUUAAUAUUAACCUUUUUAUUUUGUGGGGUAGGUUGUGGGAGGCCAGGUGGGGGGGUCAUGUAUACCUCUUCAUGGAGAUCACCAUGAAGAAAUGCAUUAUUGACAUCAAGUUGUUUUAAAAUCCAAUUUUUGGAAGUGGUUAACAAGGAAAAGGCGGAGGGUAGUGAUUUUAGCAACAAGUGCAAAAGUGUCUAAGAAAUCAAGUCCUUCAAGUUGGGUGAACACUUUGGCAACAACUCUAGCUUUGUGGCGCUCAACACUGCCAUCAUAAUGGUAUUUGAUUUUAUAUACCCAUUUACAACCAAUAGUUUUCUUUCCUGAAGGGAGAGAGGUAAGUUGCCAAGUAUUGUUAGCAGCAAGAGUUUGAAGCUCAUCUUGCAUGGCAGAUUGUCAAGAAGCAUGUUUAGAGGCUUCGUUAUAUGUCUGAGGUUCAGGAUGAGAAUUGAUAGAGGAAAUAACAUUUCUAAAAUUGGAAGAUAAGGAAUUGUAAGACAAGUAAUUAUGAAUAGGAUAUCUACUACUUACAGUGUUGGUUGCAGUGUGGAAAUCCGCAANNNNNNNNNNNNNNNNNNNNNNNNNNNNNNNNNNNNNNNNNNNNNNNNNNNNNNNNNNNNNNNNNNNNNNNNNNNNNNNNNNNNNNNNNNNNNNNNNNNNNNNNNNNNNNNNNNNNNNNNNNNNNNNNNNNNNNNNNNNNNNNNNNNNNNNNNNNNNNNNNNNNNNNNNNNNNNNNNNNNNNNNNNNNNNNNNNNNNNNNNNNNNNNNNNNNNNNNNNNNNNNNNNNNNNNNNNNNNNNNNNNNNNNNNNNNNNNNNNNNNNNNNNNNNNNNNNNNNNNNNNNNNNNNNNNNNNNGUCCAAUUUAUAUGGAAAAUGGUUUUCAUAAAAGAUUACAUGUCUUGAUAUCUUUAUGCUAUGAAACUUUAAAUUUAAGAUAAUAUAACCUUUUGUAUUUUGCGGGAAGCCAAGAAAAAUACCUUUGAUAGAUCUAUCAUCUAAUUUUUUCCUAUGUGCAGUAAUGGUACUAGCAUAACAGAGACAACCAAACACUUUUAGAAAGGAAAUGUUAUAUGGUUUUCCAAACAACUUUUCAUGAGGAGUGAUGUUAUUAAGUAAUGGAGUAGGAAUAACAUUUAUUAAGAAAACAACAUGAUUUACAACAAAUUCCCAAAAAUAGGAGGAAGAUUUGCUUGAAAAAGCAAAGCCCGGGUUACAUUUAGUAUGUGUUGAUGUUUACGUUCUACAAUGCUAUUUUGUUGUGGUGUUUCAACACAAGAUUUUUUAUGUAUAAUUCUCUUUGAAGCAUAAAAAUUUGACAUAGCAAACUCAACACCAUUGUCAGUACGAAUUGUUUUGAUAUUAGUUUUGAAAUGAUUUUGAACNNNNNNNNNNNNNNNNNNNNNNNNNNNNNNNNNNNNNNNNNNNNNNNNNNNNNNNNNNNNNNNNNNNNNNNNNNNNNNNNNNNNNNNNNNNNNNNNNNNNNNNNNNNNNNNNNNNNNNNNNNNNNNNNNNNNNNNNNNNNNNNNNNNNNNNNNNNNNNNNNNNNNNNNNNNNNNNNNNNNNNNNNNNNNNNNNNNNNNNNNNNNNNNNNNNNNNNNNNNNNNNNNNNNNNNNNNNNNNNNNNNNNNNNNNNNNNNNNNNNNNNNNNNNNNNNNNNNNNNNNNNNNNNNNNNNNNNNNNNNNNNNNNNNNNNNNNNNNNNNNNNNNNNNNNNNNNNNNNNNNNNNNNNNNNNNNNNNNNNNNNNNNNNNNNNNNNNNNNNNNNNNNNNNNNNNNNNNNNNNNNNNNNNNNNNNNNNNNNNNNNNNNNNNNNNNNUAAAAGGAGCAAAACAAUGCGAUUUAGAACGGCUAGAAGAAGGCAAGGUAGUGACAAGGUACAAGUCAGCGAUGACUUUAACUAUACCAAUCCUCUCUUGAGUGAGAUUGUCCUGUAUAAUGUAGUGGGUUGAAGUGAAAGUUAAAGUGCAUUUAAGUUGGUGUGUGAGUUUAGAAACAAAUAUUAAGUUUAAUUGAAAAUGAGGCACAUAUAACACAUCAGACAAAUAAAACUUAUCAAAAAAACGUACUAAGCCAUAAUAUGUGGCAUAAACAGUUUGGCCAUUUGGAAGACUAAUUAAGACAAGUUUAAUUUUAGUAUAAGUAGUAAAACCGUUCAAAUAGUGACAAAUAUGAUCUGUGGCACCAGAAUCAAUAAUUCAAGAUUCUUUUAUAGAAGAUAGAUAGUGAAGAGAGAAACUUACUUGUUGAAGAAUGCUCAGUAUUGGGGAUUUCAUCUGCAGAGAAGGUGCCGACUUGAUUAAUUUGAGUGUGAGGAGCAGGAUCCUCAAGGUUUUGCUGACGCAAAAUGUUGGUAAGGAAUUGACACUGCUGUGAUGUAAGUUGAAUCCCCUUUACAUCCUGUUCUUUAGGAAAAAGCUCAGAAAAAGUGUCAGUAGUAAUCAUAUUAUUGGCUUGGGAUGUCCAAUUGGUGAAUUUGUAGCCAAGAGGGAACCCGUGUUUUUUAUAACAGGUGUCGACAGUGUGGCCAAGACUAUUACAAAAAGUGCAGACUUUUCUAGUAAAAGAAAAUUUUGAGGUUUUAACAUUACUAGAAGGAAAACCCACUUUGCGAAAACAAACAACCUCAGUAUGACCAUAUUUACCACAAAAAUUGCAUGUAAUAGUCUGACUACUAUUAAGACUAGGGUUUUCAUUAAACAUUGGCUAAGAGAUUUUUAAACCCAAUCAAGAUUUUGAAAGAGAACAUAAAAGAUAACCAAGAACAACAAAGGGGGAAAUAAAGAUCAGAGAGAAGCGCAGCAAAGCUCUUCAUUCGAAGAGCUCUGAUACCAUAUUACAGUUAAUGAAGAUGUAUAUUCCUUGUCUGAUGUGGUGCAUCAAAUGGAGCGCACGUAAUCACACGAAAUCGCAAUAGAGAAAGGGAGGUGCUGAUGAAUCCUAAUUGCAAAUGAAAAAGAGACAAUGACUUAAGAAUAAAAGAGAGAAAAAAAGAGAAAAGAAAAUACAAAAGAAAUUCUUAUUUACUUGUGUAUUAGAGAGUAAAAUACAUUGUGUAUAUAUAAGAAAAAGACUAAGACCUAGCUGAAACAGAAAAACAAAGUUGGGCCAAACAAACAAAGUCCAAUAACUUAAAACAGAAAAACUAAAUAUGUUAACAUAUUGAGUUAUGUUUCUAUCUAGGGUGGACAAAAUAUCUAGUUUCUAAAACUGCUUCACUUUUGCAAUACUCUAAUCUAUUAAAAAUCCAUUUAUUUAAAUCUAAUUUUUAGUAUGAUCCAUAUUUUAUUAUAUUUUUCAUAUCAAAUUUAUAUUUUGUUUAUACAGAUUUUAAAAAAUGGAUACUCCAAAUAUUUAGAAGUAGUCUAUCUCGAGUACCUCUACCAAAACCAUCUUUUUAUACUUUCUCUCAUUUGCAGUUUCCUCUUUUUCUCCUCUCUUCAACACCUCUUAUUUACUUUUGAGAAUUUUAUUUGCUCCAAUAACUUAUACAUUUUUUUUGGUCGGCAAUAAUAAAUUAAUAAAUGCGAGCCACUUCAGGGGUGGUUCAACCCUUAUACAAAAGAAACAAGAGAUACCAAACCAAUUACUAGCUAAAAUCUCCAAACUAACAAACACAAGCACUAACCGGACAUAGACUUAAACUACAUCAAGCAACCAUUCUCAUACAUUCCAAAGGUACCAUACACCAACUAGAAAAGGGAAACGAAGCGGAUCGAGAUCUAACAUUAAUCCAAGACCAAACCUUUGCUUGCACCCGUGCACACACUUCAGACGCAUCAGUCACUCCCCUGUUGAAGAUAAUAAAAUUCUUGUGGAUCCAAAUUUCACCCACCACCCCAACCCAGAUCGUGCGCCACACUUCAUUAACCGACUCUGAAGACUGGCACAUCCUAAAUUGUGCAAAGUUUAACACUAGAUCAACAUGGGACACAAACGUCACCCCCAACCACUCAAGGCAAAGGCACCAAACCCGCCAAGCAAAUCUGCAAUCGAAAAACAAAUGGCGAUAAGACUAUUCCUCCUUCCCAAACAAACAACACAAAGGGCUACCAAACAACACACCUCGCCUUUCCAAAUUGGCCCUAAUAGCGAUCUUAUUCUCCAACACCCUUCAGGCAGUGACUAAAGCAGAAGGUACGACUUUACAGCUCCAUAACUUACUGUAAGUCGGAGAGAAAACCACCUUACCAUCCCUCCUAAGAAGAGAAUAAGAAAAACUAACUGAAAACGUCUGAAGACCCCCUGCCUUCCAAACCCACCUAUCCGCUUCUCCUAGGACCAACCUAACCUCAAGUAAAGCCUGAUAUAACUGAUCCACCAAAGGUUUCUCCCAUUCAAACAAAGAUUUACGCCAUGCUAAAUGCCAAACCCACACACCAUUAGACCAAGACCCAAUCUCAGCCACCUUUGCAUCUUUGGUCGAACACAGGGAGAACAGACUCGGAAAUACUCUCUUCAGCGCAUUUUGACCUAGCCAUCAGUCCUCCCAAAAAAGAACAUCCUUUCCAUCACCAACUUUCCAACUAAUCUCGUCUUCAAAACUACUACCCCACCCCUCCGAAACCCACACCUUUUUUAAGUCUUUCCACCAAAUAGAGCACCUACUACUUUUCUCUUCCUCUCUCAAACUUCUCCAACCACCAUAUUUGGAGACAAGAAUCUCCUUCUAAAGACCAUCCUUAUUCGAACCCAACCUCCAUAUCCACUUGCCUAACAAAGCCACAUUAAAAGUCUUUAGAUCAAUGAUACCAAAGCCCCCAAGUUCGCGAGGUUUACAAACCUUUUCCCAGGAGGCCCAAGCGAUCUUCCUUCCUUCAGAUCCCCAACCCCAAAGAAAAUCCCUUUGAAUCCUGACCAACUUGUCUGCCACCCUAGAAGGCAAUUUAAAUAGUGACAUAAAGAAUAACGGGAUGGAAGAAAGAACAGACUUGAUCAAACACACUCUCCCUGCCAACGACAAGCACUUACCUUUCCACCUGAUAAGCCUAGUCUUAACCUUCUCAAUCACCCCAUUCCAAAAGUCACCGUGCUUAUGACUCCCACCAACAGGCAAACCCAAGUAAACAAAAGGAGAACCCAUUACAUCACACUUAAGGAUAUCUGCAAAACUUCGAAGCGAGCCAUGACUCAACCCCGUUCCGCCAAUCCUACUUUUCACAAAAUUAACCCUAAGCCCAGAGGUAAGUUCAAAGCAUUGCAAAAUCGCCUUAAUAUUGAAAAUGCUUUUGGUGUUAGCUUCACAGUAAAACAAAGUAUCGUCAGCGUACUGUAACAUAUUAACCUUCAUUCUAUCCCUGCCAACCUCCAAACUGUCAAUCAAAUUCUUUUCUUCAGCCAUCCUUGAUACGCCAACCAACCCUUCUGCCACAAUAAGAAAGAAAAACGGAGUUAGUGAAUCACCUUGAUGGAGACCCUUCAUUGGAAAAAAAACUCCUUAGUUGGGCAUCCAUUCACAAGGACUGAAACAGACGCGGAUUCUAAACAACCUUUAAUCCAACGAAUCCACAGGUCACAAAAGCCCAACCUCCAAAGCAUAUAAUAAAGAAACUACAUAAUAAAUAGAUCUAAUAUUUUCAAAGUUUAAUUAAAGUAUUAUAGGUAGGUGUAUUUUAAUGUUAAAAAUUUAUAUAUUAUGUUAUCUUUAAUUUUUUUAUAUUAUUAAAUUAUAAUUUUAUUAUAUUUUCUUAAUAUUUAUAUAAUAUUCAACUUUUUUUACAUAUUAUUAUAUUAAUAUUAUGUUAAUUUUUUAGAAAACAUGGAUUAUUUUUUUUAUAAAAAUAUGAAUUUUGAUUUAAAAUCCAAUCUAAAUAUUUGGAUUUGAAUUUUCAUAAAAAAAAUAUGAAUUUAGAUUAUAAAUUUGAUCCAAAUAUUUGGAUUUGAAUUGGAUUUAAUUGAUGAACACCCUUACUCCUAUCUUAUCUUAUGCUUUCUAUAAUAGUAAAUACUGUAAUUAUCAUAAAAAAAGUUGAGUACGAAAAUAUAUUUUUAUACUGAUUUUAAAUAUUGUACGAAAGUUUCUAAUAGUAAAUUGAACUUACUAUAACAAUUUUUUACUGAUAUAAAAAAUUAAACUUUAUAUAUAUAUAUUCUUUAUCGAAUGCGUUACAUAAAUAUAUUUAUCGUUAAGUAUGGUUGAUAACAUACACUUGUUUCUUUCUAUUGUCUUGUAAAUACAUUUCCAUACAUAAUGAAAAUAUGUUUUUUUUUCUAGUUUGGGGAAGGCACCUUUUUUAAAAGACAACAAAAAAUGUUUUGUGUAUGUAUUUUAGAAACAUGAUUCUCUCAAGAAUAAUUUGGAAAAAAUAAUGGAAAUUAUGAGGUAAAAUAGAAAAAAUCAGGUGGUAAUAAUAGAGCCCAACUAAGCUCAGUACCAGCCAAUAAUACAAAUCUUGGAUUGGGCCUUCAAAGUAUAGACUGUUCUGCACCUCUAAAUUCUUGCCACACCUCAUACUAAAUACGAGAAUAUAUUUUCUUUUAGUACAAAAAAAUUAACCUUUAAAACUCCACGCACCUUUUUCACUUCUUUUUAUCUCACCCUGACAAUCCUGGUGACCUACAUUAUAUCUUGCAUUGGUUUGCCAAUGUUUUGAUUGUCCUUUAUUUUUUUUUUAAUUUUACAAAUAUUUUGAAUUAAUUCAAAAAAUAUUUUUAGAUUUGAAAGUGUUUUUCGAAUUUAUAAAAUCUAUAAAAAUUUUAAAAUAAAUAAAUAUUAUAAAUUACAUAAUUCAAAAGUUAAUUUCAAAUUUAAAAAUAAUUUCUAAAUUAUGUAAUAAAAAAUAUAUUUUAAAAAAAAUAUUCAGAUUACAUAAUCCAAAAUUCAGAAAUUUUUUUAGAUUUAAGAUUAGUUUAUGGAUAUGUAAUCUAAACAUAUUUUGGAUUACAUAAUCUAAAAAUUAAUUUAUACUAAAAAAACUUCUGAAUUAAUUCAGAAGCUAAUCUACAAUCUAAAAGAAAAUUCAAAUUAUAUAAUUCAAAAAUUAAUUAUAAUUUAAAAAAAAUUUAAAUUAUAUAAUUCAAAAUAUAAACUACACCACAUCGUAAAUUUCAUAUAUUUUAACUUUACCAUAAAAAAAAGACGUUUUUAAAAUAUACAAACCAAUGGAGGUGCCAAGCAAAACUGCAAAAAUCACAUUGAAUAUAGCCUUGUUAAAAUACUUGAAUUUUUUUUAUAGCCUAUAUUAAAUAUACAAAGAAUCGUUAAACAGCUUUUUACAUUCUUGACUUAUAUUAUUAUCACGUGAAUACGUUUAUCUAUGAUAUACGAUAUACGAUAAUAUACAAAAAUAAAAAAUCUAUAUUUAACAUGUUAUAUUGUACAUAUCAUAACUUUUUAUCAUAUAAAAUAAAUAAAUAAAUAUAUUUUUAGUUUCUAUUGUAACACCCCAUAAUUUACAUAUAAUUAUUACAAUAAAAGUUCUACCAGUUUCUAUACAAACUUGAAGUUUUUCAAAACAUUCCUAAUACAUUAUUAGGAUUUAUAGAAAUACAAAUAUUUACAUAUCCACAAUUCAAAACAAAACUCUGAAACUUCUAAGGCUCUUAUGCACCUGUAUGGUCAUCUGCUCGUGUCCAUAGUACAGUCAUCGUAGUUCAAACACAACAAAAAAAAGCAAGGGUAAGCUACUGAAAAUAGAAUUUUAUAAUAUACACACUUGAAUCCAAAGAGAAAACCAAAUUACAUUAUCAAUUUAUCAAAUUAUUCAAUUUUCUUCAAAUCUCAACAAUAAAACAAUCACAUAGAUCUCACAUGGAUCUACACAUCCAGAAUAUUCAAUAAACAACGUCUUCCGGAAUACCCAUAUUAAGUAAGUCCUACCAGAGACUAACACCUGAUCCAAAGAUUACCAGCGAAUCCAACAGAAAGGAUCAGGGUAAGUUCAAUACAACCCAAGUCGUGCAUCUCAUAUGUCACGGUGUGCAUGAACUCCCCCAUCAGCUUCUCACCACCUGAUAUCUUAGUCUAUGUGACUUAGAUCAUCAGUGAAGCUCGGAGAUCUCUGUUACCACAUAAUCUUCUAUCCUAGGGUGCUACUAAAAAUUAAAUUUAGUUUCUCUUACCUUAAUUGUUUGCUUUCCAAACAACUUCUAGAAUUUUAUUUCCCACCGUCUGGAUAAGCUUCAAGAUUUACGGGCCUAAUGCAAGUUAUCCAAACAGAACAAAAAUUCAGUAUAUAAUAGAAUAAGUUGAGAUGAUUAAACUUCUCAACUUAUCCUACAAAAAUUGAUGACUAAAUCCUAAGGAAAACAGAGAACAAAGGAUAUUUAGAGUAAAAAUGAACUUACUCUGUUUGAAAAUCUGAUCGAGUAGAAAUGUUCCUUAACUCCUCUGGUACAGCGUGGUAUGAUCAGAUUCUAAAAUAGAUAAGGUAUGGAGUGAGAAAUUAAGAGAGAAAGUAGAAGGGAGAGAUGGAGGGAGAAAAAAGAAAGAAGAAGAAUGGUGCGUGCAGCAGGGUGGGUUUCUGUUUCUAAAAAAAAGCAUUGUUACACCUAUUAAUUUUAGUUUUGAUAGACAGGUUAUUAUCUAGUUUUGUUGAUUUUUCUUGAGACAUGUUAGGGGUGAAAGUAUAUGAUUUAGAACUAACAUGAACCAAACUUGGAUUUGGAGUUUGGCAACUAUGGUAGAGAAUUCAGGAGUUGGGGUUGGAACAUGUUCCACAUUAAUUAGUGCCCACUUUGCUUUUUUGGAUUCAAAAAUGGGAGAUGGUGAAGUUUCUACGUCAAAAUUUAUAAAAUCCAAAUAUUAACAUUAAUUAUUCAUAUAUUGCAUAACUAUUAAAGAAUAUUAUUAUAAUAAUCAGAGGAAAUUAUAUUAUACUCGUAUCGUCUAUUUUUUUUUUAUCUAUAUCUAAAAGUCUCAUUCCUUUAUUUUGUUAGGGAACUUUCGAAAAAAGAGUAAAGUUGUCACAUGAGGUGGAUAUGCAUUUUUCAUACAUAAAAUGAAUGCUUAAUAUAUACAUUUGUAUACAAAUAGUUAUCUAUAGACAACUCAUUCAGAUUAUGAUAAAGAUGCGUUUGUUCAGUGCAAACAGAUAAACAUGUUAUUGUAUUUUAAUCUAAUUAUAAGAAUGAAAAGGAUAUUAACACAUGCAUGCCAACUUCACAUGAUAAAUAAGAAAAUUAAAUUAUAUUUAAAACUACAUAUAUUUAUUAAAAAUUCAUUUUAUACUAUUAAUAAAUGUAAUCACAUAGCAAAAUAAAAUAAUGCUAGUUAUAAUAAUAUUCUUUUCCACUAUAAAUUUAUAUUACAUAUAAAAUAAAGAUGAUUCCUCUUUUCUCAUUUUAUUAUUUUAUUUUAUAAAUUUCAAAAUCACAAAAAAAAAUAUUUCAUCAUUCUAUAUAAAUUAUUAAAAAUAAAAUAAUUUUUUAUUUUUUCAAUUAAUAUUACUAAGCAAUUUUUAUAUGCAAACGGUCAACAUUCAUUCUUUCCUUAAUCUACCAGUCUAUCUUUAAUUUCUUAUUUUAUGGAAGAUGUUUGUUUAAAAAAAAAACAGAAAGAAAGAGAACACACCCUCAUCCUUAUUUCUAUCUCUUUUGCUAUGCUUUUUUUUUAAUUUCAGUUAGAUACUAGUGAUAAUAAAUAUUAUUAUUAAAAGAAUUGAUUAUUUUCAACAAAUAAGUGUGUUUAAUGUUAAUAAAUAGGAUUAUUAAAAGAAUUAGUUAUUUUCAUGUAUUUAAAAAUAAAAACAAAAUUAUUAUAAUUAUAAAAUUAACUAAAUCAAAAAGAACAACUUACGCAAAUAUUAAACUAAUAGAAGUGUAUUUUUGAUAGUAAAGCUUUAUCUCCAUUAGUAAAAUUGUGGUGGAUUCAUAAGGAAAAGAAGCUCAAAAAAUGACAUACGUAAGCACUGCUCAAUUGGUGGUACUUUGAAUGGCCACGUUACAUCACAGGAACGAUUUUCGUCAUUAUCCUCCGAAUGUCAUAUUAGAAUUUUUAAAAAGAAUUUAAGAAAUAAAUUUGCCAUAUAAUUUUCUGUAAAUUUUAUAAAAUUCCCUAAAAUAUUUACAGAAAAAAUGUCAUUAAUCAUAAAAAAAAUUCUAAAAUAAAAACAGGAUCUCCAACAUACCCCGAGACUACCAACUCUUGCGUGGGACUAUAUAUUAUGGGUGGUCCAUAGCGGCCCGAUAGUUGGUGGCCUGAUAAGCCCAACAAAUACUCGCUAGGAUAGGCUCAAAAUAGCUCUGGUACCAUAUUACGAAGUGAAUUUUAAGUCUAACUCAACCCUAUAAAACUGGCUCAUAAGGUUGAGGUUUGCACCCACUUAUAUACAAUGAAAGACUCUAAUCUCUAAUCGAUGUGGGAUCUCCAACAGUUUCAUCACUGUAAAAGGAAGAAGAAAAAUAUUCAUGUUGGGUGUUCAUUUCAUCACCUAAAUCAUGAAUAUCCAGGAAAAAACUCAUUGCCUGAACAGUCAUAAGAAUAAGUAAAAUAAUAAUAAAUAACUAAAAAUAAUUAAACAAUAUUUUCAGAUGUGUAAUUUUAUUGCGAAUAAAUUAUGUUAACAUUAUUCUGUUUUAGUAUAUUUAAAAUUAUAAUCAAAUUUUAAUUAAGAUUCUAUAAAAACUUAUUUAUUUUAUUAAUGUUUAAAAUUAUUAUUUAUUUUAAUAAUAAAAAGAUAAAAUUAUAUCAAAUUAGUAAAAAUCUGAGUCAUAAUUUGACAGUGUCAAAACAUGUUUUUAUUUGCGAUGACAAAGCGGGGCGGACCGUGCGGGUUGGUCCGCGGCCCGCUGGUAAAAAACGCGGGGCGGGCUGAACUUUUCAACCCGCAUUAGCCCGUCCCGCAUUAGUCCGCGGCCUGCGCGGGCCAGCAGCGGGGCGGGGCGGGCUGGCCCGCUAACCCGCAAGAAAAAAAAUGGAUGAAAGUUUUCUAAGGUGACAUCCAAUGUUAUUAAAAUGGAAGAAAGUCAAUAAUGUUUAUGUUUAAUGUUUUUGAAUUAAUGUUUAUGUUUAUGUUUAAUGUUUUGAAAUUAGGCAUUUUUAAUGUUUUGGAAGUGGAAGAAUAGUGAUAUUUGAUAUUUAUCUUAAUAUUUAAUGUUUUGAUGUUUGACUAUGUUUGAAAAGGAAGAAAAAUUAAUUUAAGUUUGAUACUAACAAAUAUAUAAGUUUAAUUUGACAAUAUUUUAAAAACAAAAUGUAAAAAUAAAAUUAAAAAUUAAAAAAAAGAACGCGAGUUAACCCUCAAAUCUGCGAACCAGCUCUUAUGCGGGGCGGGUCGAGAAUUCUAACCCAUAAUAAAUUUAUGGAGCGGACCAACCCAACCCACAUUUUUGCGGGCUAAGCACGGACGGACCAAUGGCCCGCUUUGCCACCCGUAGUAUGGUGUUUCUAAUCUUCUAAAAGCAAAUGAUGUUGUUCUAUUAUAAAUUUAUACUAUCUUUUCUAAGGUUCCUUUCUAAAUUUUUGUAGUUCAAACAAAAAAAUAUUUUAAAUUAUAAAUUGAUGAAUGAAUAAAAUUUAAAUUUAUGAAAGUAAAUAUAAAUUUAAUUUAAUUAAUACUUAUUAUAUCAACUUAUUUAAAUAAAAUAACUUGGUACAAUAAAAAACCAAUACAACUUUUAAAAAUUAAAUAAAGUACUAAACAUUUAAUAAAAAUGUAAUUACUUUUAAAAAAAUAUAUAAAAUAUAAUUACAUAAUAAUACAUUUUUAUAAAAAAAUAUAAAUUUUAUUUAUAUUAUAAUACUUUUAUAGUUAUAUUCUUUUGUAUCCUUUUAUAUUCAUCAAUUAGUUUAUCAAAUAUUUAUAAUUCAAUAAAGUAGUUUAUUAUUAGCUAUUAAUUAAUUUCUCUUGUAAAUGGUUUAAUGAAUUUAGUGAAAUCUUAAAUAGAUUGACCACAGAUGGAAAGUAAAUCAUGGUUGUGAAUAAAUUAACAUAAAAUUGGCUAUUUUUUUUCAAUUAUACCAAUUUUUUACAUUUUUUUUAGCAAAGUAUCACAAAGCAUAAUACGUUCAUAAUGUGUUGAUUUGAUGGUGAUUUUGAUGAUGUUUGAAUUUCUUGUUAAUGAUUCCAUUACUCAUUAUCUUAACAUGAUUAAAAAUAUAAAACAUGAAUUAAUAUCUAAGAUAAUAUUAAACACAAUUGCAUUUAGAAACUUGUAUUAUACUUUUUCUUAACAUAAUAAUUGAUUAUGUUAGGAAAUAAUCAAUUGUGUAAUUGUUCAUUUUAGGAAAUAAUCAAUUACGUGAUUGACCAUGUUAAGAAAUAAUUAAUUAUGUAAUUGAUUAUGUUAGGGAUGAAUUAAUUAUCUAAUUGAUUAUGUGUGAGAUUAAUCAAUUAUGUAUUGAUUAUGCUAGGAAAUACUCAAAUAAUUAUAUAAUUGAGUAUGUUUAGAAAUAAUUAAAAGAUAAUUUAUUACACUAUAAUAAAAUCAUUAAAUAGAAACCAAUUUUAAAGACAUAAAAUAAUUAGUUGUUAUAUUAACAAAAUUAGAUAUUAUUGUAGAGACUAAACAAAUUAUUAGUAUCUAAAUUAGUUUAUAUUAUUAAUAAAUAGUUUCUAAAUUGAUAUCUAAUUAGUUACAUAGGUUUUAACUACUAAUUAUUUAGGUUUUAAAGUUGGUAUCUAAAACUUUGGUAUCUAAUUAGAUACCAAUUUAUAAAUUAUUUAUCAAUCAUAAAAACUAAUUUAGAUCCCAAUAAUUAUUUUAGUCUCUAUAAUAGUAUUUAAUUCUGUCAAUAUAACAACUAAUUAUUUUUUGUCUAUAAAAUUAUUUUUUAUUUAAUGAUUUUCUUGUAGUGUUAUAUUGGUCAAAAUGGUUUUACAUUUUUCGCAAAUAACCUAUUAUUACACGAAAUAAUCAAAUUAUCUUAGCCAAUAUAAAAAAAACUCAACCUUCACAAAUAAUCAAUUAGGUUUCAAUAAUAAUUGAUUUAACUGUUACUAAAAGUGUUUUAUGAAUUGAUGAACGCACUUAAUAUCCGAUUAUCCUUAAUAAUAUUUUGAUAAGUUAUUUCAAAUAUUUUUAAAACUAAAUUCUCUCUCUCAUUCAAACCACAAUUUUUUUUAUAUUAUUUAAAUAGAGAACUCUCGUAUGAUUUAGACAUUUUUCAGAAGAAUACUUUUAUAUAAUACAAUUGUAUUAAUUGUUUUGAAGAAAUAUUGCUCCUGGUCCAUCAGGUCGAUCAUACUAUAGAUUGUUCUAUUGUAAUAGUGUUUCUUGUUCUAAUUACAUAUAUGCUAUUGUAAUCGGAUAAAUCAAGCUUUUAGUGAAAAGUGAAGCUCGAGUUGUUUAGAUCAACUGGAUUUAGAUUUAGGAAGAAUCAAAGCAGUAUACCAAUUUUGUGUGUCUAUGUCUCAUAUUUCUUUCAUUAUCUUAAAUCCUUUGUUAUUAUUAAGUUAUUGUUCAAGCAAAAUAGGUGAAUUUUGGAAUGUUUCUAGAUUAUUUUUGCUCAAACGAGAGGAUUUUUAUUCAAGUGAUGAGGUCUAUUUUCGCUCAAGUUAAAAAAAACUUGAAUCUCUAUUUUUCCUUAUCAAAGUCUGGUUUAUUAUUGUUUAUUGUUUUUAAGUAAAAAAAUCAAUUUUAUUUAAAUAUGUGGGUGUUUAUGUGAAUUUUGUGUUAUUUGUGGAUUAUUUUAAAAUUUUAAAUUUUUGGUGUGAUUGAAUGAUGUAUUAAUGUAUGAUAUGCAGUAUGAAAUUAUGUGAGAGCAUAAUCAAAACAUAGUAUUUUUAGGAAAGAAAAUACCGUGUCGAGAUUGUUAGGAGGAUGUAUUGGUUUGUGAGUACUAUGUGAAAGGCAUGAUCUCGAAACUACCGAUAUAUUGUAAUCAUAUAGAUGAAGAGUAUCAGGUGGUGAAAGUCAAAGAAAGUUCAUUUGGCUGAGUUUGAAGUUUGAAAUAACUUAUCAGAGCAUAUUAUAUGGAUUUACCUGUGUCAUAUGAGGAUGAAUGUCUUGAAGGGGAGACUAUAUUGUGAUAAGAACAUGGUAAAUGACAUGUGUAGGUCACUGAGUGUUAAUUUCAAUACACAAAUCUUCCGGAAGUAGAAUCAAGUGUAUGUAUUGAUCUAAGUGGAUUUCUAGCAUGAAUGAUGUAAAAUAUGAGAUAAAAUUGUAAACACUUGAUUUUUUUGAAUGAUGAUUGUAGAUAAUGGAGGAUGUAUGAUGAUUAAUAUGUUUGUGAUGAAAUUUGUUUUAUUUAAAGCUUUAUUGAAAGUUUUAAAAUUACUAGCUUACCCUACUAUUUAUUGUGUGUUUGUUUUAAAAUAUGUGAUGAUAGUGUAUUAAAUUAUGUUUAAGGUGACACAACUCUAUUCUUAUCCGGUAUUUUCUUUUGAGUUUUAGUUUUAUUGUAUACAUAUCUUUUAAACUUUAUAUAUGAAAAAUAUUUGAAAUAUUGUAUAACUGAUAAGUAUAUAUGUAAAUAUUUAAAUAGAUAAUUAUAAUAAAUAAAUAAGGAUAUUAAAAUUGAGUGUUAAAGUUAAUUUCUUUUAUCAUCGAAUAAUUAUAGAAAAUAUUUCCUUAAAUUUUUUAAAAUCCAAUUUGACCUCUUUUUUAUUGUGUUUUCUUUUUUUACAAUUUUUUUUUCUUCCAUAAAUGAACCAUUUAUAGUGUUGUAUUGUAAAUCUAAGAAAAAAAUUGAACCAUUAUGUCCGGAGAAAAACAAGUUAUCUUCUAAAACCUAACUUUUGAACCUAUCGUUACUCCUCUUCCUUUCAUUCUUCAUUUUCCUUUCAGUUUCGGCUUUUCACUCUUUAGAAUCCAAAGAAUCUUUACCCUUAACACCACAACAUAUUGCUAUGCCAAGCAAGGAGGAUUCACCAUUAGAAGAAGCAAAUCUUCCACUGCUGGAAGAUGAAAGAGAUGAUGAACAAGACCAAAAACUGGCACCAAGGUUUUGGAUGGAGUCAAAGAAGCUUUGGCACAUAGUAGGCCCUUCAAUUUUGAGCCGCGUUUUAUCCUAUUCCAUGUUAGUCAUCACCCAAGCCUUCGCUGGCCGUCUCGGUGACCUCGAACUCGCCGCCAUCUCCAUUGCCAAUAAUGUCGUCGUUGGCUUCGACUUUGGCCUCUUGGUAUGUUUCACUAUAAAGUUUCAACUCCUUCAAUUUUCAUCAAAGCCUCACACUAAAUAUUAAUUUAAACAACUGAAUUAAAAUUACAAUUCUGAUUACAAAGCAGUUUCGUAAAUUGAUUAAACCAAAUUAUUAAUAUCAAUGUUUUGUAAUUGGAGUAGUUGGGUAUGGCAAGUGCCUUAGAAACGCUGUGUGGGCAAGCCUUUGGAGCGAAAAAGUACUACAUGUUAGGCAUUUACAUGCAGCGUUCGUGGAUCGUUCUUUUCAUUUGCUGUAUCUUGCUUUUGCCUCUGUACUUGUUUGCCUCGCCGGUGUUGAAGCUGUUGGGGCAGCCCGAUGAGCUGGCGGAGUUAUCCGGUACGGUGUCGAUAUGGAUGCUACCGGUGCACUUCGCGUUUGCGUUUCAGUUCCCUCUGCAGAGGUUCUUGCAGUGCCAGCUGAAGACUGCGCCUAUUGCGUGGGUGUCUCUGGUGGCGCUCUUGGUGCAUGUGUUCGUGAGCUGGUUGUUCGUGUUCAAGCUCGAGUUCGGAGUUAUUGGCGCUGCUGCAACCAUUAACUUCUCGUGGUGGGUCCUCACCUUGGGGCUUUUUGGCUACAGCGUUUGGGGUGGGUGCCCUCUCACUUGGACUGGUUUUUCAGUUGAAGCUUUCUCUGGCCUUUGGGACUUUCUCAAACUCUCUGCUGCUGCUGGAGUCAUGCUCUGGUACUCUCUCUCUCUCUCUCCCUUUCAACUUUUUGUUCUUGUGUUUCUCAGCUUGUGUUUUGCAGCUUGGAGAAUUGGUAUUACAAAAUUCUGAUAGUGAUGACGGGGAACCUUGAGAAUGCAGAGAUUGCUGUGGAUGCUUUAUCCAUAUGGUAUUUUUACUACUUUUGCCAUCCUUCUACUCUUGUACGACUUGUUAUGCCUUUUCUUUUAGUUCUUGAUUCUAUAAACUUUUAAAUCUUCUGUAAAAGGCUGAUAUGUAAAGUCAUCUAGUGUUUGCUAAUGUAAAGAUUUUAAAUAAGAGUUAGUCUAUGUUUACUUACAACAAUAAACAUCACCUUGGUUAAAAGUAUAAUUAAUUUUGUGAAAAGCUAUUUAAAAUAGUUUAUGAUACACGCGUUUAAUUACCAAAAAAAAAUGACUGACUGCACUUUUUAGUUACUUUUUUCUGAUAAUAUCUUUUUGCCAAUGAUGUGCUCUGUUCGGCAGUAUGACCGUCAAUAGCUUGGAGUUGAUGAUUCCUCUGGCAUUCUUUGCUGCAACAGGGUAAUAUAUAAAAUUUUUCUCUUUUUGUUUUUAUUUAUUCUAGUUUUUAGUUGUGCACAAGUAAAAUAUGGUGGGCGCAGAAGAAACUCUAGAUAUAAUUGAUAAAAAUAUAGACUGCGAGGAGAAUGCGGUUAGGUUGAGGAACCAUAGAGAAGCAGCAACAAUGACCCUAGAAAAUUGCGUGGUGAUUGAGGUUGUUAUCGUGAAGUGGUGCAAGUAAAGAUGAACCUUUUCUCCUCAAUCACCAUUCACCACAAAUUAGUAAUGUCAAUGAAAGAGAAGUCAUAGAAAAAGUUGGUACAAUACAAGAAGUGAAGCCAAACUUGUGCAUUAUUAACAGGUGAUCUUUCUUUUUGUCGGGGAGUAUAGGAUUAGUCUUGCCCUCAUGACACCUAUUUCAACAUAGGUUCCUUUCGAGUACAUUCCUCCUUUUUUAAAACUAUUUUCACCCUUUUCUUUCUCACUAUCUGACAUUUUUUAAUAUUAAAUAUUUGUCAUGGUCCCAAUAGCUCAUAACAAUGACAUCCUCUGCUUUUGUGUUCUGACUGCUCCAUAUGGAGGCAGUGACCAUACAGUAUUAUCAUAUAGCAAGAAUUGAAGGAUACAAAAUACUAAGUAAAUUGUUUUAUUUUCAUUUUUAACAACUAUGUUUAUAUGUUUGCUACAUAAUUAAUUAUAUCGUUAUUUUAAAAAAUUAAAAAUCAUAAAAAUAAUGAAUUAUAUUUUUUCUGUAUUUAAUUCUCGUAGUUUACCGUUGUAUCAGAAACAAACAAGCUUUGUCUGCAUAAAUAGACCAUCUUCCAUAGGCUUGAAGAGAGGAUGAAAAAAAACAAGCAGAGGCUAAGAACAAUUGUUUGGCUAAGAAAGUGUCCUGCAAUUUCUAGCCACAUGUACACCAUCUUACCUUUUACAAAGGUCAUCUAAUUUUUUGGGAAUAAUGAAAAAAGAAAAAUUAUUUUAUAUUUAACAAGAUAAUUGCUUAAUAAUUAAAAUUUAUUUUAAUAAUUUACUCUAUUAAUGUUUUAAAAUAUACCUAGAUAGAAUUUAUAAUCUACCAUCUCACCUCUUAAAAUAAUAAUAAAGAAUGCUAAUUUCUAAUCCUUUUUGGAUUUUUAUUUUAUUGUUAUUAGACCUUUUUGAAUUAUUGAUUUAGUGUUACAGUUGUUAAUAAUUCAUUUAGUUAUUUAAUUAUUUUUUAGUAAAGUAUUUAUUUUAUUAAGAAUAUAGUAACUACUUAAAUAAUAAUAAUAAUAAAUAUUUGAUUAUGGAAAAGUUAAAAUAAAUUAAAAUAUGUAAAUAUAUAAUUAUUAAUGAUAUUUAAUUACCUAAUAUUAAUAUUUGAUUCAAUAACUAAUCAAAACCUUACUUUUUUAUUUUAUAAUUUUUUACUAAUUUAUCACUCAGUUUUAUUAAAUCUUUAAUCUAAUCUCUCUAUUUUGUACUAGUUUCCAACCUUUAACUAACUUUUUUAAUUCUUAGUUAAUCUUUCAACUUUCAGCUAAUUUUAAAACAUAUAACCAUAGUACUACCAGAGACCAUUCAGCAAUACCACCCAAGGUAUAAUGAGCUAUUUUGAAUUCAGGAUUAUAAACCAAUUCAAGGGAUGACCCUUUUGGCAUAAUGCAAAGAAAACAUUAAAACUUACAAGGAAGAGGAAGAUAGGGAAAAAAGUGAGACAUGAUGAAUACUGAUAAUAUUAGUAAAAGAAAAGCCCAAGCUAAAAAUAAUUUUUUAAUUUAUAUAGUUAGAAGGAUCUAAAUAUGUAGAAAUGCAAAUAGUAAUGUUGUUAGUUAAUAUGCAAUGUGCAGAGUGAGAGUUGCAAACGAGCUUGGAGCUGGGAAUGGAAAAGGAGCCAAGUUUGCUACUACAGUAUCUGUGGUAACAUCGGUUAUUAUAGGACUCUUCUUCUGGAUGUUGAUUUUGAUAUUGCAUGAUAAAUUCGGCUACAUAUUCUCCAAUAGCAAACCUGUCCUUGACCAAGUCAACGACCUUUCUCUUCUAUUAGCCUUCACAAUUCUGCUCAACAGUGUUCAACCAGUUCUCUCAGGUAUCUAUUGGUAGUUAAACUUUGAUUAGAAAUUGCAAAAUCAUGAAUGAAUGUUAUUCCCUUUUUGGAUGAUUUCAACAGGAGUGGCUGUAGGAUCAGGUUGGCAAUCAUAUGUGGCAUACAUAAACUUGGGUUGCUACUAUAUUAUUGGGGUGCCUCUUGGAUUUUUGAUGGGCUGGGUUUUCAAACUAGGAGUUAUGGUAUGUUUGUUGCCAUCUUUUUGUCUACUACUUUCUACACAUUUAUGCAGUUUAUUUACCCAGAAUAUGUGAAUUUCACAUGCAUUAACAUAUGAUUCUUACACAAUUUGGUAAUGAAAAUGAACAAAGGGAAUCUGGGCGGGGAUGAUUUUUGGUGGCACGGCUACUCAGACAUUAGUAUUGAGCAUCAUUACCAUUCAGUGCGACUGGGAAAAAGAGGUAAUUUGCUUAGUUUUUUUAUUCUUUUCAGUGGUGUUAAUGCUCCUCACUUUCAUUUAUCUAAUCUUAAUUCAGGCUGAGAUCGCAAAAAUGCGUUUAACCAAGUGGGCAGAUCCAAAACAGGAACUCAACUAACGUAUCUGCAUAUUUAUUUCAUCUGUAAUACUAAAACAACCAAUAUAGUCCACAUGUUGUCAGAAUAUAAAUCAAUUUAGUCAAAACAUUACACUGAUUAACUCAUUAUGGAUCGCAGACUAAAAUCAAACAAAGAACAAAAUGUCAAUUUUUAUGAUGUUUGGGAUUGUGUGUGACAUUUGUAUUUAUCAAUCAAGAUCCAGCAGCAUGAGUUGCUACUAAGAAUAUAAGCUUGGAAACUAACCAAUUUGAAAAGUAUAUAUAAUUCAAUUUAUACACCAAUGGAUCUUACCACCUAGUUUUACACGGUGCACAAUUACACUGAAUCGUUGUAAAAUAAGGAAAAAUGCUUGUAUGAAGAUGAGACGAGGUUAAUAACAACAAUUUUUUCAAAAAUAUUCUCUAUAGUAAGAGGAAAUAUUAAUAACAGAAGAAUAUAUUUUAAGUUUUUUAAAUAGUUUAUAAUUUUUUCUUGUUGCAUCUCUUUUUUAAAUAUGUAUGGAGAAAAAUUAUUGAAGAAUUCAAAAUUUGUAUAUAUAUAUUUUUUUUUAAUUUUACGUCAAUUAAAUCUUGAAUUAAUUAGUAGGAAAAUACUAGUUAUCGAAUAAAUAAUGUCCAUCUUAAUCAAGAGGCACUGAACAUAUUUUUCUUAUAAUAUAAUAAAAUGUGAAGAAACGAUAACUUAUUAUUCAUCUUUUUUUUAAGAGAAUUUUAUUAUUUACGAGAAAUUAGAAUAAAUAAUUCGUAUAAAGAAACAGUUUAGGAAUAAAAAACCUAUUAUAUUCUAAUUUCCCUAAAAUAAAUUAUUAAUAUAAUAUAAUUUUUAGUAUUGAAUGCUUAAACAAUCACUACAAGCAAAUCAUUAAAUAAAAAACUAAAUUUAAAGAUAAACAAAUAAUUAGUUGCUAUAAUGACUAAAUUAGAGACAAAAAUAAUUUUUUAUUUUUAAAUUAGUUUCUAUCAAAUAGUUUCUAUUUAACAAUAAUAGAAACUAAUUUAAAAACUAUUUAACAAUAAUAAAAACUAAUUUAAAAAUUACAAAUUUUUUUAAUCUCUAAAAUGAUCUCUAAUUUAGUAAAUAUAGUAACUAAUUAUUUUUUGUCUCUAAAAUUAAUUUUUAUUUAAUGGUUUUCUUGUAUUAAACAAACAUCAUUUAUUAAAAUUAUUAAUCACUUUUUUCUAAACUUUAAUAAGAAAAACUAUCAAUCACUUAUUUUAAAGUAGAAAAAUAGGCGUAUAACAUUAAGACAAACUUUUAUAACGAGAAUUGAUGUGAUCAAUUAUUUUUUUUUAUAAAUUUUUCAUAAUAGUCUUAUCUAAUUUCACACGAAUUAAAAUAUUUAUUAAAUUUAUUAAAAUUUUCUUUCGAUAAAAUAAAAGUACAUUUUCUUAAAUUUUUUAAUUAUAUUUAUUUAAAAUUUUAUACUUAUUUAAAUAUGAGAGUAUUUUUUAAAAAUAAUUUCAUUAAAAAACAAUGAAGUUCAAAUUUUGUUUAUAUUUAAAUCCCAUACAUAUGACUACUUUUUCUUGUUUACAUUUAAGUUUAGAGAGAGCACUCAAAUAAAAAUAUUUCAUUUAACACUGGUUAAUAAUGUUAAUUAAUUUCAUUUAAUGUUUAAAAAAAUAAAUUUCUUGAACUAUUUAAUCAUAUUUAUUUCACACGAAUUGCAUAUUAAAUUAACUUUAAAACGUUUUAAAAUAACAAUAUUAAACAAUGUCAAACUAAUUAAAUUUUGUUUAUAUUUAAAUUAUAACUUGUUUGUUAUAUUUUCUUUAAAAUAAUUACUUGUAUAUAAGUUUAGAAAAUAUAUAUGAUCUUAAAUCGUAUUAAAUUCAUAAAAAUACUAAUUAUCAUUAAUUAUUUAUGUUAAGAAACAACGACCAAGAAAUCUGGGCUAGGUUAAUUUUUUGUGGACCAUUAAUUGAGAUUGGGCCAUUGAGGUAUAUUACACACAAAAUAUAAACUUUCACAUUCUUUCAAAGAAAAAAAAAGUCAUUUUAUAAUUUAUUUUAAUAAUAUAAUGAUAUACAUUAAUAUUUUAAAUAAAAAAAUAAAAAAAAUAACUAAUAUAGUAGUAUGUUAGUUGUUAAGCUGCUUUUUUUUUAUAUCAGUGGGUCCUAAAAUAUCAUUUCUAAUGUUGCAUUUCAUUAAAUGGACCUAUACCUAUAACUCAUGAAGUACUUAUUGUUUUUUUUACUUUCAUAAAUUUUCGUAUUUUCAAAAAUAUUUUUCUAUAAUAUUUUGAAUUACAUAAUCUAAAAGUCUUUUUACAAAUUUAGCUAUCGAAUUAUAUAAUUUAAAAAAAAUUUAGAUGAAUGAUUAGUUUUUGAAUUACAUGAAAGAUUUUUUUUAGCUUCCGGAUUAUGUAAUUCAGAAUUUUUUUUUAAAUGCCUGUUAGAUUACAUAAACUGAAAACUACUCUAUGAAAUGACACAAGAAGAAUAAAAAGAUAUUAAAAAGAUAUAUGAGGUGUCAGAAGAAUAUAUGGAGAGGAAGAAAUAGUUAGUACUUGCUUUCCUUUUCAAAUGCACAUGCCCAGCAAAAGAAGAAUGAAUGGGCUUCUUGGUAGAGUUAGCUUAUCAUCAUGGAAAUUGCCUCAGCACCCAAUCAAUUUUUUUUUUUUUUAAUUUUCAAAAUUGUCAUUCAUUUCAGAAUUGAAAAUCCAGAAUUAAGAAAUAUAUUAUGAGAAAAAAAAAUCUAAAUAGUUUUUUAUAGUUCAGAAAUAAAAUUUUGAAAUAAAGUUGGAAAAUCAAAAUUCCAUUAAAAAAAUUCCAGAAUAAAAAAAAAUAUUUUAAAAAUAAAAUACGCUAAAAAAUGGAUUUCUGAAAUGUAUUUCAGAAAAAAAAUCUAAACAUAUUUUAGAAAAGGAAUUCUGAAAUCUAAAUAUAUUUCAAAAAUCCAAAUUAAAAAAUGUAUUUCGAAAUACUAAAUCCAGAAUCUCACCUAUCUCCUUUUAUUUAAAAACUAAAAAGGAAAUUUUAUCAUUUUACAUUGAAAACAUUGGAUGCAGGAAAUAAUUGCCAAUCGUCAUUCUCUAAUCACCUUCUUUAUUAGUAAACACCAAAUUAUUAGUUAAUAUUAUAAUUUUAAAUGAAAAUACAUAAAGUUGUAUUAAUAGUGGGCUUUGAACUUUGGAGCCCAAAUGUUCUUUUGAUUAACACUGCCCCUCUAUUGGGCUCGUAUGGGUGCAGACUGAUGGGCUCUCUUAUAGCUACUUAUAACUCCUUGUGGAUACAUACACACCAUAAGAUUACAAUCCUUGAGGAAUUUUGACUCGAUUGAGUGAGGAGUUAAUAUGACUAUAGGUUAAAUAAAUCUAAUCUACACUCUGAACUAAUAGAAAAUAUUUUUUAAUGACUCUUCAGUUAUUUAUAACUACAAAAAUUAAUAAAAACUACUAUUUGAAAAAGAAUAUUUGGCUAGAAUUUCUAAUUGCUUAAUUUUUGUAUCAAUGAAGAAAAUAACCUCCAAUUCUGAAACCAACACAAAUCGUGGUCCAAAUACUUUCAUAUCGAAAGAGUAUGGCAUUGGAAAUGCACGGCCCCGUUUGGAGAAAUCCUUAGAAGAAUGUGUUGUUUUGUAAAAUAUGGGAGAAAACGGUGAAAAGAAAAAGCAAGGUAGGUUAAAAAUGUGUAAGAUUUGAAGGUAUAGCAUAUGCAUGUGAGUUGUUAUCCAUAAAGAUGGAGGCAGAAAGAAAAAUCCUUGACAGAGGAAAGUGAUUUGGAAAUUGUAUGAAGAUAAUAUUUGGUAUGAUUAUAAAAAGGGAAAGUAGGCAUUGUUUGAGCAUAUUAAUUAAAAAGGAGAAAGAAUGGUUGAAAAUAGUGUGUAUGAGAAGAAUAGGUAAAGUGACAACAGUGGAUGGAGCUGACAGAGGUCACGUGUGCCAUAAAAGUUGAUUGGUAGAGUGUUUUGUCAUUGUUGUGUGAGCAACAGGUCCAUCUAUGUUUGCAUUGUUCACUGAAGGUUGGGGUAAUGCUCACAACACAUGUUGGGGUGUUCUCUAUGUUAGGCUUGUGGGUGCUCAAUCACACACCCACCAAUCACAUUCUCCACUCUUUUUCAACUCUUCUCUACACCUUCACUUUCUUAUUCCCUUACAAAUUCUUACUAUAACAUCAAAUCUAUUCCAAUUUUUUAAAUUCAAAAAUAUUUUUACCAUUUCACAAAAUUUACUUCUUACUUAUUUCAUACCAACAACAAUAUUGAUGGACGGUCAAUAGUUAUCAUCAUGUCCUGUCACAGUUUCUAAUAUCUCUUAGUGUCACGUCGCAAGUUUUAUCAACAUUAUAUAUAUAUUGACACUAAAGAAAAAAUCAACGUUAUUCCAAAAAUUUAAGAAUUAAACCUAAAAUCAGUCACAGUUGACAGUUUUACAAUUUUAAGAUAAUUUAAAAAAUAUCAGGAAACAUGAUUCACAUAUGGAAUAAGCAUGAGAAGGAAUUGGUGAGAUAAAAAGAAAGAGGAAGAAAGUGAUUAUGAAAAGGAAAUAGUUGGUAGAUAAUUAGUAGUUGCAUUAGAAAUUUGUGAAUAUCACAUGAAUGAAUGUGGUCCAAACUCUCAUCACCACAACUCCAUUAUCAAUAAUGAGAUUGGGAUAAGAUAAGUUCCUCAUAACCUCAAAAUGGGGAUAAAGACUUCAACAAACUACUUUGCCCAAAGCCCAAACACUUGCUAUUGCAAUUUUAACCUACUUUUUAUAAAAAUAACAAAUUAGGAUGAUUUAUAAUUAAAUAAUAUUAUAAAAUGUCUUACACGUUCAUCUAUUGAUAUUUAAAAAAAAAAUCAAACUUACCUCCAAAAUAUGGAACUAUUUUUCAUUGAUUAAUUAACCAUCAUCCAAGUGUUUUUUUUUUCUUCCUAUAUAACGUUUUCUGUUUAUAGGAUUUAUUCCAUUGCAAUUUAAGGCAGACACUGAACUAAAUUAAGGAGGGUAUGAGUCCUGUCGUGUUAAAAAUGGUUUACAUUUGAUUGUUAGCAUUAUUAUUAUUUGAAAAGACAAUUUCAUUAUUAUUAUCAUCAAUAUAAUAAUAAUGAGAAAGCUACUAUUCAUUAAGAUAUUUGUGAGAAAUGGUGCAGAACUUGUUUAGGGUGAAAAUCCUCCUCAAACUUGGAUAACUUUUGCUUAGAACAAAAUGAUUAAAGAUUUUGAAAUAAAAGGCAAAGGCAAAGAAGGUGAGAUAGAUUUUUUUGUUUGUUCAGAUUAUACUUAUCUCUUCUUCUUUCCAUUUUAACCUCUCUUUUCCUUUCAAAAGUUGGUGUGAACAAAUAGAUGGCAAUUAAUUAAAUUAAAAGCAAAAGCAAGAUCAUGACAAUUGACAUAUGUCAUAGUAUAACACUAGCUCUCGGUGGUUCAUACUGUCUUUUUUAACUUCAACAAAUUUUGGUCUGCAUUUAAUUUUGAUUUUCAUACAAUUCACUUAAAUAAUUCAAUGUCAUUACAAUAAUUAAUUUUAAACUAGUGUAUGAGAUAUUUAAAUUGUUUACCUUGUCGUUACUUAUUGUCUUAAGAGUCGGCGGAAAAAAACUAAAUAUAUCAUAGAGACUAAAGAAAUGUAGUAUUUUUAUCAAAACAAAAGUUAUAGAGUAAUGUAUCAUAAGAUCACAAGUUAAAAGAAUAGUUAAGGACAAUUAAGUAACCUCGAAAGAUUGAAUAUUACAUACAUUAUUUAUAAACUAAAAGUAUAUGACAUAUGUCAAUUGAUAAAAGAUAAAAUAAAAAAAGUAUAUGACAAAACUAAAAAUAAAACUACAUCAUAAUAUACAAGUUUAAUCAUAUUUUAAUUCUGAAAUUUGAAAUAAAUCCUUUAUAAUUCCUAAACUUAAAAGGGUUUAGUUUAGUUCCUCAAAGUCUAUAAAAUAUUACUUUAAUUUUUAAACAAUAAAUUUAGGGAUUGAAAAUAAUUUUAAAAAAUAUAUAUUUUCAAUAUCUCAAAUUUGGUAUUUUAUAGUUUAAAUUAUAUUUUUUUAAAUUUUGAGGAGAUAGAUGGUUUUUUUCUAAUUUGGAGACCAAAAUUAGAAUUAUAUUGAACUUUAAGAUUAAAACAAAAUUAAAUUUAAAUUAUGUGAAUCAAUAUCUUACUCUCAAAUGUUUUUAUUUAUUUAAUUUGGUUUUAUCAAAUAAAUUUUUAUUUAAAAAUUAUAAGUAAACUUUACUAAAAUAUUUUAAUAAGAGUUUAUAAGAUUUCCAAUAAUUAUUUUCACAAACCUAAAUAAUUUUUCUAAAAUACCUGAUUAAUUUAUAAAUUAUUUAAAAUUCUUUAGGUUACUAUCUAUAAAUGGAAUAAUAACAUGUGUUUCCCUAGUAGAAAAAUGGAGACUCGCCAUCAGAAUUAAAAAGUUGAUUCCUAAGUAUUCCGUCAAUGGCCUCAUUUCUUUAAAUAUAUUUUUUUUAAUAUUAUAUGCAAAAUUAUUUUUUAUUAUAGUCUAAAUUUUAUAUUUCUUGUACUUAAAUAAGUCCUAAUGUAACAAAUGAAUUUUGGUGAAUCAUAAUAUUAAAAUAUUUUAUGUUGAUUUAUUGAUGUAUAUAUUAUAAUAUUAUAAUAAUUUACGUUAGAAUAGUUUGCUAUGUAAAUGAAAACAUUGAUAAAAACUUAUUUUAUUAAUUUUUUUACUAUAAAUAUCUAGAAUAGCUCAAAUUGAACUAGCAGCACUCAAAAGUAUAUGACAAAAAAUAUAUUUAACAACAAAAUAGUGUAGAUUUAUAAAUAAUUACAGAUGUAGAGUUUGGUUUCAAAUUAAUGCAAAAUAAUCACAAAAGUGGUAAUAUUUUUUAUUAUGAUGAGAAGAAAAGACGUUAUAGAUAGAUUCAUUGAUUGAUGAUAUGCAUAUAAAGAAGGUCCUUUCUAGCAUUGAAAUAUAGUAAAUAACGGUUGGGAGAUAAUCUCAUACACUUUAAAUCAUUUCCUUCUUUGCUGCUGAUUGAACUUUCUGGCAAUCGAAUCAGAAAAAGUGUGAAAUUGAAGCGCACCAAAUGGUAGGUUACAUGAAUUUUGAUGUGAAAGAACAGGUUUAUGUAGUUAUUUAAAAAAGGGGAACAUGAUAAUUAACUAAAUUAGUGAACUAAUGAUAAAAUAAAAAGCAUAAAGGAUGGUGAUAUCACCUUUUGUUUAUGUCACUCAAUUAUUAUUAGCUAAAGCUGAGACAUAUUUUGUCGUCUCACAUUCAUGCUGCCUAAUCCAUGCUUCGCACGCCAAAGGUUCGGGAAACCAGUUUACAUAAUACUCAUCAUUUUACCAAUUACAACUAAUUCAUUCAUUGUCAUAUCUUAAGCUUCCUAAUUUUCACUAAUUCUAUAAACCAGCUAUUACUCUCUCAUUAAUUCGUCACCCCACCAAUCAAUUAAAAUUACUGAUCUUUCUCCUCUUUCUUUGCUGAUAAAAAAAAAACUGAUCUUUCUCCUCCCAAAUAUAAGAAUAAUUUCACAUCAUACUAUUA